CUAUAUUCUUCCCAUACUUGAUUACAUACCUCGGGGCAUCCUCGCAGCGUACAACUCACCUUCUUUUAUUUUUAUGUUCUUCCUAGUCACGAAAGUACACAACAAGUAUGCAGGUACUUAUACUUUUAAUGUGAAUUACUUUUAUUUCCAAAAGUAUAUUUGUAUGAAAUUGUUUACAUCAGAGGAUUUGUUCCAGUUGUGUUUAUAGUUUGUAUAUCUUAUGUGGUACGAUAUACUUAGUUCACUGUAAACGAUGCUCUGAUACCAAUCUGUAACACCCCCAAACCUCGGAUGGCGGAAACGUCCGGAGGUGGAGGACUUCAGGCGUAGUAUCAUGACAAACGAAUAUAAUAGUGAUCACAGUACAUACAACCAAUCAUAAAUAUAAUCGAAAAAGUUACAUAGUUUCAAGUGUUACAUGUUUCAAAAUCAAUUACAAUAUGACAUCAAAAAAAAUAAUUUGUCGUACACCGAAGCGUUCCAUCCUCAAGCCUGCGGUUACCUUAACUCAUUGAUUUCCUGAGAAUACAAAUAAUUUUGAAAGAGUGUCAACAAUUAAGUUGGUGAGUGCAUAAGCUUUUAGAUACAGAGUUUGAAAUCCUUUGUUUGUAAUGUAGGGUAUACUCAAGAAAAUCCAAUAUUUUCCUUAUAAAAAUGAUGCGCAGUCUUAAAUUCCAAGACCGAGUGUAUGUAUGUCUUUUCGUACUUGUAAAAAGGGAAAAUGACUUAUAAGGGUAACGAUGUUUUACCCGUGUUCACAUUAUACCAUUCAUGUUUUUCUUUAACAAAAAAUACCAUUAAAAUGUGUUUUCUGUACAUAUUUAACCAUUGGUAACCGGAUACAAUAGGUAUCCCGGUUUUUUCUUUAUUUUUUUUUAAAAAAAAUUAUGUGGAAAAUACGUGGCUCACCCCUGUCUCAAUUAAACACCCUCACCCUCAAUUAAACACUCUCAAAGCUCAAUUAAACACCCUCAUACCAAGAUCGUUGUGUAGGGUUUUCUCAGUCGAAGGUUUCUUUGAGAUUGAUCAUGGCUGGUCCGUCUAAUACAAGAGGAUCAACUUACAUUCAAGUAGAUGUUCAUUACGAUGGAAUGUUUUCCCCCAUUCCUCAUCUUAUAUACUACUUGAAUCAAAAAACAUCAAUUACAGAUGUCGAUUUUGGUGGAUUAAAUUUCAAGGAGUUCAUUUAUGUUCUUGAGGAUGUCACAAAGGGGAAGUGUCCUGUUGUCUACUACUGUCUUGGGCAUAAGUCAAUGCGUGAUGGGUUGACACCACUGAAAAAUGAUGAUGACUACAGGAGGUUUCUUGAUGCUGCACAUGGUAACGAAGGAAAGAUUAAUGUAUAUAUUGAUCACUACAACGAUUCGGUGCUUGACUGGAUAGAGGAAGAAAAGGAAGAAAAAGGUGUUGAUAGUGAAAGCUCUGAUGAAGAUAAAGACUCGGUCAUGUCUGAUGCUCUAUCUGUUGAUCAUGAACCCGAUGAAGAGGUAAUACCAUUGACUAAAUCCGAUGAUCCCUUUCUUAACUAUAUUAGUGUUGUCCCUAGAGAUGAUUUUGUUGAUGAGGAUGAUGAUUCAGAUAAUGGAACCAAAGAAGCCCCGAUUUAUCCUUUUCAUGACACAACUCAGAAAUGGGAUACAAUGCAACCCAUCCUUGGUAUGAGGUUUUGUAACCCUCAAGAACUUAAACAGCUUGUCUCAAACUAUGCAGUAGCAAACGGUUAUAACCUUUGGUAUGAAAAAAAUGAUAAAACUAGGUUGCUAGUCAGGUGUUGUAAAACUAGUGAAGGAAAGGCAGCAUGUCCUUUUAGACUAUGGGCUACUUGGAUGAGCAAUGAAAAGUCAUUCCAAAUUAAGUCCUUAAUUAAUGAGCAUAACUGUGCUAGAACCUUCAAGUUUGGGUCAGUUGUUACUUACUCAUGGAUAGGGAAACAUUUUGUUAAUGAUAUUUUAGAAAAUCCCAAAAUGAGUUGCAGGGAAAUGAGGGAUAAAGUUGGGGAAAAUUUCAAUGUGAAGGUUAGUCUUGGACAAUGCAGGAANNNNNNNNNNNNNNNNNNNNNNNNNNNNNNNNNNNNNNNNNNNNNNNNNNNNNNNNNNNNNNNNNNNNNNNNNNNNNNNNNNNNNNNNNNNNNNNNNNNNNNNNNNNNNNNNNNNNNNNNNNNNNNNNNNNNNNNNNNNNNNNNNNNNNNNNNNNNNNNNNNNNNNNNNNNNNNNNNNNNNNNNNNNNNNNNNNNNNNNNNNNNNNNNNNNNNNNNNNNNNNNNNNNNNNNNNNNNNNNNNNNNNNNNNNNNNNNNNNNNNNNNNNNNNNNNNNNNNNNNNNNNNNNNNNNNNNNNNNNNNNNNNNNNNNNNNNNNNNNNNNNNNNNNNNNNNNNNNNNNNNNNNNNNNNNNNNNNNNNNNNNNNNNNNNNNNNNNNNNNNNNNNNNNNNNNNNNNNNNNNNNNNNNNNNNNNNNNNNNNNNNNNNNNNNNNNNNNNNNNNNNNNNNNNNNNNNNNNNNNNNNNNNNNNNNNNNNNNNNNNNNNNNNNNNNNNNNNNNNNNNNNNNNNNNNNNNNNNNNNNNNNNNNNNNNNNNNNNNNNNNNNNNNNNNNNNNNNNNNNNNNNNNNNNNNNNNNNNNNNNNNNNNNNNNNNNNNNNNNNNNNNNNNNNNNNNNNNNNNNNNNNNNNNNNNNNNNNNNNNNNNNNNNNNNNNNNNNNNNNNNNNNNNNNNNNNNNNNNNNNNNNNNNNNNNNNNNNNNNNNNNNNNNNNNNNNNNNNNNNNNNNNNNNNNNNNNNNNNNNNNNNNNNNNNNNNNNNNNNNNNNNNNNNNNNNNNNNNNNNNNNNNNNNNNNNNNNNNNNNNNNNNNNNNNNNNNNNNNNNNNNNNNNNNNNNNNNNNNNNNNNNNNNNNNNNNNNNNNNNNNNNNNNNNNNNNNNNNNNNNNNNNNNNNNNNNNNNNNNNNNNNNNNNNNNNNNNNNNNNNNNNNNNNNNNNNNNNNNNNNNNNNNNNNNNNNNNNNNNNNNNNNNNNNNNNNNNNNNNNNNNNNNNNNNNNNNNNNNNNNNNNNNNNNNNNNNNNNNNNNNNNNNNNNNNNNNNNNNNNNNNNNNNNNNNNNNNNNNNNNNNNNNNNNNNNNNNNNNNNNNNNNNNNNNNNNNNNNNNNNNNNNNNNNNNNNNNNNNNNNNNNNNNNNNNNNNNNNNNNNNNNNNNNNNNNNNNNNNNNNNNNNNNNNNNNNNNNNNNNNNNNNNNNNNNNNNNNNNNNNNNNNNNNNNNNNNNNNNNNNNNNNNNNNNNNNNNNNNNNNNNNNNNNNNNNNNNNNNNNNNNNNNNNNNNNNNNNNNNNNNNNNNNNNNNNNNNNNNNNNNNNNNNNNNNNNNNNNNNNNNNNNNNNNNNNNNNNNNNNNNNNNNNNNNNNNNNNNNNNNNNNNNNNNNNNNNNNNNNNNNNNNNNNNNNNNNNNNNNNNNNNNNNNNNNNNNNNNNNNNNNNNNNNNNNNNNNNNNNNNNNNNNNNNNNNNNNNNNNNNNNNNNNNNNNNNNNNNNNNNNNNNNNNNNNNNNNNNNNNNNNNNNNNNNNNNNNNNNNNNNNNNNNNNNNNNNNNNNNNNNNNNNNNNNNNNNNNNNNNNNNNNNNNNNNNNNNNNNNNNNNNNNNNNNNNNNNNNNNNNNNNNNNNNNNNNNNNNNNNNNNNNNNNNNNNNNNNNNNNNNNNNNNNNNNNNNNNNNNNNNNNNNNNNNNNNNNNNNNNNNNNNNNNNNNNNNNNNNNNNNNNNNNNNNNNNNNNNNNNNNNNNNNNNNNNNNNNNNNNNNNNNNNNNNNNNNNNNNNNNNNNNNNNNNNNNNNNNNNNNNNNNNNNNNNNNNNNNNNNNNNNNNNNNNNNNNNNNNNNNNNNNNNNNNNNNNNNNNNNNNNNNNNNNNNNNNNNNNNNNNNNNNNNNNNNNNNNNNNNNNNNNNNNNNNNNNNNNNNNNNNNNNNNNNNNNNNNNNNNNNNNNNNNNNNNNNNNNNNNNNNNNNNNNNNNNNNNNNNNNNNNNNNNNNNNNNNNNNNNNNNNNNNNNNNNNNNNNNNNNNNNNNNNNNNNNNNNNNNNNNNNNNNNNNNNNNNNNNNNNNNNNNNNNNNNNNNNNNNNNNNNNNNNNNNNNNNNNNNNNNNNNNNNNNNNNNNNNNNNNNNNNNNNNNNNNNNNNNNNNNNNNNNNNNNNNNNNNNNNNNNNNNNNNNNNNNNNNNNNNNNNNNNNNNNNNNNNNNNNNNNNNNNNNNNNNNNNNNNNNNNNNNNNNNNNNNNNNNNNNNNNNNNNNNNNNNNNNNNNNNNNNNNNNNNNNNNNNNNNNNNNNNNNNNNNNNNNNNNNNNNNNNNNNNNNNNNNNNNNNNNNNNNNNNNNNNNNNNNNNNNNNNNNNNNNNNNNNNNNNNNNNNNNNNNNNNNNNNNNNNNNNNNNNNNNNNNNNNNNNNNNNNNNNNNNNNNNNNNNNNNNNNNNNNNNNNNNNNNNNNNNNNNNNNNNNNNNNNNNNNNNNNNNNNNNNNNNNNNNNNNNNNNNNNNNNNNNNNNNNNNNNNNNNNNNNNNNNNNNNNNNNNNNNNNNNNNNNNNNNNNNNNNNNNNNNNNNNNNNNNNNNNNNNNNNNNNNNNNNNNNNNNNNNNNNNNNNNNNNNNNNNNNNNNNNNNNNNNNNNNNNNNNNNNNNNNNNNNNNNNNNNNNNNNNNNNNNNNNNNNNNNNNNNNNNNNNNNNNNNNNNNNNNNNNNNNNNNNNNNNNNNNNNNNNNNNNNNNNNNNNNNNNNNNNNNNNNNNNNNNNNNNNNNNNNNNNNNNNNNNNNNNNNNNNNNNNNNNNNNNNNNNNNNNNNNNNNNNNNNNNNNNNNNNNNNNNNNNNNNNNNNNNNNNNNNNNNNNNNNNNNNNNNNNNNNNNNNNNNNNNNNNNNNNNNNNNNNNNNNNNNNNNNNNNNNNNNNNNNNNNNNNNNNNNNNNNNNNNNNNNNNNNNNNNNNNNNNNNNNNNNNNNNNNNNNNNNNNNNNNNNNNNNNNNNNNNNNNNNNNNNNNNNNNNNNNNNNNNNNNNNNNNNNNNNNNNNNNNNNNNNNNNNNNNNNNNNNNNNNNNNNNNNNNNNNNNNNNNNNNNNNNNNNNNNNNNNNNNNNNNNNNNNNNNNNNNNNNNNNNNNNNNNNNNNNNNNNNNNNNNNNNNNNNNNNNNNNNNNNNNNNNNNNNNNNNNNNNNNNNNNNNNNNNNNNNNNNNNNNNNNNNNNNNNNNNNNNNNNNNNNNNNNNNNNNNNNNNNNNNNNNNNNNNNNNNNNNNNNNNNNNNNNNNNNNNNNNNNNNNNNNNNNNNNNNNNNNNNNNNNNNNNNNNNNNNNNNNNNNNNNNNNNNNNNNNNNNNNNNNNNNNNNNNNNNNNNNNNNNNNNNNNNNNNNNNNNNNNNNNNNNNNNNNNNNNNGGUAUUCAUGAUGAAAUUUUUUGUGAAUAUUUUUAUGUUUUUGUUUUAAUUUGGAUUUAUAUAUUGAUUUGCAGUUUGACAAAUAACAUUUUUGACGUGGAUAGAGAUGACAUUUUAAAAAGUAAAAGGGUAAAAAAAUAACAAACUCAUCAGCAUAAAAUAUAGACAAAAUUAUAUAAAUGGUCCUUAUGAUUUAUACACAGUCACAAAUUCCGGUUCUAGUACUUGAAAGACUAAAAUACUAUUACACUAACGGAUGAACAUUAACAGUGGCCGCAAAAACGAAAUUCACGCAAGUUUUUGAAACCUCAGGGGCCAUGUCCGUCAAAACAAAAUAGGAAAGACUGAGUUUGUGAGAUUUGGUAAACCACAAUGACCAUUUAUGUAAUUUUGCAUUUUUUUUAAAAAAACAUUUACUUCCUCUCUUUAUGUACUUGUCGAUAAAUUCAAGUUUGCAUUUGUUUCAACCUAGUUUUUUUAUGUUUUUGUGUUUAAUUUUAUGUAUGUUUCCUACAUAUGAUUCGUAUCACAUAUAAUAACUUCAGCUCGUUAAUUUAUAAAAAUGUAUUAUAUUCACGUUUAUCUACGUUUCAACGUAUUUUGUUUUACAUUUUCUUGUUUAAUUUAUGUAUGUUUCUUAUUUGUGAUUCGGGUCAAAUAUAAUAACUUUUGUUCAUUACCUUAAAAAAAUAUAUUAUAUUCGAAUUUGUUUAUGUUUCGACGUAACUUCUUUUUAUGUUUUUCGUGUUUAAUUUUAUGUACGUUUACCACAUUUGAGUCGAGUCAAAUAUUAUAACUUUCAUUUGUUAACCGGAAAAAAUAUACGCUUAUUUUCAUAAAUGUGUUUGGUAUAAUAAAUUCAAAGUUGUUAAAUUUAGAACUUUGUUCACUAAUUUAUAAAAUAAAAAUUGAUAAAAAAAAACAAAAAACUUNNNAAUUUCGUCUAUGUUUUGACUUAAUUUUUUAUGUUUUCAUACUUAUUUUUAUGUACGUGCUUUUUUCGUUCGUGAUUUUUUUUACAUCAAAACGCAACUUUUAUCAAUAUAAUCCUCAAAAUUUAGGUUGCAAAAUUCAAUGUUGAUAAUUACGUUUUUAUCUAUUGUGUUGAUAAAAUUAUAAUUUUGACGAUUGUAUUAAUAAAUAUUAAGUAACAUCGCAUUUGUUGGUAGAUAAAUAUACAAGGUCGGUAUCACUAACUAACUUCAAUUUAUACCGUCAAACGAAAAAAUGUUAUAUGUGAUCGAAAUGAUACGUAGGAGCAUACAUAAAAUAAGCAUCAAAACGUACAUAAAAUUUACAUUGAAAAAAAAAAGAAUAAAAAAUAAAAUAAUAAUAAUAAAUAAAUAAAAAUAAAAUUUUAUAUCGAGACAUACGCAAAUAAGUAACAAAAUCUCAAAUAAUAAAAAUCAUAUUAUGUGACUCGAAUGUUGAAACGUAAAAUUAAGCACAAAAACGUAAAAAGAAAUAUGUUAAAACUUAAACAAACUCGAAUAUAAUACGUUUUUUAAGUUAACGAACGAAAGUUAUUAUAUGUGACCCGAAUGAUACAUAGAAACACACAUAAAACUAAGCACAACAAUGUAAAGAAAAUAAAUUACGUCGAAACAUAAACAAAUUCGAAAAUAAUAGGUUUUUUUUUUAAUUAACAAACGAAAAUUACUAUAUAUGACUCGUCUCAUACGUACGAAACAUAUAUAAUGUUAAACACAAUAACGUAAAAAAAUGACGUUUAAACAUAGACAAAGUCUAACUUAAACCAACACGUGCAUAAAAAACCAAGUAGUUAAAAAAAUAAUAAUAACAAUAACGUAACAAAGUUUUAAAGUAAAGCCGAAAUGUUGAUCGCCUUGGAUUAUGCCGACACAUAUAUAAAAAUAAACACAUAAAAAAUAAUUUUUUUAAGUUAACAAACGAAAGUUGUUAAUGAAAAUCAAAUUAUAUAUAAUAUGGAGAUAAAACAAGAAAAUUUAGUAAAUAUAAGGUGAAUGUAACAUUUUGCAAAGUUCAAAAUGAAAUGUUCAAAGUGAUAUUUUAAUAAGUUAAAUGGUGAAAGAUCACAAAAUCAUCAAUAUAAAAUAUAGACAAAACUAUAAAAAUGGUUCCUAUGGUUUAUCUAUGGUUACUCACUUAGUCUCAACUAUUUGAAAUGACCAAAUUACCCUCGUACUGCAGUUAGCAAAACAUAUCAAUCACACAAGUUUUAGAAGCCACGGGGACAUGCUAGUUAAAAAAAUAGUAAGUACUUAGUUUAUGACCUUUGAUAAACCAUAAGGACCCUUUAUGUAACUCUCUCUCUCUCUCUCUCUCUCUCUCUCUCUCUCUCUCUGUGUGUGUGUGUGUGUGUGUGUAUAUGUGUGUGUGUGUGUGUGUGAAAAUUCAAAUGAAAACAAUUAUGAAAUCGAGAACACGAGAAUAUAUACGGGUCACAUAUUAUUAUUUUUUUGCCGUAAAACCCUUCGAUGUACCAGCAUGACAGAAGAAUGUAAUAUUCAUAUGUAAAUAUAACGGUAAAUAUAUUAUCGUAUAUUUCAAAUCUACCACUUAAAGGCUUUAGCAUACUGGGACAACGGAACACAUAACUUUCAUAUAUAAAUAAUUAUAUUCGUAUAUGAAUAAAUAUAUGUCUAUUCAUACGUUAUUAUUCAUAUGUGAAUAUAACGGUUCGUAGAGAAUGUAGUGGUGGCAAGGAUAGUAGUGGUUGGGGCAGUGGUAUUUGCGGUAAACGUGAGAAUAUAAUUGUUUCAUUUGAAUAUANNNNNNNNNNNNNNNNNNNNNNNNNNNNNNNNNNNNNNNNNNNNNNNNNNNNNNNNNNNNNNNNNNNNNNNNNNNNNNNNNNNNNNNNNNNNNNNNNNNNNNNNNNNNNNNNNNNNNNNNNNNNNNNNNNNNAUUGACAUCUAUUGUGCGGACGUGUGGACAAUGUUAUUCUGUGAGAAUGAUAAAGAAAAUAUGUUGUUAGAUAAUGUGAAUAUGUUUAAUCUUACAUAACUAUUGAUAUUAUCAUGCAUUCUCACCAAUUAAAUCGUCUAUAUGGUUAUUAUAGAGUUUUUUGAUACUAUUCUCAUUUUUUUAGAAUGUUGUUACAAUUUUGUCUGAGUCGUAUUCUGUAAGAAUAUAAAUGAGAUAAAAACGAUGCAUAAGAACAAAAAUGAAUAAGAAUUAGUGAGAAUGUAUGGAAAUGAUAAUAUUUGUGUGAUUUUGAACAUAUUCACAUUACUAAACAACUUAUUUUUUUAGUAAUUCUUAUAAAAUAGCAUNNNNNNNNNNNNNNNNNNNNNNNNNNNNNNNNNNNNNNNNNNNNNNNNNNNNNNNNNNNNNNNNNNNNNNNNNNNNNNNNNNNNNNNNNNNNNNNNNNNNNNNNNNNNNNNNNNNNNNNNNNNCGACCACUCAUGUUUAGACAGCAAAAACUAUAAUAAUAUUAUCUAGUCAUCUACUUUUGAUUUAAAAAUUAUACAGGUACAAUUUAUGGAAAAACAUCAUUUCAAUAUAGAUUAUAAAAGCUGAUAAGGUUUAUUAUUAUAUUACAAAUAAUUAUGUAUUGAUGGUGGAGAAAAUGACAUUAGAUAAAUUUUGUAAACGUUGAGAAACACUACUAUGAGCGUUAUAGCGGCUGGAUUAAUAUAAGUUUUGAGUUCAAAACCAAACACACUUUCUUGAUUGCAUGUUUGAGUUCAAUGAAUAAUAUAACAAAAAAAUAUGGAUUCAAAGUUUUUUUUUUACGGCAAAUCUAACUAUUCUCCUAAAUUCUAACGAGAUUUGAACCCUCGAUCUUAAUGAGGGAUGACAACACCGAAUACCGCUAGUCUAGAAGCUGAAAAUAUAUUUUCGUGAAAUAGCUCUAAGCCUCUAAUUAAAAAUGAUAUAUAGUUAUCUGUAUUGGGUGUUUCACUUGUCACAAGUUUUAAAGAAAAAUAUUUUAAAAUCAUUAAAGCUAGAGAAACUUCAAUCAAGAGAUUAUAACUAUAGUCUUUAGGCCUUUCUUUUAGAUUUACAAUACUACUCUUUUUUUCCUCAUUGGUAGUUAAAUAAAAUCUCUGUCGUCAUCGAUACAGAAAAAAAAAAAAAAAAAAAAAAAUCUCUUGGAAACAAAGGGCCAAAAUGUUAAUUGCCACGACCUUCCUAUCAACAAAUCAUGCAUCUGAUGAGUUUAUCUUGUUCACAAGUUAUUAUUGUUUAUAAAAAAAAACUUACUUUUCAUAUGCUUCAAGUAGGUUAAUUGUUUUUUGAAUGGAAAGGGAAUACGUGAAUUAUAUAAAACCUCAAGCACCUAAGGUGUCACUUUAUAGCUACCACUAGCAUAAAAGAUUCCCUUACAUUCAUAAUCAAUGUCCAAAACACAUUCAAAUUAUGGCACAAAUGAGUUACCCAUCACUACAACCGAAAUAACGGAAGAAAACCAACAGUUUAAAUUCGCUACAUUACUUCAGCUUCGUUAUCCUCCUGGUUUUUUCCGAAAGGUAAGUUACCAUUUCCAUAAUGUUUGAUUUCAUAUCAUCUAUGUUACGUUAGGAAUGAGAUUUAAAACCAGAGAACCAGAAUAUGUAGAAAGUUUGGCCUGGGUUCUGGGUUUAAAGAAUGGAUUUGGUCGGGUUUCGGGUAAUCUGGGUUUGGAUCCUUCGGGUCCGGGUAAACCAGGUUUAAGAACCGGAACCGGGACCGAUGAUGAAGGUCAGAACUAAUUUUUGUGACAAGUUUAGAACAUAUAUAUCUCAUUUUUUUGAAAUUGAAUUGAUAUGUGGUUUUCUUCAGCGUGUAGUUUAAAGUUUAUAGAUGAUUUUAGAAUAUAAUUGUAUCAUUUUUCGUUUCAUAUUUAUUGACUUAUCAUCCCCCAAAGUUGGGAUAUGAAAGCUAGAAAUUUUCAAUUUUUCAACUUUUUUUGGAUUCUAUAAAAAUUUAAAACAUACAUAUGCAAUUCGUUUGAAAUCGUAUUAGCAUGCAGUUUUUUUCAACAUGUAGUUUAGAGUUCGUAAGAAAUUUAGACUAUAAUUUUGUCAUUUUUAGUUUUUUAUUUGUUGAGUUAUAGUCCUCUGAAGUCGAGAUAUCAAAGCUUGAAAUUUCAGUUUUUCAGUUUUUGAUAUUCUGUGAAAAUUUUAAAACGUGCUUAUCUAACUCAUUUGAAAUCGGAUAACCAUGCAGAUUUUUCUAAUAUGUAGUUUAUAAUAUGUAGUUUAGAGUUUGUAUUUGAUUUUAAACUAUAUUUUUUUAUUUUUUGUUUCAUAUUCAUUGAUUUGUAGUCCCCUAAAGUCGGGAUAUCAAAGUUAUAAAUUUUCAGUUUUUUUGUAUUAUGUGAAAAUUUUAGAACAUGCAUACGUAAUUCGUUUGAAAUCGAAUUAGAAUGCGGUUUUUGGCUUGAUAUUCAAUGACUUAAAGUCCACCGAAGUCGGGAUAUCAAAACUGAAAAUUUUGAAUCUUCAACCCACUAAUUAAUUGCCAAAAAAUUCCGAUUUCCCGAGUUUUCCGAUUCUAGAUCCACUUUGACAUUUUGUGGUUUUGUGGUUCUAGACUCACUUUACCCGGUACCUUACUUGAAACCGAACCGAAAUUGGUUCCUAUAUACAGUUCCGGUUUCCGGUCCUACACAAUCUCGUUAAUCGGUCUUCGGGUUUUUAUGGGUUCAGUUCUAUCUGGAUCGGGUUUGGACCCACUUUCAUCCCAAUCUACCCGGCAUCACAUGAUAACUGUCAUACUGUUAACAAGAUGAGAAUCGAUAAGAGAUAUAUCAUGUUCAAAAAUUUGAAUUACCUUUCUUACUUUGAGAACAUUGUGAUUUACAUAUGUAUACCCUUUUUUAUCAUCUUCAAGAUGUUUUGAAAUUGUUUUUCAGGUGGUGGCAGAGUCGGUUGCCACCUUCUUGUUGGUGUUUGUGACAUGUGGAUCAGCGGCACUUGCUACAAGCAAUGAACACAAGGUGUCUCAACUUGGAGCCUCGCUUGCGGGUGGUCUCAUUGUGACGGUUAUGAUUUAUGCAGUUGGACAUAUUUCAGGUGCACACAUGAACCCUGCGGUCACACUAGCGUUUGGAGCCGUGGGACAUUUUCCUUGGAACCAGGUACAUGGGUAGACCUAGACCAUGAAUACCAAAAUGGAUCAUAUUAUUUAAAUCCAUAUAACUCAAUAGGUUCGAACCAUAUGUGGUUAAUGUGAGUGUGUGUUAAGGAUGGGAACAUGAGGACCAAUAGGAAGCCAGGUGAGGUCGUGUAUGACCUGAUUUGGGCCACUACAUGACCUACUUUUAGUCGGCAUAUUGUAUAGCUCCAAUAGUUUCAUAAAUACUUUUAUGGUGUUCAAUGAACUAAAGUCAUAUCCAUCCAACUUCAACUUCAAGUAAGGCUUUAUACUUAGAUAUAAAUAUAAAUAUAUAAACCGAUUUAGUUAUCGUUAUUAUGAUAUUUCAGGUUUUACAUUAUUAGAUGUUAUGUUAAUUUGAAUCGUUGAUUUAGUUCCAAGGUGGUAGCAUGAAAUUAAAAAGUUGUAUAGAAAAAACUAUAACACUUGCGGAUGCUUUCAUAAUGGUUUUUUUUCUAGAUCUUAAUGAAAAACUCGUUCAACUUACAAGUAGUUUAUCUAAAAGAUUAUAUAUUGUGUCCUCUAAGUUUUAUAACUUAAAAGUUUUAAGUCCAUAAAUAAGUUAAGAAUAUUUAUAAUGGAAAUAUAUAUUGAUGACAAAUGAAGCUCACCCAUUGUGUUUAUAAGGUCCCGAUCUAUGCAAUUGCACAACUAAUGGGGUCUAUAGCGGCUUCAUUCUGCCUACGUGUACUUUUACAACAAGGGACAUAUUUGGGCACAACAACACCUUCGGGGACAAAUGAACAAGCUCUAAUAAUGGAAAUCAUCGUCACUUUUACAAUGAUGUUUGUCACCUCAGCAGUAGCCACAGAUUCUAAAGCCGUAAGAACACCACGAAAGUACAUUGACUUUUUAGAAAAUGUCAUAAAGUUAACAAGACCAAUAAUUCGAUUCUAAAAUUAUUUUUCAGGUAGGAGAGUUAGCGGGUAUAGCAGUAGGAUCGGCAGUAUGCAUUACUUCCAUCUUAGCAGGGUAAAAUUUAACAUAAUAAAAUCUAAUUUUUAACUAAUAUCAUUUUUAUAAAGAUUAAGUUUUUUAUAUGAAUUAUUUUUCAGACCGAUAUCAGGGGGAUCGAUGAAUCCAGCACGCACUAUCGGACCGGCUUUAGCUAGCAAUAAUUAUAAAGGGAUUUGGGUGUAUAUUGUUGGCCCUAUAACAGGGACGGUAUCUGGGGUGAUGUGUUAUAAUUUUGUUCGAGCAACUGAUAGACCUCUUCAGAUUUAAACAUCGAGAAUGAAGAGCAAUGACGAAAAUGCUAUUGUUUAAAGAUAAAUUAGUUCUUUGUAAUUGUAUAUUCCGAUCAACUAUAAUGGUUUCUCAUUGAAUAGAAUAAUAAGGUAACAGAAUUAGUUAUUACAUUCCAUUUCAUGUCAUGCUUAGUUGGCGUUUAGGAAUGGAAUGUAAUGAAUCUUUUGUAUUAUAUAAAUAGCAAUAUGGUAUUAAAAAUAUUAUGCAUAUUAGUUUAUUAUAGUUAUAAAUUAUGGUGAUAUUACCCCAUUUUACGGGGAUCAUAAUCUCUAAAAUUUCUUUUAGACAGGGACCAUUUAUAUAAUUUUUUAAACACAUAGACCGUUUUCUACUAGGACAUUUUCUAUAAAUUAUAGGGGUGAAUUUUGAAUCUUACUUUUAAUGAAUCUACUUUCCUGAUUCUUUUUAUACGAAAGGAAUGAAAUAUAUCCCACAUUGGUUGUUGUACGUAAAAUCCACCAUAUGCAUAUGUUAUAGAAUGGAACAAACUCAUUGUUACUAUUUGGUUCAGAUAUUUGGAAUUUAGAUUGAUUUUAAGCUAAACCGAAUUAUUAUUUUGGAUUGCGGGUUGAUAUUGGUUUGUAAAAUAAUAACCGAAUAGUCCAAAAAAAUUGAAUGGCAAUUUCUUUAUUUAUUUUUAAUAUAUAACUUUAAUCAUUUAUAAAUUUACUAAAUUGUAAUUUAAUUGUUAGAAACUUUCAUCUAAUAUAAUACUUUAAUAUGUAUUUUUUAUCAAAAGUUUUUGUGAAUGAAAUACUAAACUACAAUCAAUUUUUUUAUUAGUUGUUUUUAAAUUAUAAUUUAUAACUACAAAGUUUUUUAGUUACUUUUGUAUAGUUGGUUAAAAUUUAAGUUAUAUAUUUUUUAAAAUGUCUUACCUCUUAAAAACCGAAUUAUAAAAACCGAUCCAGCCGAAUUGUAAUUUGGUUGGAUCGAACACCCCUAUUCUUAAAAACCCACAGUUCGACAUCGCUUUCUAACAAAAGUAGCCAUCCUCCUAAGCCUGUACAUAAUGAUUUAUCAAGGCUUAGAAAGAUAGCUUGCGAUUAGGUUUGGGUUUAAACUUGAAACCAAACCGGAAGGAACUGAAAACUGACACACUGAACUGACCGGAUUGGGUAUUGGAUUGGGUUUCGAAAACUUGAAAAUCAAUGAUAACGGCUUUGGGUUAAAGCCUACCCAAACCCACCCAUAAUCAUCCCUAACAUUUAUCACAAAAUAAUAAUCCAUUCUGCAAUAUACAAUUCACACAAUGCAUUUUUAAAAAUUGAUUUAUGAUUAUCCUUGCUACUAAAACAUUUUAAUAAAAAAAAAUGGUUGUUUGUCUGCCACAUGUUUUGGCGGGAUCAACCGUUUUGUAAGUUGAAUUUUGACGAUUGUAUGAUAAAAGUUAGAUAUUGUUGCAUUUGUUGUUAGAUAAAUGUACAAGGUUGGUAUCACUGAUUAACUCUAAUUUAUAAUGUCUAAUGAAAAUGCAUUAUAUGUGACCAAACUAAUACUAGGAAACAUAAAAAAAAAAUGACAUGAAAACGUACAUAAAAAUAAGUGAGUAAGAUUAUUUUUUCAAGUUAACAAACAAAAGUUGAUACGGAAAAUCAGAUUAUUUAUACUAUGGGGUAUAAACAUGAAAUUUUAAAAAAUUGAGGUGUAAUACUCGGAUUCAGGUAUGUUACCUUUUAGUCCUUGAGUUAUUGAUUUUAUUGUAAAACAAGUCCCUUCGUACACUGGGCGUACAUCUAUGUAUGCUUAGCGUACAUGGGCAAGCGGAGUCGGGACCUUGAGCCACGUACGCGGGGCGUACGUAGCCAAAAAACAAAACCCUAAUUUUUUGGUAUGGUCACUAUUUAAGCAUAUUUAUGACCUUUGGACCCUCGCCAUUAUCAGCCUCCACACCUCUAAAUGUUCCAAAAACCCUAGUUUGCUUUGGAGUGUGAUCUUUGAGCUUUAAAGUGACAUUAGUGGCCCUUUUUGGUGUGUUUGCAAGAAGAAGAAGUUAGUGAGCAAGCCUUGGACGUGGUUGAGCUUCAAGAUCCUAAAUCUACAUCAUCUUAGGAGGCUUUUGGAGGUAAAAAGCUCCUACCUUGUUAAUCCUUUUGAUACUUAGAGUUAGGGUUUGCUUUUAAGCUCAUUUUUUGGUACAUGGACUCUUCUUUGCGAGUUUGGGCAACUCCAAAGACUAGAAAUGCUAGAUCUUAGUCCUUAUGGCAUGUUAGAAGCAUAAAAAUGUUAUCUUGGUGGUGGAUAUGAAGUCAUGCAUGAACCUUGGUCCUUUAUGUGAGCUUUGAUGAACAAAAAUGGAUGUUGGACUCCCAUAGCACAUGUAAAGGCAUAAAGUCGCCAACUUUAUGCCCUAGGACCUCUUUUAUGAUCAAGAUCUAGCUUUUGGUGUGAGUGACUGCAUGGUUUAAGCACUUAAUGGUCGAAAGUGCUUAACAAAUCUGUAUGUUGGGCGUACCAAGAAGUACGCAGCAUGUACUGCCCAGGACCGAGUACGCUAAGCGUACUGGAGUUACACUGCGUGUACACCCCAGUAGGCCUUUGGCAGUUAUUGGACUUUUCUUGACUUUUGGGCCUUAACUAGUUUUGGGCCUUUGCCUGUUUAGGAUAGUUUGGCCCAUUUUUCUGUUGUGGGUCUUCCUGUCACAUUUUGGGCCUUUUGGGCCAUGGAGCCCGUUAUUGUGGAUGGGCCAAAUAUGGUUAGGCCCAUUAUGGGAAAGGCAAAUGGGACAUAUUUUAGGGGUUGUCGGAUCGGUAGUCGAGCAGUUAGUAUUUACCAGCAGACCGAGGUGAGUUUUCUUACUAUAUCCAUGGGUCGAAGGCACCAAUGUCGGUCCAUUACUUGUCAUGUGGAAGGAUAGUUGUCUAUGGGUUUGCUUGUUUGAAAGACCUCAGGGUAGCCCGUGGCACUUGUAUGGAAGACCAUACAGGGUAGCUCAUGGUACGUGGAUAUUAGACCAUGGGGGUAGCCCAUGGCAUCUCAAGGAAAAUACCAUGGGGGUAGCCCAUGGCAAUUGUAUGUAUGUUAUGUGGUAUUUGUGGGAAACUCAUUAAGCUUUUUCUUACAAUUUGUAUUGUAGUUUCAAUUACUUUCGGUACUAAAAAAAGGGUCCGGCUUGAUAGUGCAGCAUUCACUCUCCACUAUUUUACGUAUUUACUGAUAGUGUUACUCUGAUAAUUUGACAUGUUUAUUAUGUAAUGGAUUUUGGAAACAAAUUACGACUAUAAUUCCUAAUUGAAAAAUGAAAAAAAUAUAUUUGGUUUUUGGGCUCUUACAUGAGAGAGUGAAAAUGAAAUUAUACAAAAUUCAAAUUGAAAGGGGUCAAAAUGACAUUAUAAAAAAUGGUGGGUAAAAAAUAUCAUUUUACAAAUUAGAAGGAUGACAAAUAUUCGAUUGAAAUAUUCACCCACGUUGCUAAUUGAUAAUAGUACAUUGUGGGAUUCUUAUUCUUUUGUUACUCAUAAUGGAAAUUGUCAAAAAAGUCUCAAUAUUUUCGGAAACGUUACACUUUAGUCCAAAAAAAAUUUGAACAUAAAAGUCUCGAUUAUUUGUAAAAACAUAAUACUAUGUCAUUUCCUGUUAAAAGGAAAAAAAAAGACUUUUUGUUAAUUUGAAUGAAAAUAAAAUAAUCGAGACUUUUAUGUUAAAAAAAAAAAAAAAAAAAAAAAAAAAAAAAAAUUUUGGAUAAAAGGNAAAAAACUUGGGAUUAAAGUGUAACUUUUCUGAAUAUAUUGAGACUUUUCUGACAAUUUCCUGACUCAUAAUUACAUAAUUAUUUUGAUAAUCAUGUUAUUUUGUGUAAAAAGUUAUGUCUUGAAAAAUGCAUUUUAAGAAGUUUAUUUUUUUAUUAUAAACAAGUUAAGGCCCAAAAGUUUAAUCCCUGUGGUUUUCGAAAAUAUUAAGUUUAGUCCCUAAGUUCUAAAAACCUCACAGAUGGUCUUUGUGGUUUCAAAACUUUUAACAUUUGGUCCUUCCGGCUAACUCCGUUAGCUUUUGGUCGUUAAGUGAAGGGCAAUUCAGUCAUUUCAUUUUCAUAGGGACCAUUUAUGAAGUUUUACCUUAUUUUAAAUAAAAAAAGAAAAAAAUAUAAUUAUUUAAUAUUAAAGGGUCCCACCCUUCCUUCUCUCUNAUAUAAUUAUUUAAUAUUAAAGGGUCCCACCCCCUCUCUCUCUCACACACACCAUCUUUUCUCUCUCUCUCUCUCUCUCUCUCUCUCUCUCUUGUUAAGAGGCAUCACCUCCAAACACCCUCUAUUAUUGUUUUGCUCGACCCCUGCUUUCCCAGAAGCCACAACUCCGGUGAGAUAAGCUAACAGUCGAGGAAAAGAGCCCAUCGGAAAAACCGGUUGUCCACCUCUCCAGCUCCCCUCCAUGGCUUCUUGUGUGAUGUUGUAAAGAGUCAAUAUGCACAUUUGGGUUUACAAUUUGUACAACAAAUCCAAUCAAAAAACAACAUUUUAGAAAAUGAUUAUUCUUUGGAGCAAUCUGUCAAACAGUUGGUGUGUGCAACAAAAUUCAAUAAAUUUUCAUGUCAAAUUCAGCUCGUGUAGACAUAAUUCUUGAGAGUGCACUUUCAUGAGUCCCUGUGUUCUCAAUUGCUUGCGUUAACCUUUUCUCAAAGUAUUUCAUAGGAUACAUCAAUCAUUUUAUUGUUGCCCUUAAAAUUGCCAAAAAAGUCGUCAAUAAGUCAAUGUUCAUACCUUGUUAAUAUCUUGUCCAAAUUCAUUCUUGUAAUGAUUCAAAUUCAUUUUGGGUACUCAAUUUUAUCCAAAUCAUACAACAUCGAACAGGAUUUCUGAAGUUGAAUUUGAUGUGGCGAGGCGUUUGAGUAUUGCAUUCUUCUGGACCACAAAGCUCCGGCGAAGAUGUGAACAUUGAUUUCACAUCCCAUUUUCCGACACACGGUCUUUCUUCCUUGUGUAUUUUGUUGCUUGCCCAAAUUUGGACCUAUACAAUAACAGAAUAUGAAAUUAUGAAUGAGUUUGGUUACCAGGAUUUGGGAAUUCCAUUCCAUGACUAGGUUUACUUACGAUGAGGGAAUCAGACAUGGAAUAGCCACAUGGACUAAAGAGAAUGAUAACGCCGGAGACAUCAGAGAGACUACCGAGAACGAUAAUAAGCUCAGUGGAAGAGGUGGUUAUAGGUGCUCUCCAGUACGACUGUUUUAAUCCGAUAUUCAAAGGUGCAAAGUAACGACAAUGUGGGGAGAGGGUGGUCGUUUGUGGUGGUUCACGGUAGUGGGGGUCACCGGUGGGUGGUUGAGGGUGGCAAUCCUUGGUUGUCCUUGUUUCUUUCUUCGAUUUGUGCAGUAGAUUGACGGGAGGGAGAGAAAAGGAGGUGAGGUGGUGAUGUUUAAAUGGUCUCUGUGAGAGAGAGAGAGAGAGAGAUGGGGUGGGACCCUUGCAUAUUAAAUACUAUUUAUUUAUUUAUUUAAAAAAAAGUAAUUGCAAAACCUCAUAAAUGGUCCCUGUGUAGUGAAACGCCAAAAAUGCCCCUGACUUAACGACCAAAAGCUAACGGAGUUAGCCGGAAGGACCAAAUGUUAAAAGUUUUGAAACCACAGGGACCAUAUGUGAGGUUUUUUGAACUUAGGGACUAAACUUGAUAUUUUUGAAAACCACAGGGACCAUUUUUGAAGUUUUGUCAAAACAAAAUAAAGAUCGGGAAUGCCUAUUUAUUAAAAUAAAUAAUUACAUAAUUACAUAAUAAAAGUGUCUGUGAUCGUUUCUAAUGAAGCAUUGCAGCAGGGUACAUUCAGUCACAUAGCUACGUUAUAGAACUCUCUCUCUCUCUCUUUCUCUCUCUCUCUCUCUCUCUUUCUCUCUCUCUCUCUCUCUCUCUCUCUCUCUCUCUCUCUCUCUUUCUCUCUCUCUCUCUCUCUCUCUCUCUCUCUCUCUCUUACUGCAACUCAUAAACUUGAUUCUUUCACAACCAUUUUGAGCAUGGAUUUACUUAUACCAAGACACCAUUUGGUUUUUCAAAGUUUAUUUAAAUAUGGUUUACUUAUAAAGAAAAUACUUUUUGAACGCUUUUAAAAGUAUCAUUACUGUCGUCGGCAGAAAACUUGUAAUUCUCACAAAACUUGUGUUGACCCUCAAAACUACAUGUAUUCUCAGAAAAUCACUAAACAGACAUUCAAGACAAAUUGGAUUACAGGUGGCCUAGUUUACUUGUUGUUGUAUUAUAUGCCUAUCUGUAAAAACUUUGUAUUCAAAUAUCAAGAUGGAACACAAAUGUUAUUUUGUUUAUUGUUGUACUUGUGUUGUAUAUUCAUUUUACUUAUGAUCCAUGAACUUAGUCGCACAGCCCGGCGUGUUCUACCGCCUCGGUCGGGGGUGUGACAGUUAUAGAUGAGCAAGCCAAUGUUUUGGACCAAGUGGCUGACAAGGAAGCUUGGGUAUGUCCAAAAGACAAGUGCAACGACCAAGUCAUACUUGUUGGACCAAGGUCUAAUAAAACAUAUUAUUUACUUUCAAUAUUAUAUUUAUCUAAUUAGUACUAUUUUCAUUAUUUGUUAAAUAUGUUAGUUUUAUGCUCAAAAUUCGAGUACAAUGCAUGGUGGGAGCAGUGACUCUUCUUCUGUUUGAUUGGGAGGUUAAAAGUAUUCUAAAAAUAUAUACAUCAGAUUUGAUAGAAAAGUAUGAAAAGGUAUAUAUUAUAAAACUUACUAAUUUAUUGCAGACAUUUCUAUGUUUUCGGUAUAUUUUUGUUAAAUUUACAUUCCUUAUAUUUGUUGUAGAUGGGUAAGACUGAUGAUUUUCCUGUUGAAGAACCUUAUUGGUAGAAAAAUUGGUUUCAAAUUAAUUGUUGAAAGCUUUACCACUUGUAGAAAAUAUGUUUGUAGUUACAACAUACCAAAGAUAAGUGAUAUUGUUGACAUAAUUUUUGCAUUAGAGAAGUUGGAAAAAGUGAAUUGCAUUAAACAGGUUAAACUACAACCACAUUUUAAAUCCAUUUAAGUAUCACAUUCUAUAUAGAUUUUUUUACCCAUCUUACAUGUAAUUUACCAACUAUUAUUUAGGACAUUGAAAAUGAGUCUGUUAAUUGCAUGGUCUCAUAUUUUAACUCUCAAGAUACAGUUGGUUUUAAAGUAUAAUUUCCUACUUUUUCAUUUUGCUUUGUUACAUGACUAUUAUGUUAAUCUUUAACAUAUAUAAAUUUUCUCAUUUAAGGAUCUUGCUUCCUUCGCCGUUGAUAAUACUCCUAUCUCUACUUUUCCGAAGAGCACUUUAGUGACUCCAUCAAACAACCAUGACACCGAUGAUCUCAUGUCACCAUCUACCAAUGUGAAACGUAAACUUGGACAUGUUUACAAUCUUGAUGAUAUUGUUUGUGAGUCAUCAACAAAAUCCAUUGGAGUGAAGGAAGGAAUUGUGUCCACUCAACUAUUGAUUCCUAAAGUUAAGAAGUGAGUUCUUUUGAACGUUUCAAACAAUUUUCCAUUUGGAGUUUUUUAUUUAACAUAUCCAAUCCAACAACAAUUUUGCGCUUUUAUGGUUUGCCAAAAAUACCCAAUUUAUUGGUUUCAUAUUUGUGGUUUCUUUCAUUUUAUGUUAAGUACUACUUUGGAUUCGUUAAUAAAUGUCGUCAUUUAUUUAUUUUUAAACAAUAUAUGUGUGUAUUGUAAAUAUGAUGCAUGUCUACAUAUGUAUGUGUCUAAAUGAAUUAAAAAAUGAUGCUAUAUUACACAAUUUCUAUUAAGAUUUGAAAAAACAAGACCUUUUCUGUAAACGUUCAAAAACAUGAAGAUUUUUUUGAAGUUAGUAACAAAUGGACUUUUUUUGACCUUUUUUGUAAAUUUAGUAACACACAGACCUUUCAAACAGGAACUAUCCUGCCAAUUACAAUAAUUUUAUGAAAACUUCCUAUAAUACCCUUUUUUAUAGCUAACGAUGCCUUUAUAUCGCAAUUUCCUCAUAAUAUAGCAAUGCACUUUUCUUUUAACAGUUUACAGAAUAUAUUUAUAAUCAUUUUUUUAUCCUUUCUACACUAAAAUAGCAAUGUACUUUCUAAGUACAUUGUUAUAAUUAGCAAUAGUUUAAACUGAUUUGUGCAAAAUGCUAUAUUUUCAUUGAUUUUUGAAUUCACCUUAUAUAAGGAAUGGAAUUGAAUGUAUUAGGGAGGAGGGAGUCGUUCUUAUUGAACCCACCGAGCCCACUGAACUCACUGUCGCAUCAGCUUUUUUCUUUGAUUUUUCUUCAUCUUUCCAAACCCACGACACACGGAAAUCCUAUCUUUCUCAACCCACUCAACCCAAUCAAUUAAAAAAAUAUACAAAAUAAUCAAGGUAAAAUCUUAAUUAGCAAUAGAGUUAUCGCCGGUACCAACUCCCUCUUCGGCGGGUUUUUUAAUUGGUUUCACGAACCCACUUCAUCCUCUCUCUCUACUUUCUCUCUCUCAUUUUCUCUUGUACCAUAUGUUUUAAGACUUGUACCUUAGUUGUUUAGUUUUUUUUUAAUUGAGUGGGUUGAGUGGGUUAAAAAAUAUAGAAUUUCCGUGUGUUGUGGGUUCGGAAAGAUGAAGAAAAAUCAAAGAGAAAAAUUGAUGUGGCAGUGGGUUCAGUGGGAACGACUCCCUCCUCCCUUAGAAGGAAUUGGAAUGGAAUUGAAUUGAAUUCCAACUCAACUUGGUUUUGAAACCCUUGCAUCGGCUUCUAGACAAACUCUUAGCACAUUGGUCGUAAAUCUUUUUGGUCUUUAUCUAUUUUCUUAUUUAGACAAAAUAAUAAUAAUAAUAAAAGCUUAUGAGAAUCAUGAUACAAGUUUCAAUAUUUGUUGAUAUUUUGUAUGUUUUUGUGGUUGUACUCUGUACAUUUUAAUAAAAAAAUAUAUGUUUUCGGUUGUCGUGUUUGAUUUAAAUUAAAAAGGGUUAAAUGCAUAUCUAUAUCUCAUUUUUUUCAAAUUUAUGAAACCGUUAAUGUUUUAAACAAAAAAAUAAUAUUCAAUAUAAGACCAAAAUAUGUAAUAUUAUAUAUAACUGGAAAAUGUUACAUGUGACAUAAGUUAAAUAUUUAUUUGUAUGACAAUGUUACAAGUUACAGCCAAUUAAACGAGUUAUGUUUUUGUCUUUGUGUGGUUAUAUGUUUUAUGUAUGUAUAUGUUGUAUAUCGAUAACUAUAUUGAUAUUUAAAGAUAAAAGAUUCACAGAAAACUGAGGAAUAAAAAGAUAUAUAAAGAUGUAUGAAUUCUUGCUAAUGCAACAUUAGCUACAGCUACAAAUUUGGUUGAUACAAGUUUUCCAACAUAUUAAACACAUGGUAAAACCCAAAUUAAGAUUAUAAAAAAUACUCUCUAGUUACUUUCAGAAAAUUAAAAUAGAAUUAUAUUAAAAUACAGAAAUUGCUAAAACCAUUUUUUCCAUCCAACUACAAUCCUCCUUAAUAAAUAAAGAAUUUAUUGCCACAUAUUCUCUUCUCCUUGCAUUGGACACAUGACAUUUUCUAAGGAAUUUUUAUCUAAUGUAUUUUUCACAUGUAUAUUUUGUACUAGUUUAUAACCCGUGAAACCACGGUUACAAAAUAAAUCAAAUUUUCAUAGUAAAAAUUUAUAAAUUAUUUAUCAAUUACUUUAAAUAAAUCAUUAAUUAUGAAAUAUAUCAAAUUUUUAAAGUUAUUAUAACUUCAAAUUUAACAUAUAAUUAGAAAAAUUAAAUUUGAAUUUUGAAUUGUUGCCUAAUAUAUCUAUUUGACAUGUGGCAUGAUAUUAAUGAAGAGUUGUAUUAGAGUGACACAUGUCAAAUGUAGAUUAAAACUAUUCAUUUAUUAGAAUAGAGAUUUGUUCCAGCAAAUUUUAAGAGAAAUUAAAUAUCCUCCUACCAUUCGUUUGUAUUUUUCCUCCUACCAUAUCAAAUGUUGACAAGUGGAUUAAAUGAUUAUUAAUUUCAUUAAAUGUCUAAUUAAAUGUGACAUAUGUCAACAUUUGAUAUGAUAGGAGGAAAAGUAGGAACAAAUGGUAGGAGGAUACUUAAUUUCUCAGAUUUUAAUUGACAACUCAAUAAAUCAUUCUUGUAAAAUAAAUAUUAAAUAUUAAAUUCAAUUAGAAUAUAAAUGUCUUCACAACUGUCAGCUAAAUCAUUGGUUCCUUUAGAAAUUCACGCACCAAAUUAGUAGAGAUCCAAUUUUCGAAAUCCUUAUGAAUGAUUGAUUUCGAAAAAUAUUAUGUCAUAAAUCUCAUAAAAUUCUCUCAUAUUGAGUAAUCAAUUUCGUAUAUAUGUAUAGGUUAUGUUGGAACUUUGUUAAAUGGAAAACACUCUCUUUGGGACUUGUCCCACAUUGGAAGAAAGAGGAAACUUAUACUCCCUUAAAAAGCAUCUUACUAGUUGUUUACUAAUUAGAUCAAAGGCUUGGACUAGAGGGAGUGGGUUGGAUUUGGUGAUUGGGCUAGUCAAAUUGGUCUUGAAAGCUUUUAAAUAUAUAUAUAUAUANGAACUUUGACUACAAAAUUACAAUGUGGGACUUAUCCCACAUUGGUGGAAGAGAAAACCUUCUCCCACCUUAUAUGUCUAGUCCUACUCAUUUAACUAAAUGGGUCAAGUAAGGGGUUAAGCAUAUUGGGCUUGGGUUGUGGUGUUGGAUUAGCCUAAUUGGAUUGAAAAUGGGCUAAUAUCAAGAGAAUAUUUAAUGGUCAAAAGAUGGGCCUUGGGCCUUGGGGCUCUUGGGGUCUUCCUGAUUAAUUAGAUAAUUUUUAAUUACGAAAUUAAUUUUUAUUUUUUUAUUAUUAAAUUCGUAAUUACUGAAUGACAGGUUUUUAACAGUUAUUUUCGGUUUUGACAGUUUCCAACUGUCAUAACUAAUACCUAUAAAUACCUGUUUCAUUCAUCUGAAAGGGGUUGAAAAACAUCAUCAUUCACACCACAGAAUUCUCUUUAAAAAUUCGUUCUUCCAAAGAUGAAGGGAACAUAGGAAUUUCGUCAGAAUCAAGAGAAGUUCUUGAUUGAUUGUUGUAUCCUCUAGACAGAUCCCCACCAGGGAAAUUUCUGUCUUAGGACACUGCAAUUUGCAGGCCUCAAUCUACAUAAUUUCGUUUUUGUGUUUCUGUUGUAAGCAUAAACCAUCAAGUAUGUUUUCUGCAAACUGAUUCUUGUAUAUUUCAUACAUAUAUUUCAAUUUCGUUUGUUUUAUUUCUGUUAAUUUUGUUGAUUGUAUACUUCUGUAUUAACAAUCUAAGACAGAAAUUAAAAAGUGGAAGAAUGGAUCAACAAUCCAUCAUCAAAACACAUGUGGAAAAGCCUGAGAAAUUCAAAGGCUCAGAUUUUCGAAGAUGGCAACAGAAGAUGUUGUUUUAUCUAACAACUCUUCAUGUUUCCAAUGUUCUCACUGAUGAUUCUCCCUCUCCUCCUAUUGGUACAACCACUGCAGAAGGAACAACACCACCCAGUGAAGCCCAAAUGGCAGAACAUCAAAGGGCUGUGGAAACUUGGAACACAAAUGAAUAUAAUUGCAGAAAUUAUAUUCUAAAUGCCCUGGAUGAUUCUCUCUAUGAUAUCUACUCUACCAUGACUACUGCAAGAGAGAUAUGGGAAUCACUGGAAAAGAAAUACAAAACAGAAGUGGCAUGUUCCAAGAAAUUCGUGAUUGGAAAGUUCAUGAAUUUCAAGAUGGUGGAUACCAAAUCUGUCCUCAAACAAGUGGAGGAAAUUCAAGUCAUUGCACAUGAUCUUGAAGUUGAAGGUAUGGGUAUAAACUCUAAUUUUCUUGUUGGUUCAAUCAUUGAAAAACUUCCUCCUUCUUGGAAGAAUUUCAAAUUAUAUCUUAAGCACUUAACUGAUGACAUGAGUUUUGAGCAACUUGUGUUGAGAAUUCGUGUGGAAGAAGAUAACAGAUUGAAUGAGAAGGCAGAUGCAAAUUCCUUGGAACCAAGUGCAAACUUUGUUGGAGAAGCAAGUACUUCAAGGACAAAGCACAACAACAAGAAAGGGAAGCAAGGCUCCAAAAACUCUUCCAAAGAUGGCAAAAAUCAUGGCCCUAACAAGAAGAAUUUCAAGAAGAAUUCUGGUCCAUGCUAUGUUUGUGGCAAAAUUGGACACAAGGCCAAAGAUUGCAGAUUCAGGAGGGGUCAAGGAGGAAACAAUGGAGGAAAUAAUCGAGGGAACAAUGGAGGAAACAAUGGAAACAAUGGUGGCAAUUCUGGUGGAGGAAAUUCUGGUCAAGCCAACAUGGUUGAAUCACCAAAUCAAUUUGUUGCUGUGAUUCAAACCAACAUGGUUAGCAAUUGUGUGGAUUGGUGGAUUGAUACUGGAGCCACAAGGCACAUUUGCAACUCCCGAACCAUGUUUUCUACAUACCAGAAAGUCUCGGAUUCUGAACCAAUGUUUAUGGGGAAUGGCUCUACUGCAAAAGUUGAAGGAAAGGGAAAAGUGAAACUACAAUUGACUUCUGAAAAAGAACUUGUUUUAUGUGAUGUCUUGCAUGUUCCUGAAAUUACUAAGAAUUUGAUUUCUGGUCCUAUUCUUAGUAACAAAGGUUUCAAACUUGUAUUUGAAUCUGAUAAAUUUGUUCUCACCAAGGGUGGGAUGUAUGUUGGAAAGGGAUACCUUAGUGAGGGUCUCUUCAAAGUCAGUGUAUUACCUUUGUACUAUGGUGUUGAAACACCAAACAAUGAUGUAACCAAUAUUAAUGCUAAUGCAAUAAUGGGCACUACUAGCCCCUCUUCUAUGUAUAUGCAUGAUCCUUCAAUUUUGUGGCAUUCUCGUUUGGGACAUGUUAAUUUUCGUUCUAUUCAAAGAAUGGCAAAACUUAGCAUGUUACCAAAAUGUUCGUUAGAUAAAAAUAUAAAAUGUGAGGUUUGUGUAGAAUCAAAAUUUACACAACAUCCUCAUAAAUCGGUUGAAAAAUCUAAUGAAAUACUUGGCUUAAUCCACUCUGAUUUAUGUGAUUUUAGAGCAACACCUACAAGAGGAGGAAAGAAUUAUUAUAUAUCCUUUAUUGAUGAUUGCAGUAAGUAUUGUUAUAUUUAUUUGUUAAAUACCAAAGAUGAAGCCUUGAAUUAUUUUAAGAAUUACAAGGCUGAAGUUGAAAAUCAACUUGACAAAAAGAUCAAAAUUCUAAGGUCUGAUCGAGGAGGAGAAUAUGAAUCCAAAGACUUUGCUGAAUUUUGUUCUUUAAACGGUAUUAUACAUCAAACAACUGCUCCAUAUACUCCUCAACAAAAUGGAGUGGCAGAAAGAAAGAAUAGAACAUUGAAAAACAUGAUUAAUUCAAUGUUAAUUACUUCUGGAGCACCACAUAAUCUGUGGGGAGAAGCAUGUCUUGCAGCAAAUACAAUACUUAAUAGAAUUCCUCAUAAAAAGAGUGAUAAAUCACCAUAUCAUCUAUGGAAAGGGAGGUUACCCUCUUAUAAAAGGAUGAAAGUGUGGGGUUGCCUUGCUAAGGUUCAAGUACCUCUUCCUAAGAGGACUAAACUUGGACCAAAAACCAUAGAUUGCAUCUAUCUUGGCCCUGCCAUGAAUAGUGCAGCAUACAGGUUUCUUGUGUAUAAAUCACAUGUUGAUGAGAUCCAUAACCAAACCAUCAUGGAAUCAGCAGAGGCUGAAUUCUUUGAAAAUACUUUUCCUUUUAAGGUUAAAAGAAAAGAGGUUACCUGCUUUAGGAAAAGACCUCUAGAUGAUGGACUGAAUGAUACAAUUCCAGAAAAAAGUUUACAAUCAAAUGAAGAGAAUUCUUCAAAGGUUCAAGAAGAGAACUUAGAACCUAGAAGAAGCAAACGGGGGAAAAUAGCCAAAGAUUUUGGACCUGAUUACAUGACCUAUGUAGUGAAUAAAGAACCACAAACAUAUAAGGAAGCUAUGGACUCCUCUGAAGCUCCUUACUAGAAAGAGGCAAUCAAAAGUGAGAUUGACUCCAUUGUGCAAAAUAACACUUGGAAAUUGGUAGAUUUGCCACCUGGGCAAAAACCAAUUGGGCACAAAUGGAUAUUCAAGAAGAAGUUUAGACCUGAUGGUACCAUAGAGAAGUACAAAGCUCGUUUAGUAGCUAAAGGGUAUCGUCAAAAAGAGGGUCAAGACUUCUUUGACACCUAUUCACCUGUUACAAGAAUUACAUCAAUUCGCACAUUAGUAGCAAUUGCAUCCAUUCAUAAUUUGGAAAUACACCAAAUGGAUGUGAAAACUGCCUUCUUGUAUGGUGAACUAGAUGAAGAGAUAUAUAUGAAUCAACCUGAAGGGUUUGUGGUUAAAGGUCAAGAAAACAAAGUCUGUAAGUUAGUUAGAUCACUUUAUGGACUAAAACAGGCUCCAAAGCAAUGGCACGAGAAGUUUGACAACACAUUACUCUCUAAUGGAUUUAGAAUAAAUGAAUGUGAUAAAUGUGUUUAUGUCAAACAAUACAAGAAUGCUUAUGUCAUCAUAUGCUUGUAUGUGGAUGAUAUGCUUAUAAUGGGUACUAAUCUGGAUGUGAUCAAUCAAACCAAGAAAAUGCUACACUCCUCCUUUUCCAUGAAAGACUUGGGAGUAGUAGAUGUGAUCCUUGGUGUAAGAGUUCAAAGAAGACCAGAUGGAUAUACUCUUACUCAGUCCCAUUAUAUUGAAAGUGUACUCAAGAAGUUUGGACACUAUGAUGACAAGCCGGUUGUCACCCCAUUUGAUGCUUCUAGUCAUCUAAAGAAGAAUAAAGGUGAUACUGUAGCUCAGUUAGAAUAUACUCAAGUUCUCGGCAGCUUGAUGUAUAUUAUGAAUUGUACUAGACCGGACUUGGCUUAUAGUGUAAGUAGAUUGAGUCGUUACUCCCACAAUCCUGGGAAAGAUCAUUGGUAUGCAUUAGUAAGAGUGCUUAGAUAUUUAAAGCAUACAAUGAACUAUGGACUGCAUUACACGAAAUAUCCUCCUGUUCUUGAAGGGUAUUGUGAUGCAAAUUGGAUUUCCAAUACUUCUGAGGCAAAAUCCACAAGUGGAUAUGUGUUCACUCUUGGUGGAGCUGCUAUCUCUUGGAAAUCAUCUAAGCAAACUGUGAAUACUCGUUCUACAAUGGAAGCAGAGUUUGUUGCUUUAGAUAAAGCUGCUGAAGAAGCUGAAUGGCUUAAAAGCUUCCUAGAAGGUAUUCCUCUGUGGCCUCAACCUGUUACUGCCAUUGGCAUACAUUGUGAUAGUAUGGUUGCUCUUACUAGAGCACAAAGUCAUAUAUACAAUGGCAAGUCAAGACACAUCAGGCGCAGACAUAUUACAAUAAGAGACUUGCUGAAGAAUGGAAUCAUUUCCAUUAGUUACAUAGAGUCAAAGGAAAAUAUAUUUGAUCCCUUGACAAAAGGCCUUAGCAGAGAGCAAGUUCUCUUCACAUCGAGGGGAAUGGGCUUAAACAACACAAUGAGUCACCACCUGGCGGAAACCUAAUCUAGCAACAUUGGAGAUCCCAUGGUCUAGGUUCAAUAGGACAACUAGUUGUGGAAGACUCAAAGAAGCACUAACACAAAGGUAUGCUCACUCCUAUGAUAUUUAUUUCGUGUUUUUCCGUUGAUGAUAUAGGGAUGAAUUCUUUAUUCUUAAUAAUGCUGAUAGCGUUCAUAGUGGAAUAAGUACGGAUUGUUCUAGAUUAGCAUUACUUAUGUGAGAUGGAUGUGAGGUCGCAUCUUUGGGAGCUGAUAUGGCUAAGCUCUCUAAAAGUCUCAUGAAGAAAUGAUUGUUCACGACCGAAAUGAACACCACGGUAAGAAAUGAUCUAUGCUUAGAUAUGAUAUGUGUGAUACUUCUUGUUUUUUAUUCUACUAUAAAAAGUGGUUAGUUCAAGACUCUAGUUCACUACCCACAAAGUAGAUCCAAGUAGUACUCACUAUGAAAGGUUCAAGUUUUACAACACCUAUUCAGAUGCAUGUCAUAUCUUACUUCCCUUAUUUGAAUAUCAAAGUUCACUUAUUUUCUAUUCAAAUGUGGGGUAUUCUUGGAGUUUGAAUAGAAAAUGUGGGGUAUUGUUGGAACUUUGUUAAAUGGAAAACACUCUCUUUGGGACUUGUCCCACAUUGGAAGAAAGAGGAAACUUAUACUCCCUUAAAAAGCCUCCUACUACUUGUUUACUAAUUAGAUCAAAGGCUUGGACUAGAGGGAUUGGGUUGGAUUUGGUGAUUGGGCUAGUCAAAUUGGUCUUAAAAGCUUAUAUAUAUUUAAUGGUCAAAGAUUGGCCUUGGGCCUUGGGGCUCUUGGGGUCUCAUUGACUAGUUACAAUAUUUCAUAUAUAUUAAUUCCGGUUUUGACUUUUAUUAUAUAUUAAAAAUCUGUUAAAUUCGUUUUAACUGUUUUGACAGUUAUUUUCGGUUAGCAGUUUUGGAGGGAAAAAACCUGUCAAUCUAUAUGUAUAAAUAGAUCACCAAAGACCAGAUUUCGGGUUCAGAAAAAUUGCAUACAGAUUCCUCUUAUAAUUUCGUACUCCAGAUACAAUGAAGGGAACAUAGAGAAUUUCGUCAGAAUCAAGAGAAGUUCUUGGUUGAUUGUUGUAUCCUCUAGACAGAUCCCUACCAGAGAAAUUUCUGUCUUAGGACACUGCAAUUUGCAGGCCUCAAUCUACAUAAUUUCGUUUUUUGUGUUUCUAUUGUAAACAUAAACCAUCAAGUAUGUUUUCUGUAAACUGAUUCUUGUAUAUUUCAUAUAUAUAUUUCAAUUUCGUUUGUUUUAUUUCUAGUAAUCUUGUUGAUUGUAUACUUCUGUCAUAACAGGUUAGAUUAUUUAAUCUAUUUUACUUUGUCGUUUUUUGAGAUACUUUCUUCUCCAAAUUCAUCAUCACCUACAACAACAACUAAAGUAUGUUAGCUCUGUUACUUCCUCUGCAUCUGUACAAUACAUAUAAUUUCUUGUUUAUAUUCAACAAAAAUAUAGCAUCUGUUUGAUUUUGGGUUAAAGAAAUAAAUAGAACUGGUUACGUAUUAUCAUAUAGAAUCGGAAUCUCUGUGUUUUGGAAUUAAUCACUACGAAUUUGGUAUUUUAGUAGCUAAGGGAAAUAUUGUAAUUCCAUAAGAUUAUGUUUACUGUUUAUUAAACUGAUGUUACAAACACCUAAUGAAUUGUUUUUGAAAAUUUAUUGUACUUUGUCAUGUACACCAUUCUAUGAAAGAUGUGCACCCGUUGAACCAUUUAAACUUGUAGGUGUAUGGAAGUCACUUUUCAUUAAUUUACUAUAUUAGUGAGCUUAUAUAUUACAGGGGUAUAACAGUUUUUUUUAUUAAGGCUAAACGCAAGGAAGCUCCAUGUAUUAAGGCUAAAUGCAAGGAAUACUAAAAUACUUCCAUUUUAUUUACAUGAUUUUUUAUUUCUUGUAUGAUACGUACAUCAUAUGGAUUCAACUUAUCUCAAAGACCGACGCAAACAAAAAAAAAAUAAAUUUAGAUUAUAGAAAAUCAAAUGUCAUGUCCACCACUUCAAUUAGUAAUUGUUUUCCGACAUGUCAGUUUUGUUUUAUUAUCAUUCCUUUUUUAGUUAACUUAUGUUAUAAAAAUAUUUUUUAUAUCAUUUAAAUGUUUGUCACAUAAGCAAUAAAUUAUAUUAAUAAAUGGGUAGAUUAUUAUCGAUUCAAGGUGGUUUAUCCUUAUCAACAUUUAAUUGCUUCAAAUUAUUUUACAUAUCUUGUUGGUAACAAUGAAAAUAUAAAUCCAGAUACUUGGGGUGAAUAUCAGCAUACAAGUUUUCAAUCUACUUCAACUUUUAAUAUUACAAGUCUAUUACGUAAUAAUGCUAAAGAUAAAAGAAAACUUAGAAAAUUAUAUUUAGAUAACAAAAGAUCUAAUGAUAUGACCACGUCAAACGGUAUAUAUUUUUCUAUCAUGCAUUGUAAGUUAGUUUGCUACCAUAUUAGUGUUUUUACAUAUUAGUGUUAAUUUUGUUGCGUUGUUUCUUUUAUCUAAACCUAUUGCGACAUAAACAAUGCAUAUUUUUAUAUAAUACUCUUAGUAUUCCACAGGUAAUGGUCAUCAUGAUCAACAUUGAUUUGAUUUUUUAUUAAUUUUUUAAAUAAGUCUGUUAUAUUUCGUUUUCAAUGAUAUAAGUAUGCAUAUUUUUUUUCUUCAUCUAUACGUUAGCUUACAAAUAUUCUGAGGUAUGUUAUAACUUUUUUCUUAUAUAUUUAUUUCAGUGCUUACUGAUAAGAGUAUCAAAAGUCAAACAUUAUCAUCAAGCAAGUUUAAUUAUGUUGUUGGUAACAAUCAAAAUGUCAACCCAAACAUCUAUAAAGACAAAUGAAAACAAAGAAAAUAUUAUUUGGAAAAUAGAAGAUUCAUUCAGACUUGCACCAUAUCAAACAAUAAUAUGUUAUACUAGGCGAAUCUAUAUGCGUUGCGCGAGAAUAUAAUUUCUUAAUUAAAAUAAUAAUCUUUAAACAAAUUAUGAUUUAAUAUUUAUAUAUGAAAAACAAUUUCAAUAGCAAAUUAAAACAUAUAGUUAACCUAUUAACCGUCAUAGUUUAUAUCAUUGGUUAUUUCUACUGUUAAAUGAUGAUUUUAUAGACUGUUUUAACUUGUGUAAAUUGUAUAUCAAACGUGCAUUGAUUUCUAUAUAUAAUGAAUAACAAAUUAGUAUGAAAAAUAAACACCACUUUUGAGUACACUUUCAUAGUUAAUAUGACUUCAUGUAAAUAUAUUAAUUCACAUCAAAUUUAAUUCAUAAAGUUUAACAAUUUGUCUAAUAUAAAUGAUAUUUUAACUAAUUUCAUUGAAACAAAAAACAAAUUAGAAAUCCGUACUUUAUAUAAUAUCAAAUAUAAUAAUCUAUAACUAAAUAAUUAGUUUUAUUUAUUUUAUAAAUGUAUCAACUUUUCAAUUUGACAUAUCAUUCAAACCUAGAAAAGUACAUAUCUAAAUACAUAAAAUUGAUAUGAUUUUAUUGACAACCUUGAAAUCUUAAAACAUGAACGUAAAAUAAUAAACUGAAAUAUAAACCCAAAAUACUCAUUAACGUUUCAAUCCUCUAAAACUUUAUACACGAUAUAAAAAUAUAUAAACCAUAUUUUAUCAUCAACCAAACAAGACAAAUUAAAAACCCUAGCAACAUAAUAUAACUCCAUGAAUUAUAUAUACCACUAUAUCAACCAAUUAAUAAUCAUAAGCAGUAUAGACUAUAAAAUUUGAAUUGUAGUGGUUGAUUAGUAUUAACUAAAAGAGAAGAAGAAAAGUUUUGUAGGUUUCAAAUGAAUAUGGUUAAAGUAUUUUGACCUCUAUUAUAGUAAACACUAGAUGAAUACUCGCGCAUUACGCAAAAUACAACAAUAUAUUUGUAAUCUUUACAAAUAUAUGUUUUUUAAAUAUGUCAAUAACGUUGUUAGCUCUUAUAAAAUAAUAUCUUAUAAUAAGUUGGUAUAAACAUUUUUAGUUUUGAAUUAUAUGACAAUAUAUGUAGACAUCUUUUAAAAUUAUAUAAUUUUAAUUGUCUCAAUGACUUCUACCUAUGCAUUACUCAUAAAUAAAAUUAAAUAUAAUAUAUGGUUUAAUGAUAUUUAUAGUUGUUGGUAUGAUUAAUUAAUUUUAAAAAGUUUAUUUGUUUAAUAUUUUAAUUUCUAUCAUUGUAAUUAUUUAAAAGAUCAAACAUAGUUUUUGUUUUUUUAAAAGUAACAAUAUAAUUUUUGUAUAUAAUGUUACUUUUAACUAUUGUUAUUGUAAGUUAUAUAAAAUAACGUAUUUGGAAACUUUUAAUUAUUUUAAUUUGGUUUCAGAAAUUUAACUUUUUUCAAAUUUAUUUAAUGAAUAUUGUUAGUUUCUUUGAUUGUAAUUUGUUUUUAAAGAUAACAUUACAAUUUUUUAUAUAAUAUUACUUUUAACUAUUCUUAUUGUAAGUUAUUUUUAGCUAUUUAUUUGAAAAAUCUUAAUGAUUAUAAGAAAUAGUUUCAUGAGUUUUUUUGUUAAUUUAGGAUUAUAAUUUAAGUUGAGCACUAUAAUUUAUAACUUUUAACUAUUUAUCAAAUACACCCUCGAUUGUUUUUCAAGUUUAACUGAAAGUUUGAUUUAAGUUAAUCAUUUAACAUUAUAUUGAAAUUAAUAAUUUAACUAUUUUGCAUAAAAUAAUAAAUUUUACAAAAGUUGUGACUUUAAAAUAACAAUUGAUCACAUAUAUCUAAAGUAAUAAGUUAACUAUAAUAUGUUAAAAAGUUAAAGUCAUAAUUUUAUAAAUAGAAAUAAAAUAUGAUAUUUUAAUAUUGUAGAUUAGUUAAUUUAUUAUUAGAAUUUAGUUUUUGCAUUAAUCUAAUAUUAUUAACCAAUUUAUAAUAAUUAUUAGAAAGAAAUUUAAAAGUAAUGGAGGUUUCAAAUGCAUGUGGUGAAUGUCUCUUUUAUAAGUAUACUAGACGAAUUCUCGUGCGUUGCGCGGUGCAGGUUAAAAAUAUAUUGUUAGAAUAUUGAAAAAUAUAUGUUUAUAAUUGUUAUAUUAUUAACAUUAACUUUGACAUAAUACUUUUACUAUAUAUAUAUAUAUAUAUAUAUAUAUAUAUANUAUAUAAUCUCAACUAUUUUGAACAAUAAUAUUCAUUGACAUCAACCUAUAUUCCUCAUUAAUAAAAUUAAAUAUAACUAUCUAUUUAGUAUUAUUUAUAACAAUUGUUAUAAUUGAUUAAUUUAAAAUUUUACUUAUGCGAUUUUUUCUAAUUUCAAUAAUGAUGUUCAUUUAAAAUACAAUUUUUUUGUAGUUAACGUUAUGUAAUUUAUAGCUUUAUGUUAUUAUCAUUUAAAGUUAUUGUGCAUUAAUUUUAAACCACUUAUUAUUAUUAGUAAGUUAAAGAAGACUUUUAAGAAACACUUAAUAUUAUUAUUCAAAUAUCAAACAUAUACUAAAUAAUAAAGUAAUAAGAUUGACAAUUUGCAUUUCAAAAGAGGCUUGCAUCGAUAAUAUGACAUAUCCAUGUUUUUUAUAAUUUGAUUUUAUUUUUUAUAUUUAUUGUUCAUUAAUUUUAAAACCACUUAUUAUUAUUAAUAGGUGAAAGAAAACUUUUAAAAAGCACUUAUUAUUAUAAUUACAAUGUUAAACAUAUGCUAAAAUAUAAAGUGAUAAGAUAGACAUUUUUCAUUUCAAAAGAGACUUGCAUGGAUAAUAUGGAUAAUAUGACAUAUUCAUGAUUUUUAAUAAAUUAUUGUUUUGAAGCAACACAAACAUACAAACAUAUAUACAAUAUUUCAUUAAAUAUUAUUUAUAUCACCUUCCAUAAUAUAUGAUCGAUAACAUGAAUCUAAUCUAAUUACAUUAAAAUUUCAACCACAACAUAUAAUGAUUGUCUUAAAAGAAUACUUAAACCAAGAAAAAUAUAUUAAAAAAAAUAGUAUACAACAAACUUGCAAAUUAAAAACUUUAACAUAAUAACAUGACUUGAAAAAGGGUCUAAAACCCUCAAACCAACACAAAAACCUUUAAACUGUGUUUCUUUGUGAAUUUUGUAUGUGAUCGGUAUUUGUGUGUCUAUUCAAAGAAAUUAGCAUUUUAUAGUAGAUUAUUCAUUAAUUGUUUGUUAAACGUAUUAUAUAAGUUAUAAAACCUUUGAAUGGUUAAUCAUUAUUUAGAGACUUUUGAGUGGUAUUCAUUCAAAUAGGAGGUUUCAAAUGAAUAUGGUUUGAGUAAAGAUGUCUCUAUUAUAAGAUACUAGACGAAUGCUCGCGCGUUGCGCAGUGGGAUAAUUAUGUAGUUUAAUAUGGUUAUAUAUGGUUUAAUGUAUUGUGAAUAAGUCAUACAUAAAACUUGUAUGCGAUUAAAUAGCAUGUAUAUUUUUUGAUUUACAGAUUUUUUAUCAUAAUAAAUAAUGAAUUUUUUUACUAUUGGUUUAAAAUUUUAAAUUUAAUUUUUAUGUACACAUUAGUAUUUAAUGUAAUUAGUUGAUGAUUGAUUAGAUAUGGAUUCUCAUUUGUGGUCGUCUAUUUGUUGAACCUCAUAAAAAUACAUGUUUAACGACUUUUGUUAGUUUUAAUAUUGAAUAGAAAAUGGUGUCAUAUUUUAAGUAAAUAUAAAAAAUCUCAUUCUCAAUCAAUUUUAAGAUAGUGACAUAUUUUAAGUUAAUAUAAAAAUCAUAUUCUAGAACUAAUGAAAAGAAAAAACAGAGCCAAAAUUUUUAACUAUAAAAAAGUUGAUUCCAAUUAAAAAGUGUUCAAUCGAAGAUAAUUUCAUUCAAUAAACAUCAUAAGAUAUUACGUUAUAUUCAAAUUACAGACAUCAUUUUUGUAAGAGUCAUUCAAAAUAUAUGAGACUAUAGUGCCUAAUACAACAAUGUAAUUGUAACGUCCCAAAAUUCAAGACUAAAAAUUUCUUCUAAUAAAAUAUUACUUAAAGUAAAAUCGUCGAUUCAAAGCAUAAUCAAAUAAUAGUUUUCAAAACACAUGUUCAUUAUCAGAGUACUACAUCCCAGGCUGUCUACAAUAUGGUGUGUGUCAUGCGAUCAUCCCGAACUCCGUCAUCCGCUACCGGAAGUUCCUGAAACCAAAACUGAAAACCGUAAGCACGAAGCUUAGUGAGUUCCCCACCCUACCACAUACCAUGCAAACAUACAACAUACAUAUGUCGUAACAUAACAUAUUAUCAGACAUAUCUGGGGUGUCUGACCUACCCUUCGGUCCUAACAACCGAACUCUACUACUAUCACAUACACAUAUCAUAACGUAACAGAUUAUCAGACAUAUCUGGGGUGUCUGAACUACCCUUCGGUCCUAACAACCGAACUUGGGGACUGGUCCCCUCCUACUACCUUUAUCGCAUAUAACAUAACAGGCCAACAUGCAAACAUAUCAUCACAUACUGUCAGACGUUUCUGGGGUGUCUGACUACCCUCCGGUCCUAACAACCGAACUCUACUGAUGAACCAGGGAGCCCCGUCCAUGCUCCUACUGAUAGUGAGAUACAGGCCCAACCCGCACUCACUUUUUCCCUAACUUGGGCCUCGCCCCUGAUCUGUUGCUAAUGAGAUGUGGAACACCAUCCACACUCUGCUAUUGGUGAGGUACGGGACCUCGCCCACACUCACCACCCUACCAGGCACAUACAAGUAUCACACAGACAACAAGUAUAAACUAUCACAUAAACCAUUUCUUGGGCACCCGCCCGCUAACAUUGGACCUCGUCCUGAACAACAUACUAGCAUACGAUGCCUAGGGCUAACCCCCGGGUCUUCUACUCAUAUCUACAUGGGUCGGCAUUGUGGCCGUAGACCCAUUCACACAAAGGGAAACUCACAUGAUACUGCUGAACUGUUGCUGCUAAUCCCUUUGACCGCUACCUGACCACUAACUCCGAACUGCUGCUCCACUAGCUCCCCGAGCUACCAAUAUCAACAUAACACUUAGUCUAACUGACCUUCAAAGGUCAACUAAGUCAACUCUUGCCAAAGUCAAAGUCCUGGUCAAAGUCAACCUCCCAGGUCAACCCUACUCGCCGAGUCACCCUAUUGACUCGCCGAGUUCAUAUGUUCAGAGUCCUUCUAUUCGCGACUCGACUCGCCGAGUCAGUCCAUGACUCGCCGAGUCUACCGAUUUCCGAGUCCUGACCUGUCCAACUCACCGAGUCUCCAUUCGACUCACUGAUUCGAGUCUCAACUCGAAGGGUUUGGGGUUUCGCGACCUGACUCGCCGAGUCCAAGAACAGACUCGCCGAGUCCAAGACAAUCUUCAUCCAACUCGCCGAGUUGUUCUUCCAACUCGCCGAGUUCAUGCCCAACUUCAUCCGACUCGACGAGCUGUUCAUCCCACUCGUCGAGUUCCUCCUCAUCUUCAAGCUACUCGCCGAGUCCACUCAAAGGACUCGCCGAGUCCAUCCGGUCCUUCAUACAUGCAGAGGACUUUUGAGUCAUGCAGGGACUCAAAUCUGUAGAUCUACCCUUCCCAAGCCUAUUCCUCACGUAAAGUUGCAAACUUUACGUGUAGAGAAGGAGAUCUAAGCAAAAUACACCAUAAACUAGGGUUUAAGGCAAGGAGGCUCCAUAAUCAACUCAAGGGCUGCUACUUUAUGCUUCUCAAGACCAUAAUAUGCUUAGAUCUGAAGUAGCAACUUCAGAUCUGGCUUCUAACUCAAAAUAAUAACAUUAUGGCUAAAAAGCCCCAACAACCACACAUAGAUCUAGGUGCAAAAAGGGUCCAGGAACUAGUUUAUUACCUCCAAAUGCUUAGAAUGAACUCACAAUCCCAGAUCUAUAGUCCCUUCUUGCUCCUCCAAGUUCCUUCUUCCUUCUCCAAGCUUUAAUGCACCUUCCAAGGCAACAAAUGGCUCAAUCAAAGGAUAUGACGGCUAGGGUUUGGUAUCCAGGGCUAAAGAGGCAGUAAGGAACCCUGGGAAGAAGAUUAAGACGUUUAUAUAGGCUCCAAGUCCCGAAUUUAGGGUUUUCCACGCACAGACCAGACUCGCCGAGUCACCUUGGCCGACUCGCCGAGUCGGUCACUUACUCCUCGACCCGGAUCCCGCUCGGACUCGCCGAGUUCCUCAUUGGACUCGCCGAGUUGCCCCUUAAAAUUAAGGUUUUCUUUCCUUUCUUGGCCUUCAAAACUUUGGGUGUUACAGUAAUAACCAAAUGACCCUAACAUAUUUUAAAUGAAAUAUAAUUAUAAUAUAUUAUCUAUGCAACUAAUAUAGUAUUCUUUUAAUAUGUGGGAUUCGUCUACUAUAUGACCCUAACUAUGUGGGAUUCGUCUACUAUAUGGUAUUCUUCUAAUAUAUUAUAUUAUAAUAUAAACAUUAUAUUUGGAAAACCACUUUGAGUUAUAUCGUAGUUUAUAACAUUAAAUUUGUGAUGGGCUGUAUUUGACACACAUUUGUGUAUUUAUAUCUAUAUUAUAUAUUUAAAACAAAUCUUAUAUAAACAUCCAACCUAAAUAUUCAUCUUCAAGUUUUCUUUCUUCGCCACGUAAACAAACUUUUGUUAUAAAGCCAAAAAUGGAAUAAAAGACACUUAAUUGUAUGAUCAAGAUAUAUUGUAUUUUGAUUGGGGCAUGUACAAAACAUGCAUGAACAUAUAUUAUUAACUUAUCUCUUGUUUCGGGUAAUUCGAAUAAGAUAGCUUCAAAUCCAACAUAUCAAACGGAUUACCCAUUUACUAAAGUCUACAACCCAAAAACUCAAACAUGUUCUAAUACCAUACAAAUGCAUGAGGUUUUAGCAAAUUAUUAUCUCAUAUGAAUUACCAUUGAUUAUGUGUGAUUAAUUAUUAAGAAGGUGAAAAGGUUUGGGGGUUUCAAAUGCAUGAGAUUUUAGCAAAUUAUUGUGGGGAUUUCAAAUGCAUGAUAAUCAAGGGAAAAUGCAAGCUUUAUAAGUAUGUAAGAUAUAGAUAUAGAUAUUAUUUUAAAAUAUAUCUUUGUCAUGUCGAGUGUAAAAAUAAAAUAAAUUUUACGAAUUUCAUUAGGCACACUUCCAUAGUUAAUAUGAUUUAAAAUAAAUAUUUUAAUUCAUCAAAAUUUAAUUCAUAAAGUUUAACAAUUCAUCUAAUGUGAAUGAUAUUUUAAUUAAUUACAUUGACACAAAAAAAAAAAAAAAAAAAAAAAAAAAAAAAAAAAAAAAAAAAAACAAAGCAAAAAGUCAUAUAGCUAAACUAAAAGCAAAAACAUAAAGAAAAAUAAAAACUAAUACUUCAUAUAAUAUCACAUAUGACAAUCCAAAACUAAAUAAUUACUUUUUAGUUAUCUUACGUAUCAACUUUUCAAUUUGAAUUAUUAUUCAACCCUAAAACAAAACAUAUGUAAAUACAUAAAAUUUAUAUGAUCGUAAUGAGAAAGUUAGAAGCUUCAAAAGCUUCUAACAUGAAAGGAAAAUAAUAAACUGAAAAAUAAACUCUACUAAUUAACCUUUCAAUCUUCAAAGACUUUGUACACAACAUAGAAGCAUAUACACCAUAUUUGAUCAUCAACCAAACAAAUCAAAUUGAAAACCUAGCAACAUAAUCUACCUCCAUAAACUAUAUAUACCACUAUAUAAACCAAUUAAUGAUCAUAAGUAUCAUAGAUUAUAAAACUUUUGAGUUGUAGUGGUUGAUUACUAUUAAUUAAAAAAAUGAAAAGUCUUGUAUAUUUCAAAUGAAUAUGUUUAGAGUAUUUUAGCUUUUAUUAUAAUAGAUAUAUAUAGAUAUUAUUUAAUUUAUCUUUCAUCCAUGUAAUGUAUAAUUAUAUAACACCCGUGUUCCAUAUUGGUUAAUCCUUUUGUCAUCAAAGACUAAAAAUGGAAAUUGGAAGAAAACUUUGUGCCACAACAUGGCGCAGGAUGCCUACGACAUAUCCAUUUUGGAAAGGAACGUGCAUUUUAUUUAGCCACCACGGCGUGGCAUAAGAGCGUCAUGGCGUGGCAGCUGUUCAGGCCCAAGCCCAUGUAUUUUUAGGGUUUCUUCCUUAACUAAGUAUCUCAACCCCCAUUCUAGGUCAUCUUCUUCCGCCUCCAUUCCUUCAUCUCAAAACCCUAGCCUCUCUUCCAUGGAAUUGAGCUUCAUGGAUUGAUCUUGAUACAAUCGCUAUCAAAAGUUAUUUUGUUUUUUAGACAACCAAUAUUUACUUAUGAACAAGUGUAUGUGGCAUUGUCCAAAGUUAAAAACAAAUACAAAUUGAAAAUAUUAAUUUUAGACAAUAAAAAUAACCUUAACAAUAAAACAUCUAUAUUCAAAAAUUUAUAAUUUUUAACAACUAUUUAAAAUAUGUAAUUACUAAUUUUUAGUUUGAUUUCACUUACAUACUUAUUGAACAAAGUCUUUGCUUAUUUAUAAAAAUAUUACUUUAAUAAUUACUUGAUAUUCAAAAUUUGAUAUUAUUUUUAUUUUUUAAUAAGCUUAAGUAAUUCAUAAGUAUUUCACCUAAUGAAGUGAAUAAAUGCAAUCAAGCACACAUUGCAUUCAUCAUUGUAUAUGUUUUACAAUAACACAUGGGCAUUCAAAAUUAAACCUACAAAGAUAUACUACUACUAUAACGUGUCUUUACAAAAUAUAUAUAUAUAUAUAUAUAUAUAUAUAUANNNNNNNNNNNNNCAAAUAGUGAAAGAGAGUUUAAUUAAUCCUUUCCAUGAACCACAAAACUCCCUGGAUUUAUCGUUAUGCUCUUUGUGCAAUUAUCAGUUUUGUAAAUCCCCACAAGUCGAUCAGCCAACUCAAACAUGUUAUUUCUCAAACUACAAAUUAAUAAAAAAAAAAUCCAAAUUACUACAAAAAAAAACAUAUUUUUUAAAACAAUAAAAAAAAGUAUCAUAAAUAUUAAAUACCUUAUGAUAACAAAUUGUGCAUCCUUGGUUCGAUCCUUCACGUAAUGCCCCACAAUUGAAACAUUCUUAAAAUCUAUCACCACAAAUUAGAGUAAAUUAAAUAUAAGUAAUAUAAAAUAAAUAAAAAAAUAUAUAUAUAAAUUCAUUUAAAUAAUUAGAAAUGACAGAAAAAAUAUACCUAACGCAGCAUCGAUUUCAUCCAUAACAUAGAGAGGUGUUGGCUUGUAAUGAUGUAGUGCAAACACAAGAGCUAGUGAACUCAAAGUCUGUAGAAAAAUAUUUUUAUAACAUGUCACAAAAUAUAAUAAUGAAAAAAGAAUUUUUUAUAAUAAUAUUAUUUUACCUUUUCGCCCCCUGAUAAAUUAGCGAUAUUUUUCCAACUUUUUUUCGGAGGUCUAACACUAAACACAACACCUUCGGAAAAAGGAUCUAAAGAAUCCACUAAUUCAAGCUCUGCAUCACCUCCAAGAGUAAUCAUCUAUAAAAAAAAAUUAUUUAAUUAAUUAAAUAUUGUGAUUUGUAUUUUUUUUUUAUAUUAUAUUUUCACAAACCUGAUACAUUUCCUUUAGUUUAAGUGAAAUAGUGUUGAACCCUUCCAUGAACUCAUCUAACCUGAAAAAGACGACGAAAGCAAAUUGGCAUUAUUUAAAAGAGUAGAUUACACUAAUGGUCCCUAUGGUUUAGGGUGAUUUACAUAUUCGGUCCCUAACUUAUUUUUUUAACUCGGAAGUUCCCUACUAUUUGUUUUUGUUACGCGUUUGGUCCCUACUGUUUGUUUUCGUUACACGUUUGGUCCCUGUCUUACCUAAAAAGACUAUUAUUUAAAUAGAGAAAAACAUUGAAGUAAGUAAUGUAAUGUGAGGGGGUUGAGAUUGGGGGUGUGUUUAUUUAAAUAAAUUAAAAAAUCAAGGGCAAAAUAGUCUUUUUAGGUAAUAUAGGGACCAAGUACGUAACAAAAACAAACAGUAAAGACCUUCCGAGUUAAAAAAAUAAGUUAUGGACCAAACGCACAAAUUACCGUAAAACCAUUAGCGUAAUUUACUCAAGGUUACAUAAGGGUAUUUUAGUAAUUUCACUAUAUAAAUUAAAUAUACCUUUUCUUUCGCCAUUCAUCGUAUUGUUUUUUUGUUUCAUCGCGUUCGUUUGUUACUAAAUUAAGCUCUUCGACUCGCUCAUUGUAUACAGAUACUUUGUUACGAUAUCUGUGAGAUUAAAAAAAAUAAUAAUAAAAUUAACGAUUAAUUAAGGAAAAUAAAGUAAUAAUGAAAUUAAAAAAGGGAAAUUCUUUCUUACUCAGCAAUGGAAUCAAGAUUAGGGUUCAUCUCUUUCAUUUGUGCUUCAAGUAACGCCACCAUUUCUAAAGCCUUUUUAAGGUCAGAGGCUUUAGCAAAUGAUUCGUUUUCUCCAAGUGUGGCUUGAAGCUUUUCUGGAUCGACUAAAUCUUUUUUAAUUCUGUCAAAUUUUAAAAAAAAAAAAUAUUAAAAGUUUUGUUUUUUGGAAUAAGAUGUUAAAAGAUAUAAAGUAAUAUGAAACUCACUGUUCUAUAUGCUUUGAAAGAGAGUUGUGUAACUCCUCGAGCUUUUUCUUGUAUCCUUUUUCUUUCAUUUCCAAUUCUUUUAUCAUUUUUUUCAUGUCUUGUAAUUUAAAAUCAGCAUCCACCUGUUUUUCAGUCAUGUGUUAAACCUUAAAUUUAUUUUUAUUUUUUUUGCCUGAAAAAGACCUUGUAUUUUUUCAUUUUUUCAGAUCUGGCCCUUUCAGUCAUUUUUUUCAAAAGAAACAGAAAAGUUGAGUGUUUAUUUCAAAAGCAUUUAGAAGGUUGAGGGGUUUUUUCGGAAAAAAAAAGAAAUACAAAGUUGGGGGUUUUUGGAGAAAAUGGAAAAAUACAAGGUCUUUUAUGAAAUUAACCAUUCUUUUUACUAAGUAUUGUAUUUUGAAUGGUUUUUUUCUCGUUAAGGAAUUAUACUUUGAAAAAUCUACUUAAAUAUUAUUUCUAAUAAAAACAUUAUACUUUGAAAAAUCCAUCUAGAUAUUUUUCAAAAAUACAACUCUUUAAUAGGCUUAAAUGAAUUGUAUUUAUUUAUUUCCACAAAAGGGUAGUGAUGUAAAAGGAGAGAGGGUAAAUAGUUAAAAUACCUCAGAUGCCCUCAACUCAUCAACAGUCUUUUUCAAGUUUUCAUAAUCAGAUUUUGCUUUUCCAAGUGAAUCCUUGUGUUGUUCAAUAAGCUACAAAAAGUAAAAAAAAAAAAAAAAUUAACUCAAAUGGUAAGUUUUUUAAAUGGUAGAAGUAAAAAGUAAAAAAACUGACCUCUUCUGUCUUCUUAUAAUCAUCUUGAACCUUGAAUGCUUUUUCUUCAAUCUCUUUAAAAGAAGUCAAUAAAUUUUCCUUUUGUGCAUUCAGUUUUUCUAUCUCUUUCUCUGAUUCUUUAAUCCCAUUUCUUAAUUUUUUCAAAAGCUUGUUCCCAGUUUCUAUUUGAACUUUGUGUCGAUUGAUCUCUGUGCUGUUUUUAUCAAUGUCCUAACAAAAACAACAUCAGUGAGUGGGUACUUUUAAAAUUUUGGAUGAAGGGCAAAAUAGUCUUUUAACUUGGACUUAACAAGAACAUAAAAAAAAACAAGUCAAACAGUUUAUAAGAAACUCAUAAUAUAACAUACUCUAUUGUUUACAACCUCCUAAAAUGCUUUAUUAAAAAAAUUUGGAUGAAGGGCAAAUUAGUCAUUUAACUUGGACUUAACAAACCCUUCUUUGUCAAAAGGAUCCAAGCCAAGGACCAAAAAUGCAAUGAAACUACAAUUUACACAAAAGAAAAAAUCAAACUUCUGGAUAUGAAGACAGGGGCUAAAUAGUCAUUUUACUCAAACUUAACAACUCUUUAAGUGCAAUGAAACUAAACUACAAGGACUACCCAUGAAAAUAUCAAAACAUUUGGACUAAAUCCAUAACUUCUCAAGAAGCACAAGAACAAAAGUUGUAAUCGAGUCUUUUAAUUAUGACAAAGUUGCAAAAAUGGUCCCUGUGGUUUGUUGAAAAUUGUCAUUUUGGUCCAAAAAGUUUUGAACUAGCACCACUGAUCCAAAACUUUCAUUUUGUUUUGAUUUUGCUCUAAAGCUUUUUAUAAUGACAUUUUUGCCCUUUCUGUUUGUUUUAUCGAAACAAACAUAAGAAGAAAAAAAAUGUGUUGACUGGUCAACCAGACUCAACUUGUUUCAACCCUAAAAAAAAUUACCAUUUUAACCCUAUACUUACAUUUUGGAUCUUGUUAACCUUUGACUUCUGAUUUUUCAACUUUUCACCCCCUGCAUUCUCUAUUUUGCCUUGAAGCUCCAACACCUAAACAAAAUUAUCAAAUCUUAUACAGUUAAACAAAUAUUUAUAUAAAAAAUUGACAGAAUGAGAUAAUAAAAUAGAAAAAAUAUAUAUAUAUUAAAAUCCCAACCUUCUCCUUCAACUGUUUUGAGCCUUUAGUCAACCUAUUGAUCUCUUUUUCUUCUUCUGAAAUAACUUUCUUGAGUUCUUCAAGUCUAGCAAUUUCAGCCUUACUUGGUUCGGCUGCAUUCUUUAGGGAAUCAAGUUGAUUUGCAAGAUAUUCAUGUUGUGAAUUCAAACUCUCAAUCUGUUUCAUUAAAAUAUAUAUAUAUAUAUAUAUAUAAAUAAUUUUAUAAAAUCAGAAAGUCAAAAAAAUAGCAUAUGAUUAUCACAAAAAUGAACAAAAUGGGUAGUCCAGUUUAACAAAUUGACCACCUAUUUGAUUUUUUUGUAAAAUAAUGUCAUUUUGGAAAAAGAAGUGUGUGAGAAGAUUUAAAAUUUUGGAAAAAAAAAAGUUAUAUUUCUAAGUAUUACAAACAAACUUGUUUGUAUUUUGAGAAAUAAUGUCAUUUUGCUAAAAAAAAUGUGAAAUCACGUCAUCAGUUAGUAACAUAUGAAUAAUUUUUUGCAAACAACUGUGAAAUAUAUGAUUAUUUUUUCAGUAAAAAAAAUAACAUCAUGUUAAGGUGUUCUUUGAUUGAAAAAUAUAUCUUUUAAUUAGCAUCUUUUUAAGGUGUCUUUGACUGCAAAAAAAAUAAAUUAAAAUAAAUAAAUAAAUAAUUGAUAUGACAUCAUCAGUUAGUAACGUAUGAACAAUUUUUGCAAAUAAUUGUGAAAUAUGAUUUUUUUUCCCUCAAUAAAAUAAUAAUAUCAUUUUAAGGUACUCUCUGACUGAAAAUAUAUAUUUUUUAAGGUUCUUGUUAAAUAUUUGACAUUAUUACUUUAAAGAAUUCGUCAAAAAUAUAAAAUUAUAUACAACUAAAGACAAUGAAAUCUUAAAAUAGAAUUAUAAUAAUACAUAAAACUACAAUCCACAUGUUGCAAAAUUGAUGUCCAUUUUUUAAAAAAUCAAAAAAGUGGUCUAUUUGUGAAUGAGAUCAUCCAUUGUUUUAAGGUUCUUGUUAAUUAUUUGACAUAAUCACUUUGAAAAUUUGUCAAAAACAUAAACUUACAAAAAAAAAUUAAAGACCAUAAAAUAUAUAAUAAAAAAAGAGAAUUAUAAUAAUACAUAAAACUACAAUCCACAUGUUGCAAAAUUGAUGGCCAUUUCUUAAGAAAAAUCAAAAAGGUGGUCAAUUUGUUAAUGGGACCCACCCAUUUUGGUAUUUUUUGUGAUUAUCCAAAAAAAAAUAUGAAUAUUGUUUAAUAAUGAUUUUUUUUUACCUCUUUUUGGCUUUUGGCUAACUCCAUUUCUAAACGUGUGGCUUGUUUUUCCAAAUCCUUGUAUUCUCUGACAACUUGAGAGAUUUGUUGUCUUAUGUUUUUUAAUUUUUCUGAUAUUUGAUUGAGUUCAUUUUCAGCUUCAGUAAAGGAUUCACCAGAGACACUGGUGGCUCUGAUGGAAGUUCCCAUUUUACCCCCGCGUGGCUUGUUUCCACCUCCACUCAUUGUCCCUGAUUUCUCAAACAAAGCUCCAUCCAGUGUCACUACUCGCCGGAAUUCUUGAUUCCCUCCGUAUGCAAUUCGUGUUGCCUAAAAAAAACAUUGGAAUGGAAUCACAAAUGAAUGGAAUGGAAUGGAAUCACAAAAGAAACAGAACUUAAGUUACAAAAAGAAAAGUUUGAUCAACGGAUUUCAUGUCAUUUGAAAUGCAUAUACUAAAAUGUUUUCUAAAGUAUAAAAAUUAUAAAAAACUGAAUACCAUGAAAUUUUGGAAUGGGAUUAUAAUUAAAAAAACAUUUUGGAAAAUAAAGAGAGAAAAAGUAAAAAUAUUUUGAAAUUUUAUAAAAUAUUAUUGUUACCAAAGAUUAUAGGUGUAAUUGUAAUGUAUCAUUCCAUUCCAUCAUGGAAUGAAGAGAGGUUGAUUCCAUUAUGAUGUGGGAAACAGAAGGGAUCUUUUAAUGAUUUUAUUUUGAAGAAAAAUUAAUACCUGAUCAAUAUCCUUGGCAACAACAGUGUUACCCAUUGCUGCAUAAAAAGCAAGUUUCAUUCUUUCAUCUUGCACCUUGAUGAGAUCAAAAAGACGUGGAACGCCCUCAGGGGUGCUUACUUUUUCCUUCAUUCUAGACAUAUGAUUCCCUUGUUUUUCCUGAAUCAACAUAAAAAUUAAAUAUUACAAAGUAUAAACAAACAACAAUAAAGUAUUCUAAAAAAAAGUCGAAUAAAAACAAUCAAAAUGGGUAAUACAAAAUUUAAAAUCAAGAAAUUUGGGGUUCAUUGUUAGUAAAAAAAAACAAAAAAGAAAUUAGGGUUGAUCUCAAAAAAGACCUUAUAUUUUGUGUUUUUUUCCAGAUUAAACCUCAAAUUUAUUUUUUUAAAAAGCCCUCAACUUUGUAUUUUUUUCCGCAAAAAAACCCUCAGCCUUCUAAAUGCUUUCAAAUAAACCCUCAAACUUUUUAGUUUUUCUUGGAAAAACCCUCACAUUUUACAUUUUCUUUGGAAAAAAUGAUUAAAAGGGACAGAUUAACCCAAAAAAAUGACAAGUUUUACAUUUUUUUGGAAAAAGAAUGAAAAAAUACAAGGUCUUUUUCAGGCAAAAAAUAAACUUGAGGUUUAAUCCAGAAUAAAAACACAAAAUAUACAGUCUUUUUUUUAGAUUAACCCAAAAUAUUAUUGUCCCUUUAUUUUUUUCUCUAAUUUGUGUAAUCUUAGCAGCUAGCUAAUGAAAUCCUGUUAUUAAGGCAAAAAUAUAUCAUCACCUAAUCGCCUAAAUUCAUUGUUUUUUAAAAUGAGGAUUUAUUAAAAUAAAAAAAUAAAAAAUAAAAAAAGAAUCUUUUACCAAUAUCAUGAAAGUAGCAACACCAAGAUUGUUCUUACGAAGCAUGUCCACACAUGCUUGUGCUGCAGCUGUUGUUUCCACCACAAUAUAAUCAAGUCCAGCACAUGCUGUUGAAACUGCCACGUCAUACUUUGCUGCAAACAAAAAUCCACGUCAUAAACAGGGGUAUAAUAGACCUUUUUACAAUGUGAAAAAUCAGAAUGCUUUUGUUUUAAAUAAAAGUUAAAUGGAUUCAUGUCUAGUUGACAUAAACUUACCAUCAAUAGCACCCAAAUCACCCAUUCUUCCAUAAAUACCCUCGAUUGAAUUCGAAGAUUUUGCUUGCAAUAUUGCUUUUAAAACAGACCCUUGAUUCCUUUCAGUUUCCAUGACAGAUUUUAGCUCCAUGACUUUUUGUCUUGCUGUUUGUUCAAGAGUCAUUAGAGCCUCUUGUUCUUUUAGACAUUCCUGAAAAACCACAAAAUGAUAACUAUUUAGCAAUUUCACAACAAGGGUAGAGUUGGAAAUAUGAAAAAGAGACAAGGAAAUGAACUUACUUGUUCUACUUUAUGGGCUUUUGAUGAAUCAAGUUUGUUUUCUUCUAACUUGGUUUGCAUAUCUUUUAUGCUUGAAGUCUUUGUUUCAACUUUCUUUUGUAUAUCAUCCAAUUGUUUUUGAGCAUCCAAAUAUGCCACACGUCCAGCUUCAUGCUAAAAUAUUCGCAAAUUUAAGAAAUAAUUAAUUAAUCAGAUAAUUCAUACAGAUAAAUUAAACCUUCAUGUUUCAAAUCUAUUUCAGAUUUCAAAGCUUUUUAAUGAUUCAAAUGUAAUACUUGUUACUUGUAAUAAUACCAUGUCAUAACACCAUUAUAACGGAUAUCAUAAUUUAAGGCAUUGAAAUCCCAAAAAUGCCCCUCACCUUCUCAGACAAAAGUUUCUUUUCUGUAGAUGCCACUUCAAGCUUUCCUUGAUGCUCAAUCAGUUCUUUUUCCCAAGGCUUUAGUUCAGCACGAACCUUUGCAACUUCUUCUCUGAAUUUCUCAGUUUCAACUAUUAAAAAAAUAAUAAAUAAAUACAUAUCAAAACAAAAUUUUAUACUAAACCAUGUUUCUAUAAUAGUAUAAUCUAUAUUAUAUACCUUUAGAGCUUUCCAUAAUUUCCUCCAAUAUCUUUUCUUCAUUCACCAAACUCUUUUGCAGUUUAGGAAUAUCUUCCUCUAGUUUAGGGAUUAGAUUAGUUGACUCUUCAGAUUGCCUUGUGAUAUCUGUAAUCUUUGCUGAAUCCUAAUGAAAAAAAGAGAGAUUAUUUAUUUAUGUUAUAACUUUAUUCAUUUAAUGCCACAUAUGCAGAAGACAUAUAUAUCUUACCUUUUCAACUUUUUCUUCUGUUUUCUUGAUCUUUGUUUUCACAUGUUUUAAAUCUUCUCGAUGUUUCACAUCUUGUCUCUCAAAUUCCUUGAAUUCAUCUUUGCACCUUUUAAGCUCAGUGUCAAGUUCCUUUAAAGCAAUGCAAAGAAAAGUAAAGUAAAACAUAUAUUUAUGUUCUUUCUUGCAAUACAUAUCUAAAAAAGUAUCUGGAGAUAAAUAAAGUACUCAAGCAAACCUCUUGUCUCUUUAAAAACUUGUUAUGCUGUGUCUCAAGCUCCUUCAAAGAGUUUUUGCUUUCCUGAAUCUUCUCCCUAUGAGAAAAAAGAAGAAUCUUUUCAUUAAAUAUUACAUGAAUUAUAUCAAAAGACAUUUAAAACCAUUGUUAAAACAACAAUCACCUUUCAGAUGUUAUAUUUUGUUGAAGCUCGGAUGUGUUCUUUUGAAUUUCUUCCAUUUUUGUAGCAUUCUCCUCAGAAGCAAACUUUACUCCUCUUUCUUGCCACUUCAAUAAAGAUAACUCCUUAAGCAUGUAAUCUUCCGCUUCAUUUUUCACACUCUGAAAGUAUAUAUCACGUUAAUUAAUUAUUAGUAAUUAAAGUUGGUGCAUAUUGCAUAAACAUAUAAUCUAACAGGCAUGUUAUAAGUUAUAACCUCUAGAUUUUCUCUUUCUUUAUCAGCUAACUUAACCAUCUGCACUACUCCAGACCUCUUUUCAUUCAAAGCUUCAAGCCUAAUAGACCAAAAAAGAACACAUGGGCAUCAAGAAACAUGACAACAUUCAAAAAGAUUAUUAAAAACCAAUGCCAUCCAUAUAAUAGAUAUAGUUUAAAACAUACUGUUUAUGAGACUCUUCAAUUUUUUCCAAGUAUUUGUUGGUUCCAAUGAUAUCUUCUAGAUAUUCAAGAAACCCUUCAUCAUGUGGACCUUGAGCUUUUGGUUUCAUAAGUGAAAUUUGCUCAACCUCACCCUGAAAAAAUAUAGCAAAUUGUAAUUCAAAACUUAUAAUAAACACAUGAAAAAAGACAGAAUUUAGUUUCUUGAAGUACAAAACCUGAAGAAUCAGAAAUCGAUUGUUGUCCAAGUCAACUCCUUUCCCUUUUAGUUUCUUGGUAACUUCUGUAAACUUACUGUCACGUCCAUUGAUAUAAUACUUAGAAGAGUUGUCUCGAAAAGCUUCACGAGCUAUAACAAAAUCACUUCCUGGAACAGCUUCAUAUGUUUCAUCUUCCUAUAAUCAACAAAAGUAAACAAUACAUUCAGCAUCUGCUCAAAGCAAACUGUAUUAAGCCUUGAAGAGAAACUUUAUACAUACCAAAUCAAUGAUUUCUUGAAAGUGAACAGAUACACGUGCACUGUUGAGAUUUUGGUGGUUGGUUGAAUUGUGAAUAAGCUCCGACACUUUGUUAAGACGCAUCUGCAAAAUUUUCGUGAAAUGGAACACUAAUUUUGGUUAACAAAAUAUCGGUAUAAGCCGAUUAACAAGUGUGGUUAGAAUCGAAUAAAGUAUUACCUGCUUAGCUCGCUUGCCAAAUACGAACAACAUAGCAUCAAUCACGUUACUCUUCCCACUACCAUUAGGACCAACUACAGCGGUAAAGCUCUGUUCAGGAAUGUCAAAUGAAGUCAAAACCAAUGAACUACUAAACCCUAGAAUGAAGAUCCGGAAUUUUCAGUAUACCAAAGGGGUUUACUAAAAAAAAAAAAAAAAACCUAACCUUAUGAAAGGGCCCAACUCGUUGUGCGCCGGCGUAAGAUUUGAAAUUCUGCAUAACCAUCUCUUUGAUGAAAAGCCGUGGAGUUGAUGGCGGUUUUUUCCCCGGAGUUGACUUGGGAUCUGUAGACAUGAACUCACGGUCGCUAUCCAUCACUUUCCCCAUAUUUUGCUAAAAUAAUCAAUUCCCUUCAGAAUUUCAAGGUUUUCUUCCAGCUUCAAGCGGAUUCUCGCCCCUUUUCACUCCCUGCUGAGAGAUUUCUCCGAUGAUUCUGUGUGGUUGAUCUGUUCGGAAUUUCAAAAUGGCAAAACGAAAUACGAUAAAGUAUUUGGGCGCAUAUAAUUUAGAGCAACUGAGGGUUCAAAUUUCCCAAAAUCUUGAGCGGGAAUUCAAUUCGGUAGAAUAGAAUGGAAGAACUACAACUUUGGUCCUUUAAAUAUAUACAAUUAUUCGGAUGUAGUUUAUUAGUAUUGUUUUUAGCUUUUUCGGUUUAAAUAAAGUAAGGAGAUGCUUACAAAAUGGUUUUGAAAGGAAUUGGAUAAUGAAAAAUUGGAACCAAAGGAAAUGGAGGGCGUGUUUGGCUUAGCUUUUAAAAGCUCAAAAGUUCUUUUCCAAAAAGUUACAAAAAUUCAGGAUUUCCUAACUUUUCCAAAAAGUUGUUUUUCCUUGUAUUAAAACUCCAAAAGUUACUAGUUUGCCAAACAUCUUUUUGUUUUUUUUCUUUUACAAAAAAGACUUUUGGGUGUGAAAAGUUAAGUCAAACACCCCCGGAAUGUCAUAUGCUUUUUGCUGACAUGAAAUUUGAUAUUGAAUAUGUUUUCUGUUUGGUUAAUAAAUUUGUCAAAAAAUUAAAAAUUAAAUUCUAUAAGUUAAUGUUUUUUUAUAAAAAAUGAUUAAAAUUGUACCAUCCCGAAAUAGCAAGGGUAAAGUUGAAGGGCUAAAGGAGUAAAUGGGAAAGAGCGACUCAGCGAGUCCAUGGGUGGACUCGGGGAGUAGGGUCGCGACUUGGGUCGCGUGUUAAGUGACCAACUCGGCGAGUAGCAUGGGUGGACUCAGCGAGUUGGUGCUGAGUGGAGAAAACCCUAAAUCCGGAGGUUGAGCCCUAUAUAAAGAACAUAACAUCCAUUCCCCCAGCCUCUUUACUCUUCCUCAAGUCCAGAAACCCUAACCUUCGUGUGUGAGUGGAUCAAAUUGCAUUUGGAAGCUUGAAGAGGUAAUUGUUGAGGAAAUCUUGAAGGGUAAGAGGCUUGGAGCAAGGGGCUUUGCUUAGAUUCGAGUUUCAUUGUUGUUGGGGAUUUCUUUUGAGGUAAUAUCUCGCUUUUGGGCUAUCACUCUUUUAGAUUCAUCAUUUUGGGGGUUUACGGGGAGCACAUCUUGUGAUGUUUUGAGUUUGGAGGAUAGAUCUGAGGCUGCUACCUCAGAUCUGGAAUGGAGAAGGACUAUAGUGCAUGAAAGUUACUGUUCUUGAGUGUUUGGUGAAGCCAUCUUGUCCCAAACCCUAGUCUAGAGUGUAAAAGGCCUAGAUCUCUUUGGAUUCACGUAAAGUUUGCCACUUUACGUGAUGGAUGGGUGGAAGGAGACUAGAUCUACGUUUUGGGUCAAUUGCAUGGCCUGGAAUGCUUCUGUAUGAAAUGAGAUCGAGGGGCACUCGGCGAGUCACAAAGGUGAACUCGGCGAGUUGCUUGAAGACGAGCUGGAACUCGGCGAGUUGGAAGAACAACUCGGCGAGUUGGAUGAAGAUGGCCUAGAACUCGACGAGUUGGAAGAACAACUCGGCGAGUAGGUUGAAGAUAGCCUUAGACUCGACGAGUCUGUUCUUGGACUCGGCGAGUCUUGUCGAAGAGUCCCAAUCUUUUCUGGUUGAGCCGUGAAUCGGUGAGUCAAGGGAUGACUCGGUGAGUUGUGUGUGAGUGGACUCAGAGUUGUUGGACUCGGCGAGUCUCGGGGUGACUCGGCGAGUUGAGUCACGGAUUGGGGGAAUUCUGAGCAUGGGGACUCGGCGAGUCAUCGGGUUGACUCUGCGAGUAGAGUCAGUCAGGGGUUGACUUUGACCAAGGGUUGACUAGUGGUUUCCAGGGGCAUCUUGGUAAUUGUUGGAUAUUGUUUUGAGUUCAGUGCUUUGGUGGUUGUCCAGUGGUGGAGAUCGUAUCAGUGAUCGGAGCAGCUUGGGUUAUCUGUUCAGUCGGCAGUUUCGAGGUGAGUUAUCCUCACUAUAUCAACAGGGUCUAAGGCACCAAGGCCGGCCCUUAUCGGAUUGAGAUCCGGGUAUUUGUUNGCUUUGAUAUCUUAGCAUCCUGGUAGCUAGGAUGGCAUAUGUUAGAGACCUGGUUGAGAUAGGUAUCCUGAGAUGUAGGGUGAUGCUAUGCUAGUGACCGGUUAGGUCGGUAUCCUGAUUAGGAUGAUGGUAUGUUAUGGGAUCCGUUUGAUUGGCUUGUUGGCUGUGAAUUGCUAUAUGAUUGUAUGUUUAUGUGCACAUGGUUGUUUGGAGUGGAGUUGGGUUGAGGCGGGUCCUGCUUUGUGCUGUAGGCCAAGAUACCCAGGGCGGACCGGUUGUCCCGAAGGCCCAGCGAGCGGUCCGGAUAGGCUGUAGGCCCCAAGAGGGCGGACCAGACGUGCCGAGGCUCGGAGAGUGGACCAGGCCGACUGAAGGCCCGGUGCGGGCGGACCAGUCAUACUGUAGACUCAGAGAGUGGACCAGGUGGAUUGAAGGCCCGGUGCGGGCGGACCAAUCACACUGNUAGACUCGGAAGGUGGACCAGGUGGACUGAAGGCCCGGUGCGGGCGGACCAGUCCCACAGCAGACCCGAAGUGCAUGGUUGUUCUAUGAUCGAAUAUGUUAUGGCAUGUUAUGCGUGUAUGGUAUAUGUGGUUGGUAUUUUGGGGAUAUCCCACUAAGCUUUCGGGCUUACAGUUGUGGUUUAAUGUUUUUCAGGUUCUUUAGGAGACCGUGGCAAGACGAAGGCAUGAUCGUACCGCUCCUCGUGUUUAUAUGGUGAUGAGAUUAUGGGAAUACUUAAAAUAAAUUGUAUUGAAAACCUUUUGUAAUAACUUUAAUGGAAUUGGGUUGUUUUUCGAAAAUUUUAAAUUGGUUGAAAUUUUUGGUUGUUACAAAAAUUUUAUUUACACAAAAUUAAACUUUCCUAACAAAUAUAAAUUGCACAAAUAAUCAACAUAUUAUUUGAUCACACGGCUAGAAAUCAUAACAACUUUUUAAAAUUACCAAAUAAUUAUAAUAGAAAAAUCUAUAGAAAAGUCUCAAUAUUUUGAGGAAAAAAUUAAUAAAUUUCUAAAUUUUAUUUUUUGAAUAUAAAAGUCCCAACUUUUUAACUUUUUGAAUAAAAAAAAAGCAUGAGAAACUGGUUAAUUUAUUCACUUUAGCUCUUUUUAACAUUUUCAACAGGUCAUAAGAUCAAAUCGUUAAUUUUUUCAAAAUAAUAAGACUUUUCUGCAAAUUUUGUCAAACUUAUAUAUAAUGUAUAAACGGAUUUUUUACUUAUUUAUAUCUAUUUUUACGUACUUUUGUAUUUUUUUUUUAGUUUUUAUAUGUAUCUGUUUACGUAUUUUUAUGUAACGUCCAUAAAAAUCAUUCUAAAUUUGAACUUUUUAAAUUUAAAAAUCAUUAAGUUAUUACAAUUCGUUUUCAAAGUAAUAUCAUAUCAGAGUUUCCCAUAAACAUAAACACAAAUAUGAGGAGUUGUACAAUCACGCAUUUGCCUUCCCGCGAUCAUCUGAUCUACCUAAAACAAAAACUAAAACUGGUAUGCCCCACCCGGCCCUCAUCUCGUAUCUGGAAUGCUCUUGAGCCCUCAAUACGAGUCCGGCAUGCCUACCCGUCCCUCAGCUCAUAUCUGGAUUGUUCUAAGGUUUGUUGGCUACCGCACAAAGCAUUAUAACCUAAACCCAACCCACAUAAUAUGUCGACAUAUAAUACAGCUAGUGCGCAUACAGAUAAUCACAUAAUAAUAUAGGCGGUCCUACAUAUCUACCUAACCGGCAUAACAAGCAGCACUAACUCCUACUCAACAUACUACAAACUGGUAGGAUAACAUAUCCAAUGGGCCGACAUUGGUGUCUUCGACCCCUUAGUAUAGUGAGGAUAACUCACCUCUCAAGUAAUGUUGAAAUGAACAGAAAGCCUCUAAUUGUUGUCUCACCGAAAAUCCCGAACUAUUCAAAUAAUAACGAAUAUUAAGUCAAUAAAUGGGAAUACUAAUCUUGACUAAGAAUCCACAUUGUCCGUUUUGCCUUUUUCUCUAAUUUGGGCCAAGGCCCAAUAUUAAAUUCACUAUCUAAAAGUCAGUAUUCAUAAGUCUAUUAAUGGCCUAAUUUUCCAAAUUGGGCCUUAAUCUAAAAUCCAUGACCAAAACUGGCCCAAAAAUUAUUGUUCAUAAAGUCCAACAAUGCCCAUGCCAGACUGACCCAAGAGUGGCCCAAGCCCGAAGCCCAAAAUGUCAAAAGCUUAACAAAUGAUGUACGUGGGGCAUACUCCUCUGGUACGUUGGGCGUACUCUUCCUGAUGUUGACCACCAUCAGGGUGGUUGACUCAGUACGCUGGGCAUAUUGGAUUUACGCAGGGUGUACGUGAGUUUUUGCUAAAACCCUAAUAGGUGCUUAAUGGCUUAAGCACCUAAGCCCAAACUUCAGAUCCAGUGACCAAAUGUGCCUAGGACUUAUAAAGUUACGAACAUUAACACUUCAGAUGUCCAGAAAACUCUUAAUACUUGGUCUUAAACCAUUAAGACAUUCCUACUCCAUGCAUGGGACAUCUUAAGCCAUUGGGACCUCAUUUUUAUCACUUAAAACCUCUUAAAGAGUCUAGAAGGGCAGUUUAUUUCGUCCAAAUCACAUAAUGCACCAACUUGGGACUUUUGGGACAAGAAUUGGCUCCAUAAAGCUAAUAUAGCAAGAUCUACUUCACAUUAGCAUGAAGUUUGAAGCUUUUACCUUAUGGAGCUCCUACAACACAAGGAAACUUCUGAUCUACAAUCUUGCCUUCCUUCUCCAAUUAUUUGAUGCAAUGACUUCACUUUCAAAUGCUCAAAACAUACACAUCAACUCACACUCAUACACAAAACUAGGGUUUGGGAUGUUUCUAGAAUAUGGCGGCUGAGAAUGACAAUAGAAAAAUGAGCCAUAAGGAUGUCUAUAUAGCCCCCAACCCUAUAUAUUAGGGUAUUCCACCUGACGUAAGUACGCUCAGCGUACUAAGGCGCACCUUAAUACGCUUAGUGUACUCUUAUGUACACUAAUCAUACUCCUUCAUGGUCCAAAGUUGCAAUUAGCUCUAUACUUCCAACCUCAAAGACUAUAAGUGACAAAAUAAUGAUAGAAAGGAGGAUUCAGAAAUACCUAUGAAAAUCUUAGGAAGUUACAAUUCUCCCCUACUUGACCUAUACUUUGUCCUUGAAGCCUGUUAUGGUAAAUAGAUCCAGGUAAUGUUCUCGCAUCUCGGACUCGGGCUCCCGAGUCCACUCGGAUCCCCUCUGAUGCUCCCACUGUACCUGUACCAAAGGUAUCUCCUUGUUCCGUAGAACCAUCAUCUUCCUCUCCAUAAUGGCCACGGGCUUCUCCACAUAACUCAGGCGCCCAUCGACGUGAAUAUCAUCAAACGAUAUUAUUGCCUCCUGAUCCAUAAUGCAUUUUCACAAUUGUGAAACGUGAAAAGUGUUGUGGAUCCGACUAAGCUCAUCCGGUAGCUCGAUCAUGUAUGCCUCCUUGCUAACCCUGGCAACGAUCCUAAACGGCCUAAUGUAUUGGGGACCCGAAUUCCCUCUCUUCCUGAAGCGGAUCACACCCUUCCAAGGGGAGACCUUCAGGAGUACCAUGUCACCGACCUGGAACUAUAACUCAGAUAUGCGCCUAUCGACGUAACUUGUCUGCCAACUAUGAGCGGUCUGCAAUCGUUGUCUAAUCUGCUAGAUCUUCUUGGUAGUUUGCAAAACUACCUCAGUCCGUCCCAUCACCCUGUGUCCAACCUGACCCCAACUGUCACAACUAGGAAUUUUGAUGCUUUGUAAACAUUGAACAAUGAUAACAUGGGGAUUAAAACUUGAAAGCAUGUAUGAUGCUUAUUCAAUGACAACAAAAUUUCAUCAAACACUCUAUACAAACACUUCAAACAGUCAACAAAGAAUUGGAAACCCUAGAAAUCUUGGUUUAGGUCCAUCAUGGACUAGGAUUUCCUUAUUGGGCCUAAUGGGCCAAUAAGCUUCCAAAUUGACUAUUUUGGGCUUAGAACUCUUAAAUGGGCCUUAAUUGGACCCGCAUUCAUGGAACUUAACAUUUUGGACCAUAAUGGAUCUAAAACGGACUAGUUAUCUCUAAUGGGCCUUAUUGGGCCAUAACAAAUCUAACUAGCCCAAAUGGGCCAUGAGACUCAUACUUUAAUUUAUUUUGGGCCGUGAACCAUCUCCAAAGACCUAUUGGGCCGAAAAAUCAUCAAAAUGGGUCAUAAUAUGGAUUUAAGCACAAAAAGGCCCAAACUCUUUCUUUCUUCUCCCUCUCUCGGCCCAACUACAAAAAAAGGGGGGGGGGGGGGAGGACUUGACUUUUACAUGCCGCCUCAUAUUUGUCCAUUGGAAACCCAUGCAUAAAUCUCAUACUUCCAUGCAUGUCAACUCAUUUUAUCUCCUUUCCCCCCUCCUCUUAUAUCCUCGCCCGAAACACACACACACCCCAUCACCAUUUCAAAGUUUCUUCAAAACUCUCUCUAGAACUCCUUCACUUUUCCUCCAAAAUUUCGAGAGUCACAAGGGGCUAUAAGAAGAUCUUUUCUUAAUAUCACUAAUCCUUGGUAAGUUGUUGUUUGAUCCAUGCUUUAACUUCUUGAUUUCCUCAAAAAUCUCCCUUAACUCAUACAAAAUUCGUAAUCCUGCUUCGUAGAACACAUCUAAGCCAAAUAUCUUCCAAGAAGCUUGCUAGGCCGAAUAUUCUCACCAUUUUCUUUCAUUCUUCUUCAAAAACGAGAUCCACAAGAAAAUGUGAGUUCAUACCUCUCUAUUUUCGUUUUUUACAAGAUUUAUGGGGGAGAAUACAAGUAAGAUGUGUAGAUCUAUGUGUUUUUGUAUGAUAUGUGUGAUUUCUUGAAUUUAUUUGAUAAAUAUGUAUGAAAAAUCAUGAUCUAGCCGAGAUCCUUAACCAUUACUAGGAAAUAUAAAUUUAAUGACAUCUUAAAACAUGUUAUUAUCAAGAUCAAAGUAUUAUACAAGUUCAAAAUAAGCAAAACAAAACACAAAUCCAAAUUAUGAACCAUUUUUGACAAAUAAGUAAAAGAUGGGAAAUAAAUGUCAUUUACGGUUUUAUAAGGGUCAAAAAGGUCAAAUCAGCUAAAAUAUGAGUUAUUAUAACAAUCUUGAUUGUUAAAGGACUAAAAGUGUAAAUUUUAGCCUAAUGGGCUAAACCUUGGGCUUUUCGGCCUUUAGGCCCAAAGUUAAAAAAAGGUGUUUUUCAAGGGGUUGAAAUGGUAAAAUUCUCAAAAUAAGGGGAAAAAUAGUAAAAAAAAAUUAUUUCAGGGGAUUAAAAUGAUAUUUUUCCAAACAAGGAUAAAAAAUGUAAAGUUUUUGGAUUUCGGGCCAAAAUUGUAAAAGUUGCAAAAGUUUGGGCUUUAACCGAAAAACACUGUUAUGGAAGGGCUGAAACUGCCAAAGAAGAAGUUUUGAGCUAAAAAUAUCACUUGAACAGGUCUAUGGGUCAAAAGUGUCAAGAAAAUGGUUUAAGGGCUUAAAAUGUCUUUUUUUUUUUAUAGAGGACUAAAACUGUCAUUUUUUUCCUAAUGAAGGGUUGAAAGGGUCCAAACCAAUAUUUUUGAGUCAAUGAUUUUAUUUUUAAGAUACCGAGUAAAAAACACCAAACUACAACUUACAAAAAAUAGAAACAGGAAUAUACAUGAAAUUCUAAAUAUCGUUAUAAGUAACCGACCGCCCUCGUGUCGUUACGAAUCUAAAAAUCAAUCUUUCCGACAAUCAUGCAAUACCUAAAACAAUUAAAUAUUCAAAUCUUUGGGCUUGAAACUACAACUUACAAUUAAAUAUUCAAAUCUUUGGGCUUGAAGGCAACCUGCGACCAAACUUGCGAUCGCAAAAAGGUCACUACGAUCGCAAAAAGGUCACCUGCGAUCGUAAGGAGACAACCUGCGAUCGCAGGUUGUACCUAUGACGUCCAAAAUUUUGUCUACUUUUCAGAUCAUUUUGAAUCGCGUCAGUCGGAGUUACGGUUCUCGAGAUAUGGUCAAGAUACUGACAUGGAGUCAAAGUUGCCAGCAUCAUCCUUUAACUUUAGAUUGUAUAUUCUAUCUUCGUGUGAUCAAUUCAAUUGAAUGUUUCUUGACCAAAGCAUCUUCCAAACAUUCCUCAACAUACUCCAUAAGUUUCAAGCUCCAUUUUAAGCUCCAAACACGCAUCCAACUGCUCCCAAAGCACUGCUCCACUCGAAUUAUCUGUAAUCAACAUAAAACAUGAGCAGUACGAGAAUUCUAACGAAAUACAUGAGCUGAACAUUAUUUAUCUAAAUGACAUGAAAAUGUACAAAAUAUGAUGCUAAAAUGAUAAUGAAAACUACCCUAAAAGAUGCAUAAAAUGGCAUCUAACACAUAACAACCAUGCUUAUGAACUCACCAACAUUCCAUAUGUUGAUGUUUUUCAAAAUAACUUGUAUUCUCAUGUAACAGGUAAGCUGAGGAGAAAUACCUAGUAUGUUAGAGUAUUAUGUUUUUUUUUUUGGAAAAGUAUCAAAUAAUUUAUGUUAUGAAUUUGUAAUGUUUAAACAAUGUACUUGAUGUGAACAAUGUCAGUUGUAAUGUAUUGAUGCAUGGUGAUGUUUAUGUUAUGAUUCAUGUAUAUUCAUUGUGAUGAUAUUCAAUUUAAGUCACGCGAGCCCUCGGACGUUUCCGCCGUCUGGUUCGGGGGUGUGACACCAACAGACCGAGGUGCAACAUCUCCGCCCAUACAACAUCUCGAAAGGUGAAGCACCAAUGUUGGAACGAUAGUUGUUGUUGUAGGCUGUCACACCCCCAAACCAUAACAGCUGAAACAUUCGGGGGCGGAGUACGUCAUAUAUAGUAUCAUAACAAAUGCAUAGUAAAGAAAUUACACACCACCAUAACAUAUAUUUGAAAAGUUUACAUGAAAGUAUUUAUUACAUGCUUUAAUAUCAAAUACAAAGUGAUGAAGUUCCAAAAGAUGAUACUAACGCCUGAGCGUUAAUCUCCAAAAGUAGAUGCUAACCUUGAUUAGCGAGUUCUUGAGAAUAUAAGUUAUUUCAAAGAAAAAGUGUCAACAUUUAAGUUGGUGAGUUCACAAGAAGUUCAUUUAAGUAAUUAAAUGCCAUUUGAAAAGUUCGCGUUUGAUUUCAGAACUCCGAUAUUUUCUUAAGAAUGAUGUUGUAAAACUGUUGUUUGUGCAAAAUGAAUGUAUUUGAACCAGCAAAAACCUAUAUUUUCCUAUAAGUGAGAAGCAAUAUUAAACAACCAAGACUGUCACCUGUAAGCAAAUAUGUCAUGCUUAGAAUGAAGAAUGUAUAGUUUUAUGAUUAAGUAAAACCAAUUAAGAAAGUGUUUGUCCUGAAUUAUGAGCAUGCCGAUAAUACCCCAUUGUAUGUUNNNNNNNNCCCCCCGAGCGAUUGAGUUAGAUAUAUUACUACGUGCAUGAGUCGUUGUUUCCGCGGGUUGUGAGUUUCUCAUAACCAUACUAGACGAACUACCGAUGUUCACAUUUGUCACCCCGGGGACUGUAGCUAAUAGUCAGGGUGCAGAGUCGUUAGCCCCGUAUAGAUCUAUACACAAAUGCUCGCUCUCCCUCCAGGAGACUUUGGUUAUAGAUAGGGACUUUCGUUUGGUACAAACAAAGCCAUAUGACAUCACAUGAUUGGUAACAACAAGUUCACGAGUAAUAUAAUAAAAUACCUUUUGUAUGAAAAGAUUACCCUUAAUAUGAUGAAUGCAUACUUAUAAAUAAAACAUAUUUCUAUUUAUAAAAUCAUGUUGUGACCCAAAAGGGUAAAGAAGUGUUUGUGAGAUGCUUUUCAUGUUAAGUGUUAACCAAUUCAUAUAAUAGUCAAUACUACAAUAUGAAAAGUAUAGCAAAAGAUUUAUGUUUUUACCCGAUAAUAACCGGGUAUUUACUUGUAUCCCCCCCCCCCCCUGAAANNNNNNCAUAAAAGCAUUUACAAAGCAUUUGAAAACAUAGUUAUAGGGGUAUGAACUCACUUGAUAGAUUGAAGAAGGUGAGACAAACACCGAGCAAAACUUCGACUUGAGAAAGUUGAUUUCUCGGGAUUCUCGGGAGUGUAAAACUUCCUUUAGAACUUGGAUAUGAAAAUUGGGAAUUCGGGAUGGCUUUGAGGGUUGAAACGCAGAGCUUCGGUACGAGAAAGAAGAGAAUUGAGCAAUGAAACCCGGAACCCUUUGAGCUCUAUUUAUAGCCCAAUUUUUGGGUCCCAUGUCAUGGCAAUAGAGUUUCCCAUGUCGUGGAGUCGAUCUUAUCCCCUUCCAUGGACAAGACGUCAGCUGCCAAGCCUGGAAACUCAUCAGUCAUGGUCCCACGUCGUGGCCUUCUGUGCCACGUCGUGGCCAGCCUGACAGCCUCAGAUUUUGUGUCUUGAACUUGUAAAAUCCGUAACUUCCGCGUACGAACUCCGUUUUCGACGUUCUUUAUAUGUACACGUAGGUGAGAAUGUACUCUACAACUAUCGUUUAGAUUUCGUCGGUUAAUUUUGAUUUAUUUUUAAUUAUUUAUUUUUAAUAGACCGGGACACGAAAACUCCAUCAUAAAUCCAUAACUUCUUCACCCGACGUCCGUUUUCGUCAGACUUUUUACCGUUGCGCUACUAUUAUUGAGACCUUUGAUUCUCAUUUAGAUUAUUUUGGUCAAAAAUAACUCGAUCUCCAAUUCGAGUUUUUAACUGUCUACUGUUAUAUUCGAAACUUAGAAAAAUCAUAACUUACUCAUACGAAGUGGGAUUUAGACGUUCUUCUUAUGUACGUUUAUGUUUUAGUGAUAUCUACAACUUUCAUUUAGAUACUUAAGGCUAAAAAUUAUUGUAUUGAAACUUCGCGUUUUACGUUUAUCAGCGUUGUCCGUUUUCACACAAAUCUUCGGUUGGUCAUAGCUUAUUCGUUAUAACUCGGAUUCGAGUGUUCUGUAUAUUUUUGAAAACCUUGAAACAAUAUCUAUCAUUUAGGUAACCCAAUUGAGACUUUUAGCACAUGUUAUUUUCGAAGCUACUUUAUUAAUCUUAAAACCGUGUUACAAGGUUUGACUGGAAGUCAUUACAUUGGUUUGAAAAUUCGGGUUGUCACAUAGGCGAACUCUGUAAGGGGUAGGUGGGAAUCCCAUCUCCCACCGAAGUCAAUGACACAAGCCCCUAACAUGUCCUCAAGGGUCUAUAUAGUCUGCUCACUCUGAUCAUCGGUCUGCAGAUGAUAUGAUGUGCUAAAAUGCAGUCGAGUGCCCAACUCCUCCUGGAACUUUUGCCAGAAGCGGGAGGCGAAUCUAACAUCUCGGUCGGAAACAAUAAAGACUGGAACUCUGUGGCAAACAACGAUGUCGCGAACAUACACGUCGGCCAGCUUCUCGGCCGACGAACUCUCCCGAAUGGCCAGGAAAUGGGCACUCUUGGUCAAUCGAUCCACGAUAACCCAUAUAGCAUCAUAUCCUUUCGCCGUCCUCGGCAACUUGGUAAUGAAGUCCAUCGUGAUUUGGUCCUAUUUCCACAUGGGAAUCUCUAGAGGAUGCAGCUUGCCAUGUGGCCUCUGAUGCUCGACCUUGCCCAUCCUGCAAGUCAAACACCUCUCGACGUACCAAGCGAUUUCUCGCUUCAUGCUCGGCCACCAGUAGCUCAAACUCAAAUCUCAAUACAUCUUGGUGGCUCUCGAGCGAAUAGAGAAAUGAGACUUAUGAGCCUCCUCCAUAACCAUCUGUCUGACCCCACCAGACAUCGUAACCCACACCCGAUCGCAUCGGUUCAAUAAUCCCCAAUUAUAUUGCACAAACCAGGUGUUCUCACCCCUAAUCCUCUCCAACUUUCAAUUCUACUGACGCAUACCCUUUGCCUGGGCUUCUCUGAUCAAGCCCAUAAGUGGAGAAUCCACCGAUAUCCUCAUACAUAUUGCCAGAGUGGAAGACCCAGCUGAAUUGCAGUUCAGAGCAUCCGCAACCACGUUCGCUUUACCUGGGUGGUAAAGGAUCUCACAGUCAUAGUCCUUGACUACAUCUAGCAACUUGCGCUGCCUCAUGUUCAGGUUUGGCUGAUCCAUGAUGUGUCUCAGGCUCUUGUGGUCAGUGUAAAUGGUACAACAGACCCAUAGAGAUAAUGCCUUUAAAUAUUGAGGACAAACACCACCGCCCCCAGCUCCAGAUCGUGAGUAGGAUAUCUCGUCUCAUGCGACUUCAGCUACCACGAUGCGUAAGCUAUCACUCGUCCUCUCUGCAUGAGGACUGCUCCCAAGCCUGUGAUGGAUGCAUCACAGUAUGCCAUAAAAUCCUCAACUCCCUCCAGAAGAGUCAACACUGGAGCCUCGCAUAACCACUGUCGGAUGGUCUCAAACGCCCUUUGCUGCUUAGGGCACCACUAAAAAUCCCCCCUUCCUCGUCAGACGAGUGAGGGGUAUUGCAAUCUUGGAGAAAUCAUGUAUGAAUCUCCAGUAGUACCCUGCCAAUCCCAAAAAAUUCCUGAUGUCUAAGGGAGAUUUCAUAAUCUCCAUCAGCAUGACCGCCUCAAUUUUGGCUGGAUCGACCAAAAUCCUCUCUUGGUUGACGAGGUGUCCUAGGAACUAGACCUCUCGUAACCAAAACUCGCACUUCGAGAACCUGUCAUAAAGCCGGUCCCGCCUCAGAACUCCAAGUAACUCCCACAGAUGCUCCUCAUGCUGUUCUCGGGUCUUGGAAUACACCAAGAUAUCGUCGAUGAAUACUGUGACCGAGCGAUUGAGCAUCGGUCUGCAGUGUUGAUUCAUCAGGUCCAUAAACACUGCAGGCGCGUUGGUGAGCCCAAACGGCAUCACCACAAACUCGUAAUGUCCAUAACGAGUUCAGAACGCGGUCUUCUCCACGUCAUCAUCUUUGACCCAGACCUGAUGAUACCAAGACCGCAAGUCUGUCUUUAAAAACCAAGACACACCCUGCAACUGAUCAAACAAACCGUCUAUCCUUGGAAGCGGAUAACGGUUCUUCACCGUCAAUUUGUUCAACUCCCGGUAGUCGAUGCACAUCCGGUGUGAACAAUCCUUCUUCCUGACGAAGAGUAUCGACGCUCCCUACGGGGAGCUGCUCGGGCGAAUGAACUGCUUUCCCAGCAAUUCCUGAAGUUGAGAUGACAGCUCUUGCAUUUCCGAUGGUGCCAACCAGUACGACGCCUUGGUGAUAGGGGCCGCACCUGGCACUAGGUCGAUCCUAAACUCGAUCUGCCUCUCCAGAGGCACUCCAGGUAACUCCUUCGGGAACACAUCAACAAACUCCCUUACCACUGGAACCUUUGAUAUUGAAAUAUGAUCUUUAUAUCGUGUAUCCACCACAUACACUAGAUAACCCGCACAUUCGUGCUGAAUAUACUGUCUAGCCCUGGGGGCUGAACAAAACCCUGAUCCCACUCUGGUACCCUGGCCAUAGACAAUCAACUCUCCCCCACUUGGGGUUCGAACCACCACCCAUUGUCCCUCGCAGUCGAUCAUGGCAUCGAAUCGACUAAGCCGACCCAUCCCCACAAUCACACCCACACAUCUCCCAUGGGGAUCAGAAUCAAGUCAAUCAGGAAAGAUACCCCGAAGAUCUCUAACUCACAUCCUUGGUAGACCAAAGAAGCUGAAACCCCGUGUUCGUUGGCAAUGGAGACUCGCAACGGAUACUCUAACUCUCCUACUGGCACACUAAACUCCCCACUAAAUAUUUGAGAUACGAAUGACCAACUCGCCCCCGAGUCAAACAAAACCAAUGCAGGCAAGGAGUUCACUAAAAACGUAUCUAAUCACAGGUACAACAGAUAAGCAUAAAAUAGAUAUAGAUCAUAGAAACAUACUAACAACCACAUCCGGUGUUGUCCUAGCCUCCCCGACUGUAAGCUGGAAGGCGUGUCCAUGAGCUCUCGGGGGUUCUACUCUACCCUGCCUCCCAUCGGUAAUCCUCAAUGUAGCUGGCGCGAGAGCCUGCGCCGGCUUGGCGGUAAGUAAUGGGUAGUUGGCCUUCAAGUGGCAAACCUGAUCAUAGUGAUAACACAGUCUCAUACUCGGAACCGAGGCAGGUUGGUGGCAAUCCUUCACAUAAUGCUUGUCCUUGCCACACAUGUGGCACCCACCACCAGCUCGACAAACCCUAGAAUGACCCUUGUCGCACUUUCCACAAAUGCGGAUUUGCUGACCCUAUGUCCUAGAAUCAACAAUCUUAGACCGCUUCGACGCCGACUGAGACUGUGUCGGGGCCUGCCACUGCUCAAGGUCCAACUCACACCGCCUAGCGACUUCCUGCAACUUCAGUAGAGUAUCNUCUCCAACUCACACCGCCUAGCGACUUCCUGCAACUUCAGUAGAGUAUCACAUCAUUGGGUAGACACAAACUAACGGAUGUUAUUCUUGAGCAUCCUCAAAUAACGUGUCAUCUAAGCCUGCUAGGAAGCAAACUCUGGGCAAAACAUCGCCCUCUCUGUAAACAUGUGGAUGAUCUCCGUCACCGACUCCCCGUCCUAUAUCAAACUCAAAAAAUCUUGAGUCAGUUGUCCCCGCUCAACACGUGGAAUGUAACGAGCGCAAAACAUAUCCCUGAACUGCUCCCAAGUAACAACAGCUCGAUGAUCAUCAGUGUACAACCCAGUCGUCAAUCUCCACUAGUCAUUGGCCCUAAAACUCAGCAGGUUCUAGGCACACCUGACCUUUUGGUCAGUAGGACAUGAGCAAGUAAAGAAACACCCCUCCAUAUCAGAAACCCACCUCAUGUCCUUGAUGGGGUCCUGAAUCCCAUCAAAGUAGGGGCUUCGUGUUAUCGAAGUCAUUGUGCUGAAAUACCCGACUGGCUCCCCCCCUGUCGUCGUUACAGUCGAUGCAUCUUCGGCAAUAGCUGUCUCUGCAAGGGCUGCAUAACACUCGUCAAAGUACUCGACCAUGACGGUCUUAAUAGACCCAAAUAUAUCUGGCAGUUGUGCCCGGAACAAAGUGGCAACCUUAUCAUGCAGGAUCUCUCGAAUCUUGGCGUCUAGCUCAUCUGCCACCAUUUGUAUCACAACCCCGGGUGUUGUCGGCCCCUCCUGGCCGCCCUCUCCUGAUCCUGAUCCUGAUCCCAAUCCGGAUCCUACCACAAAGUGUCUCGUAACCACCAUUCUGAAAAUAUACCAGAAACGAUAUCAUAUAAUCCACUUGAUAACAAGGAUCCAACUCCCAACUAAAACCCUAGGGAUUGUGACUUCCUUGCUACACGUAUGGGUCUUGUGCUUUCAGUAGUACGAGCCCAUACUACCUUCCACACCUACCCAUAUUUUUCUCAACUAUCACCACAACACCAUAAAAAUAUACAUAUACAUGGUGGUCGCUCAUUCCUCACUCCUAGAGGAGAGCUAGCUAUCUCACAACCGAUCCACCAGUCCCACACAACCCACCCAUGAAACUUCCACCAACCCUACAGCACUCGUGUAUUCUAACCAUACAUAAUGCUGGACCCUAUAGACUUUCGAAUACCUGAUCCUACCCUAAGCCCUUCAUCAAACAAGAACAGGAAAUAAAGGCCAAACCAAACAUUAUCAGACUAUAAGAUCUUAAUUAUGUACAGCCGUGAUACGUACACAAGAAAUUACAGUAAUGGUGUCAAUCUCAUAUAAAGAAAACCCUAGGCUAGCAGGCAUCAUGUAAUCAAGCAAUUCUUUCAUGCAAUUCCUGAAGAUCCCUAGCCUAGUACUAGCAUAUUGUUCUAUCAUAUCACAAUAUCAAAUAACUGUAUGGUAUUUUGGGGUCUACUUACUGGCUUCGGUUUAUUGUACACUCUUCAUCCUCCUUUACUUAUUUUGAAAACCAUUUGUUCUAUCAUAUCACAAUAUCAAAUAAUCGUAUCGUAUUUUGGGGUCUACUUACUGGCUCCGUCUGAUCGUACACUCUUCACAUGAGUGUUCCUCCAAUUCACUCAAACCAAGGCUCUGAUACCAACUUGUAAUGUCCAUAAAAAUCAUGCUAACUUUGAACUUUUUAAAAAUCAUUAAGUUGUUAUUCGUUUUCAAAAUAGUAUCAUAUCAGAAUUUCCCAUAAACAUAAACAAAAAUAUGAAGAUCUGUACGAUCAUGCAUUUGCCUUCUCGCGAUCAUCUAAUGUACCCGAAACAAAAAUUGAAACUGUAAGCCUAAAGCUUAGUGAGUUCCCCUAAAAUACUAAUACACUUCACAUAACACAUAUACAAAUAACAUGUACUGGGUCCACAUCUUUACAGUCUGGAUUACCCUGGGGCCACAAUGUGAGUCUGGAUUGCCUUCCGGUCCCACAACUCACAUUUGGAUUGCCACCAAGCCCACAGUACGAGUUUGGUAUGCCCCACCCGGCCCUCAUCUCGUAUCUGGAAUGCUCCUGAGCCCUCAAUACGAGUCCGACAUGCUUACCCGACCCUCAGCUCGUAUCUGGAAUGCUCUAAGGUUUGUUGGCUACCGCACAGAGCAGUAUAACCUCAACCCAACCCACAUAAUAUGUCGACAUAUAAUACAGCUAGUACGCAUACAGAUAAUCACAUAAUAAUAUAGGCAGUUCUACAUAUCUACCUAACUGGCAUAACAAGCAACACUAACUCCUACUCAACAUACUACCAACUGGUAGGAUAAAAUAUCCAAUAGGCCGGCAUUGGUGUCUUCGACCCCUUAGUAUAGUGAGGAUAACUCACCUCUCAAGUAAUGAUGAAAUGAACAGAAAACCUCUAAUUGUUGUCUCGCCGAAAAUCCCGAACCAUUCAAAUAAUAACGAAUAUUAAGUCAAUAAAUGGGAAUAAUAAUCUUGACUAAGAAACCACAUUGUCCAUAUCGCCUUUUUUUUCUCUAAUUUGGGCCAAGGCCCAAUAUUAAAUUCACUAUUGUAUUCAUAAAUCUAUUAACGACCUAAUUUUCCAAAUUGGUCCCACUUCCUAAUUGGGCCUUAAUCUAAAAUCCAUGACCAAAACUGGCCCAAAAAUCAUUGUUCAUAAAGUCCAACAAUGCCCAUGUCAGACUGGCACAAGAGUGGCCCAAGCCCGAAGCCAAAAAUGUCAAAAGCCUAACAGAGGAUGUACGUGAGGCGUACUCCUUUGGUACGCUGGGCAUACUCUUCCUGAUGCUGACCACCAUCGGGGUGGUUGACUUAGUAUGCUGGGCGUACUAGAUUUACACAGGGUGUACGCGGGGUUUUGCUAAAACCCUAAUAGGUGCUUAAUGGCUCAAGCACUUAAGCCCAAACUUCAGAUUCGGUGACCAAAUGUGCCCAGGACUUAUAAAGUCAUGAACUUUAACACUUUGGACGUCCAUAAAACUCUUAAUACUUGGUCCUAAUCCAUUAAGACCUUCCUACUCCAUGCAUGGGACAUCUUAAGCCAUUGGGACCUCAUUUUUAUCACUCAAAACCUCUUAAAGAGUCUAGAAGGGCAGUUUAUUUCGUCCAAAUCACAUCAUGCACCAACUUGGGACUUUUGGGAUAAGAAUUGGCUCCAUAAAGCUAAUAUAGCAAGAGCUACUUCAUAUUAGCAUAAAGUUUGAAGCUUUUUACCUUUUGGAGCUCCUAUAGCACAAGGAAACUUCUGAUCUACAAGCUUGCCUUCCUUCUCCAACUAUUUGAUCCAAUGACUUCACUUUCAAAGGCUCAAAACAUACACAUCAACUCACACUCAUACACAAAACUAGGAUUUGGGAUGUUUGUAGAAUACGGAGGCUGAGAAUGAUGAGAGAAAAAUGAGUCAUAAGGAUGUUUAUAUAGCCCCCCAACCCUAGAUAUUAGGGUUUUCCUCCUGACGUAAGUACGCCCAGCGUACACAAGUUUAUGCUCAGCGUACUAAGGCGCACAUUUAUACGCUUAGCAUACUCUUAUGUACGUUGAGCGUACUCCUUCGUGGUCCAAAGUUGCAACUGACUCUACACUUCCAACCUCAAGGACUACAAGUGACAGAAUAAUGAUAAAAGGGAGAAUUCGGAAAUAAACACAUUGUUUUAUGUAUUUUUAUGUUACAUUUUAUGUAUUUUAAAUGAAUAAACACAAUUUUUUACGUGUUUAUAUAUAUAUAUAUAUAUAUAUAUAUAUAUAUAUGAUUUAUCANNNNNNNNNNNNNNNNNNNNNNNNNNNNNNNNNNNNNNNNNNNNNNNNNNNNNNNNNNNNNNNNNNNNNNNNNNNNNNNNNNNNNNNNNNNNNNNNNNNNNNNNNNNNNNNNNNNNNNNNNNNNNUAUAUAUAUAUAUAUAUAUAUUAUUUUUCUUUAUGUGUUAUUUUUUAUGUAUUAUGUAAUAUGUAUUUAUGUAUUUUUCUAUAUAAGAAAAACUAAAAACUAGAAAAAUACAUAAAUACGUACAAAUACAUAUAAAUACAAAAUACAUAAAAACACACAAAAAAUACGUAAAAUACUUUAAAAAAUACAUAUAAAUACAUAAAACAAUACGUUUAUACAUUUAAAAUAAAUAAAUGUACAUAAACAUCUAUAUAAAAAAUUUUAAAAAUACAUAAAUAGAUAAAUACAUAAUACAUAAAAAACACAUAAAAAUACAUAAAAAAAAAUAUGUAGAAUACUUAAAAAUAUAUUUAAAUACGUAAAAAAUAUGUUUAUACAUUUAAAAUACAUAAAAAUUUAUAUAAAAAACUUAAGCAAUACAUAAAUAAAUAAAAAUACAUGUAAUAUAUAAUACAUAAAAAAUAACAACAAAAUACAUAAAAAAAAUAUGUAAACUGGUGAAAAAAUACAUAUAAAUAAGUAAAAACAUACAUUUAUAAAUUUAAAAUACAUAAAUAUAUACAUGUAAAAACUUUAAAAAUACACAAAUACGUAAAAAUAGAUAUAAAUACGUAAAAAAUAUGUUUAUACAUGAUAUACAAAUUUUGACGAAAUCUGUAAAAAAGUCCUAUUAUUUUCGAAAAAUUUACAGUUUGAUCUCAUUACGUGUUAAACAAGUCAAAAAUGACUAAAGUGAAUAAAUUAGAUAGUUUCUUGGACUUUUCUAUUCAAAAAGUAAAAAAAUCAUGAUUUUUUUGUUCAAAAAAUAAAAUUUAGGACUUUAUUAAAAAUUUUCCCAAAAUAUUAUUGGAGNNNNNNNNNNNNNNNNNNNNNNNNNNNNNNNNNNNNNNNNNNNNNNNNNNAUAUAUAUAUAUAUAUAUGAUAUUUUUUUUUUCACUUUUGCAACAUAUAGUUCACAAAAUCCUUUCGAAUCUUUCCCUUCUAAAUUUCAAAAAGUUGACACGAAUUCUAUAUCACAUAUUUUUUUCUAUUUGUUUUGACCUAUCCAGCACACCCAAUUAAUGUAUUAUGGAAAUUUAAGGAAUCACUACAUAAACUUUAUUUUGUACAAUAUGUUUCUCUUAGUAUAGCUUGACUCAUGAUGUAUGCCACUCUUUCCAUAUUUUUUACAAGCACAUUAGUUGCAACAAUGGUUCCCUCACCGACGUGAUCAACUAUAUUUUUUCUCUUCCUUUGAACAUGUGCUUAUACAUUCUUUGUUUUGUGUGGUUUAUGCAUUUUGGCUUACUUCCAUCGUUUUUUCAAAAUUAUCUUCCACUUGGUAUGUUAAUUCUUAAAUGUUUGCAUCUUCUUUCAUUUAGACAAAUUCUUUGGCUUUAUUUCCUUAAAACCCUAUCAUUUCCAAAAAUAAUGCACAAAUCCUCAUAAUGAGGAAAAUGUAUUGUUUCUUCAUUUGCUUGCCUAUUUAUUGACAUAUUACAUAUUAUAAAAGUUUCAAUAAUAUACUUGUAUGUAAGACUCCUAGCCCAGUUAUAGGAUGUUUUGAGCUAUUAUAACAAAAGCCAUUUGUAUUGGUAUCAUUCAAUAGUAAAUCAUAAACAAAUGUCAAUUCUUUUUUAUGGUUUUGAUUCUUGACUCGAUGUAGGGUUUCCCAUUAUAUAUGAGAGUCAUGUUUUUUUUUUUCUUUAAUGUUUUUUCUAUAAUUUAUAAAUAUUUGGAUUUAAACCAUUAUUGGCUCUAAAUCCUACUAUGUUCAACAUAUUUAACAAUGUUUCCAUGAGCUUGACAUCUUUUGGUAAUAGUCUGAUUGCAAUAUGUUAUGUAUUUUUUUAUCAUGUAUUGUAAUAAUUAUAAAUUUUAGAUAAAGUAAUGGAGAAUAUAACUAAAUUAUAUAUAUAUAUANAUAUAUAUAUAUAUAUAUAUAUAUAUAUAUAUAUAUAUGUAUAUAUAUGUUUGUGUGUAUGGUGUUCAUCGAUGACAUCUUCAUUUACUCAAAGAACAAUCAAGAUCAUGGUAAAAAUUUUUGAGAAGUGUUGGAAGUCCUGAAGAAGAAAAAGCUUUACGCAAAGUUCUCCAAGUGUGACUUUUGGAUUCAAGAAAUACAAUUUUUGGGUCAUGUGGUUUGCUAGAAUGGUAUAAUGGUUGACCCAAUGAAGAUUGAAGUUGUUAUGAAACGGGAGACACCAAAGAGUCCCACAGAAGCUCGUAGUUUUUUGGGAGUGGUUGAUUUGUGACAUCCCCAUUUUCACGGCCAAAAAAGACCGAUUUUGUUUAUGCUUUAUGAAAAUCAGAUUACCUCUUUUAAUAAAAAUGUUGCGGAAUUUGUUCCCAGUAAAACAUGAUAAAUACGUUAUCAAAGCAUUUCCUAAGAAAAGUAUUUUUAUUCAUUUUAAAACAUUUGGGAUGUCAUCGUCAAUACAAAAACAUAAGCAUAAAUAGAACUUACAUUCAUUAUCACUAGUGAUUUAUAUCUCCAUCUCUCAGUGUAAUGUGACUUCAUAACAACACCUGUGAUAUAAAUAAAUUGAGUGGGUCAGGUCUGGAAACCUGGUGAGUACAUAGGGUUUUCAACCCACAAUAAUAUAAUUAUUAUGUUUAAACAAUUAAGCAAUCAACCCAAUUACUCAUCGCCAUUAUCUUCUUUAUUCUUAAGGAUCUACUCUAAGAAUCAACUAUUCCUCGUUCAUUUAUUCCUAAGGAUCAUCCUAAGAAAUCGGCUUGCCACAGUUUACACAAUAGGCACUAAGUCUACAUAGUCGCUAGGGGUUAGUCAUCAAGUAUGCAUGAUCGCCAAGGUUUACACAACGGGCACUAAGUCUACAUAGUCGCCAGGGUUUAGGCAUCAAGUCUGCAUGAUCGCCAAGGUUUAGGCACCAAGUCUGCAUGGUCGCCAAGGUUUAGAGUACAUCGGGUGAACACAUCGUUCACAACACCUACAGGUUGCGAGCAUGCUAGUGUUCCACUGGACUGUCUAGAAUAGUCUGUGGUUGUCAUCCAUACUUUGUUGAAUGUCGGGGCCAUCAUUUGGGAAAAGGCUUCUCACAUCCUCCAUCUCUCACCCUCACCUCGUGGUCUAUAACACCUCUCAACUCAUCAUCAAACUCAUAUUCCAUCUACUACACCUACCCAUGUUUUACCCCAACAUUAUCGUAGAUAUAAAAUAUAUAUACAGUUUAAAUCAUUUAAAACAUGUAUAAAAUCGUUCAUCCAACAUAGACAACAAGUAUUCAAAUAAUAUGCACACAUAGCACGUAAUUUAAAUAAAAUACUUCAUAUAUAUAUAUNNNNNNNNNNNNNNNNNNNNNNNNNNNNNNNNNNNNNNNNNNNNNNNNNNNNNNNNNNNNNNNNNNNNNNNNNNNNNNNNNNNNNNNNNNNNNNNNNNNNNNNNNNNNNNNNNNNNNNNNNNNNNNNNNNNNNNNNNNNNNNNNNNNNNNNNNNNNNNNNNNNNNNNNNNNAGGGGCAGAACUUCGUCGCUGAAUCUUUCUAAGAAAGAUUCGUGCAGCGCUUCAGCGCUCACCUUACUAUACUAAAACUACAGAAAGAGAAGUCGAAUCACGAGGGACCGAAAUGCUCGGGGGAUAAGGAGAGAAAGACUCUUGAAUCAAGAGAAUGGUGCAAGAAAUAUGAGAGCCCAAGGCUCUUAUUUAUACUAAUUGAAUUUUCAAAAACUACCCUCCAUAAUUACUUAAUGACCUUUUAGUUAUAUAAACAACUAAAUACCCCUCUAUAAUACUAUUUUAAAUAAAUUUAAUGAUAUUUGUACUAAACUAAUGUCGAAACAACAGAACAUUAGUCUUAUAAUGACCGCAUCGUCAAUACCUUUCUAAUGAUAUAUACAUAUGUAUAUAUAUAUAUAUAUAUAUAUAUAUGUGUGUGUGUGUGUGUGUACGUAUAUAUGAUUUAUACUUUAUUUUAAUACGUAAAUAUGCUAUUAUAAUUUGUAACUCGUUCAUAUGAACUCCGUUUUUGACGUUCUUUAUAUCCACGCGUAGGUGGAGACGUACUAUACAACUUUCGUUUAGACCCCGUCGGCUAAUUUUGACUUUAUUUUUAAAGUUAUAUUUUUAACAGGACGGGACAGGAUUGGUCUGUUAAAAUCUCAUAACUUCUUCAUCCGAUGUCCAUUUUUGUCUGUCUUUUUAUCGUUAUGCUACUAAUAACGAGAUAUUCGAUUCUCGUUUAGGUUGUGUUGGCUAAAAACCGCUCGAUCUAAUAUUCGAACUUCGGGCUGUACACCGCUAAACCGAAACUUCGAAAAAUCAUAACUUCCUCAGAAGAAGUCAGAUUUGGGCGUUCUUUUUAUGGACGCUCUUAGGUUAACAUAUUCUACAACUUUCAUUUAGAUUACUAAGUCUAAAAGAAGCUCUAUCAUAAAUUCUUUUUUUUUUUACGUCUCCCGGUGCCGUGUCGGUUUUGCCGUAAAACUUCGACGGGCCAUAACUUCUUCGUUCUAACUCGGAUUUCGGCGCUCUUUAUAUGUACGGAAUCCUUGAGACAUAUUCUACAACUUGGUUAAGAUUAUUUAUUCUAAAUAAUCUUUUGUCGAAAAGUCAUUUGUGGCCCCUAUUAUCUCUAAAUUGACUAGACCGGAUCUACGGACGUUACAAUUAUCUCCCCUUUAGGAUGAUUACAUCCCGAAAUCAUCAACGAAACAGGGAUCGUAUAAUGACUCCAUUCGUCAUAUCUUCAUCCUAGGUAAUAAUUAUAAUUUCUAUAUUCCUUCGAGUCUAUCUCCUAGACUUAUUGACUGCAAGCAGUACUCGAUCGUGCACAUGCUCUCUAUCUCAAGUUUACUCCAAAUUAUGACCUAUCAUCAUGUGAUGCACGUUUAGACUUAGGUCUCUUAGAGUCAAAUUCUAGAAUGGAAUAUACUUUCCUUCAUGUUCUAUUGUGAUAAAAUCACAUUUUAACAUGUAGCAUUUCUAGCUACUAACUUCUUUAACAACGAGCACGAUACUUCUAUUAAUCGCUUUGAUUAUCUCUCACUUCAAUCUUCUGGCUUAAGUCAGAUGCUACAUCGAACUUGGUUCUCUGAACGACGUAACAUACUCAUCGUAGUCGGACUCAAUUCGACAUGACCAUUAGGGUCGGAAUAACAACAAUCUUCUUAGUCAUUACUGAAACGAUAGUAACGACAUAUUUGAAUAAAACGGUAUCUUAGCUGUAACGCUCGCAUUUCCUGCUAUGCUUAGUUAUCAAAUAUGUAACCUUGUGAGAUAACUAUUGUAAGUUUUAAAGAAUAAAUAAAACUAAAUUAUUCCAAUACAUAUGUGUUUAUGUGAAUUUUGUAGAUAUUAGGAGUAUGUGAUAUUUAUGUAGAAAUCGUACGUCGACACAUAGUAAAUAAGGAAAAAAUAUAAAUAAAUAAUAAAAUGCUAUUUUGGAUAAAUAAUCUAAACAAAAGUCAUAGUAAUCGGAAAAACAAACUCAUUCAUAUAAAGAACGCUCAAAUCUGACUUGGUGAGAGGAAGUUAUUUAUGAUUUUUUGAAAUUUCAUUGUAACAGUAUACGGCUCAGAAACAAAAAUUGAAAUCGGUCGAUUGUCAGGAAAAACAAUCCAAACGAGAGUUGAAGAUCUCGUCAGUACCUAUAGGUCGAUAUAAAGACAGUCGAAAAUGGAUAUCAUACGAGAAUGUUAUGAUUUUACAUGGACUUUAGUAGUCAAAGUCUGUUGAAAAUAUAAAUUUAAAAAUAAAGUGAGAAUUAGCCGACAGAGUCUAAACAAAAGUUGCAGAUCUCGUCGAUAGCUACCCGUGGAUAUAAAGAACUUCAAAAACGAAUAUCAUACAUGGAAUAUAUGAAUUUUUUAAGAAAUCUAAAUUUUCUGCACGCAAUCGUACGCAUCGACGAAAAGCGCGGCACGCCAUGACACACCAUCCUAAUCGCGAUUUUGAAUUUGGAAAAUAGCCAUAUAGCCCUAGGGUUCUUGAUAUUUCAAUAUUUUUUUGCAUAUCGUNUAUAUAUAUAUAUAUAUAGUUUCGACUUUCAUUCGUUUUCCACACACCUUCCUUUGAAAUCUCUCGAAACCCUUAGCCUCUUUUACUCCUUAUUUUCCAGUUACUUUAGCAAAUCCAUGCAAUAUCAGAUAGCUAGGGAAUAGAAGCUCUCAGGUCAGAGUUAUGUCCGCAUAAUCUCUGGUUCUCGCUAGAUUACUCUGUAAAUUAAGUUACCCUUAUUUUAUUUUAAGUGAUACUAUUAAUUAUAGUCAUAGUCAUUAUUAUGAACCUAUAAUUAAGAUUCUUUCAUUGAUUCCAAGUCAUUUUAUUGAUUAAUAUACUUACGGGAGUGAUGUUUAGACUAGAUUUAGUGAGGUGUUUAACUUGAACUUAGAUGUUGGUAUACGCCUGAAAUUGAAAAUUAAUUAGAGAAACAAUCAUACAAUUUAUUAAAUGUCUAACUGAAUUAACAUUAAGAUAUUCACAUAAAGAUACUCGAUUAUUGGAGACGCAGCCCUGCUCUCCCAUAUUGGUUUUAAUGUGUCAUGAAGGGUAGUAUCUUCUGUUCGAGAAUGAUCUUCCAACAUUGGUUUGUAUUGCCUCUAAAAUAUAAUUUUAAGUUGGCGAUAAGAAAAAAAGAUAUAAAGGUAUAACAACACGACUACAAACAUCAACAUUGCAUAACAUUGACACAAUAGCUAAGAGUAGUUGAUUUAAAUAUAAAGGUAUAAGAACACGACUACAACUCAAGAGUUUAUAGUUGUAUUCGCUCAUUUAUUGUUGGGUGCUCUAACUGGUUGGUGCAAUUAGGGAAUUAUUUUAUGAGCUGCAAUAAUUAAGAGUUAAGACAAUGAGCUAUAACAGAUCAAACAUAGGUUCUGGUUAGUCUCUUCCCAUGAAGUCGAUGUUCUGACAUCAAUUAGUUUUCUUCAUGAUAUAAUGGAAUCAUUAGAUAAAUUAGACAAUUUAUAUGCACCUGCAAUAAGUCUAGGAAUUGCUGAACAAAUCAAACAACAACAAAAAUAUCAAAAUUAGUUUCCUGGUUAGUCUCUUCCCAUGAAGGCGAUGUUUUGACAUCAAUUAGUUUUCUACUUAGUCUCUUCUAUUUUGACAUCAAUUACUUUUCUUCAUGAUAUAAUGGAAUCAUCAGGCAAAUUAGACAAAUUGUAUGUGUAACACCUCAUUCCGAAGACAAAACCCUAAAAUCCGAGAAUGUAUUUAAGUAUUAUCUUAUUUAGAUAUAUAUUUUAAAUAAGAGAGUUUGGUGAAAAUGUGUGUAAUUGGCAUUAUAAUUGGUUUUGGAGGUCUAAAGAGUGCUUUCGGGUUUUGUGGUGUAAAGAAUAUUUGAGCAUCUGGCUAAAGAAUAAUCAAUUCGGCUCAUUUUGAAGUUUUUGGAUUCGAGUUAUAGUAAAUUUUAAAAGAUGGGGGUUGUUUUGAAACAAUUGGGCUUAAUUUGGAAAAGACUUUAUGGUGAGGGACUAAACUUGGAAUAGUGGCUAAAAUUUUGAAAGAAGGCACGAGAUUAAAACCUAACACUCCUUCCCUCCCGUGAGCUUGAAUAGAGCCUAACCCUACUACUCACUAUUUAGCCGCUACCCUCACUUCAACCACCUCCGGCGCCGCCAUCCCUUUUGGUUGUUGUCAUCGCCGUGCGUCAUAGCUGCCAUCUCCUUCGGCGAGAGCAAGUCGACAGCAUAGGAGCUGGGUGUGCCUGUUUCUGUCUUUCCGCCACCUUUCUUCUCCUUAUUCUUUCUGUCGCUGCCGCUUUUAGCGAGUCGAAGUUGCGAAUUCUUCUUCUUCGUUCCUCAGUGCUACGUCUCAGCCAUGACCGCCGCCUCCGCAACUUCGAGUGACUGCCUUUUUGUGCUCUGGUUGCCGCCUGCCACAUGAAGUGGCUAAGGUAGGUGCGUGCUUCACGAUGAACUCGUGUUUGUGUAGGUUUCUACUUCACCAUGAAGUGUAUAUGGAUGCUCAUUUGGCCAGAAAAACCCGAGAAAACCAGCAUGGCUGCAACCACUGUUUUCUUUUCUGCCACCCUAAGCCACUGUGUAUGGGUGGCUGUGUGUGUGUUUAAUAUAACUUGUGUGAGAUUGUGUGUUAUGUUAUAUGUACAAUGUAUGGUCGGAAAAUCCGAAGAAACCCACCACCACCACCGUGAGGUGGUGGCCGCCGCCUUUUGUCGCCACCAGCCACCGUGUUGGGUGGCGGUGUGCAUUGUGUGUGAUUGGAUUCCUUUUUUAGAUGCUUGGACAUAUUUAGUCUAAAGUUGUAACCACCACCGCGAGGUGGUGACCGCCGUCGUGAGCCGUCGUUGACCUAGUGAAUCCCUAAUUUUUCUAAAAGUCUAACCAUUUGAACAAUUAACAUGCGAUUGGGUUAAAAACCCUAAUUAGGGUUUUAAAGUGUCGGGACCCGCAUUUUGGACCAUUGGAACUGAAUUACGAACUACGACCAACCACACAGCAUGAUCAACCUAGUAGAAUGAUGGACUUAAUGGAUUAAGUCCUUAAUGGGUUAAGUGUUUUAAUUAACCCUAAUCGUCAUUUUAUGUGAAAACCCUAAUUGUGUUGGGUUUUGAGUUGGGCCUAAAUGUUUGGAUUCUUGAUGGGCCAACUAAUAACAAGUAUACAGACUAUGGAAUUUGGAUGGGCUUUAGGGUAAGGCUCAUAUGAAGGGUUUGGGCCUAAUUUGGAAAAUUGGGACAUAUGUCGGGCUUUGGUUCAUUGUUUGACUUUUGAGCUUUUAGAGUGCGAGUUUGGGCCUUAGGCUUGAAUCAAGCUAGGUUUGGGGUAAAGUAGUAUUUUUACCCCAAGCAUGGACUUGUGGUUAUGUAUUGGAACCCAAUUACUAAUUGGGCGUUGUUUUGAUGUUGACAGUUCGGGAAUCUGUCAUCCAGCUACUAGAGUUUUAUCCACGGGACUUCAAUAGUGUAAGGUGAGUUACCUUCCUGUAUGAGAAGGUCAAAGGCACCAAUAUAGAUCCACUAGUAGUUGUUUAUAGUAAAGAUGAUUGUCUUUGUGAUAAUUUUUCUGGUAUUCCACUAUCUGCUAUGAUUUAUGUGAUUAUUGCUAUGCUAUUAUGUGGUAGUGGUAGGGGGGAAAUAGUCCCCGUAACCGAUUGAAAUAAACCGGAGGGUAGGUUAGGCACCCAUAUAUGCUUAAUAGGGUAGGUCGAGCACCCAAAUAUGCUUGACAGGGUAGGUCGGGCACCCAGAUAUGUCUGACAGUGUGUUUAUGCUAUGUUAUUAUGUGGUAGCGGUAGGGGUGAAAUAGUCCCCAUAACUGGUUGAAAUAAACUGGAGGGUAGGUCGGGUACCCAGAUAUGCCUGGAAGGGUAGGUUGAGCACUCAUAUAUUCUUGACGGGGUAGGUCGGGUACCUAGAUAUGCCUGACAGGGUAGGCCGGGUGCCCAGAUAUGCCUGACAGUAUGUGAUUAUGUGGUAUGAUUGGGGAACUCACUAAGCUUCAUGCUUAUGGUUUUCAGUUUUGGUUUCAGGUACUUCUUCUUCAGAAGGAAAGGAGCUGACAUGAUCGUAGCGUAUCACACUAUGGAUUCCGCAUUAUGAGAUCUUUCGGAAUUGUACUCUAAUAUUACAUUUCUAUGACAUGUUUUGGGUUAUUUGAAAUACUAGUUUUUGAUUAUGAAAUGAGUUGACACUAUUGAUGUUUCACACUAAUGGUUUUUAUAAUUAUUUAAUUAAAAAUGAAAUUUUUGGCUCUAAAUUUUUGGAUGUUAAUAGUUGGUAUCAGAGUCCUGGUUUGAGGGAUUCAGACACACUCUCGGGUGUGUCAGGACUCAAAUCUAGAGUUUGAAGGAUUUUUACAAGAAAAAUGAUUUUUCUAAAAUAAAAAUUAAUGUUUUUUUAAUAAAGAACAAGGAGUGUGAUGCGUGCAAAAGGCCAAGAUCAAGUAAGAUUUCCCCAAGAUACCCAUGCAUAUUAUGUUAUGAUAUGAAUUGUGAAUAUGUGAACUGCAUGCUAGAUUAUGGGCUAAGGAUUUAGGAAGGAUGUCUUGUAUGCCUGUUGUAUGAGCUUGUAGACCUGCAUGCUAGUACUAAUUGGUCUGUGAUAGGAUGGCCUGUUUAGGUUAUGCCUGAUUGUAUGAGCCUUAAAAUUUCAUGAUAGUAUAGAUUCCUGAUAAGAGGAUGGAAUGGCUUGAUUGGAGUAUGUUGGUUAGUUUUUCCGUUAUCCAAAUGUUGCUUGCUUUGUGCUUUUUGGGGCUCUUAGCAAUAUGAGUUAGCUAUUUAGUGAACAUGCUAAGUUACAUGUGGCAUAUAAGGGAUAAUCUCAUAGUAAUGGACUUGACCCUAUUGCACAACUCUCGUCUGAUUCCAACCGUUCUAGGAUUAAGUCUUUUACUCAAAGGAUUAUUUGAUCUCUGUUGCAUGUAACUAUAUUCAUGAGGUGUCUAAUUGACAUUAUUGGGAAUCUUUCAACAGCUGAGGAUUGGGUGGGUUCAGGAACCUAGGAAAGCAUAGGAUAUCCUUCAGUGGGUUAGUAGUGAGGUUUAGUGAGACUUGGGUGCAUCAGUUUGAGGAAGUGACUUGGAGGAUUUGGGAGGAUUGCCGAGGAAAGUAUGGAUAGGUGUAGAAGGUAGUAUUGGGCCCAUACUACUGAAAGCACAUGAUCCGUACUCGAAUCGGUGAGAGUAUUAGAGAAUAUGAGAAGCUUCGGUGAGGAGAAUCCUCGAGUGUGUUUUGAUCAGUGGUUUUAUGUUGCUACAAGUGUGGGAAAGUACACAAGCAAGUUUGUCGUUCCAGGGGUUUAGGUUGCUACAAGUGUGGCAGGGUAGAUCAUGUUAGCAGAGAUUGUUCUCAGGGGGCAAGCCCAUUAUGUUUUCAUUGCGAUCAAGUAGGCCACAAGAAGGCUGACUGUGCGGGGAGGAGGGGAGGAGCAGUGAAGGCGCAGCUCUAUCUAUUUUGCAAAUAUCUGAUGGUCGAAAAGGUAGGCAUGAGCCCCAAAAGAUAAGAGUCAGGUCCUGCAGUGUCAGACAUGAGAAGUUAGGACUCCAGCAGGCGGUGGCAUAUGGGAUAUAGUGGUUUCAUUAUCCGUUCUGGUAGAACUAGUCCACCCGUAUCGAUAGGAUAUAGUGGUUUCAUUAUCCGUUCUGGUAAGAUUGGCGGUGGCCUAUGGGAGAACUUCUGGGAUUCUAGUGUUGCCGUCAUUAGGACAGGAGCGGUAACAGAAAGAUAUGGGUGUUAGAUACAUAGGUAUAUGGUCCUUGUAUGUUCAAGAGAAUUUUAUCUUCGCAUGGGUUGUGUUCGGUUAGAGCUCAGUGGUGUUGCGAGAAUGGAAGUGGGAACGAUGAUUCAUCAGUCAGGGUAAAGAUUAAGGCCUCCAAUCGCCAUCAUGGGAUGUGUAUUUAGGUGUCAGACUGGACAUGAUUUCAAGAGUACUCUUCAAGAUUUUAGAGGAUGUGUGAUCUUAGGGUUUGAUUGGUAAUUGAACGUUAGCAUUGGUAAGCACAAGUUGUCAGCAGUGGAUUAUUAGAAAGCAAGAAGGGUUAGAAAAUCCUUAAACUCUCACGUGUCAUGAAGGCUUAGUCAAAUCUAAGUGGGGGAGAAUUGAUCAGGUAUUCAUGAGCAGAACUAGGUGUGAAACUAGGAUGAGUUUCGCAUCCCUGUCAGGGAGGAAGGCGGUCGAGUGACCGUCUAGGUUGAGGAUUGUGUGAGUUGAGAGUUCGGAAAACGUUCCAAUAUUUAGUUCCCGCCUUUCUUGGCACCGGAUAGCACGUUUCAGGUAACAGGUUAGAUGUCCGAUUAGGAUCAAGUUUAGUUGAGUGUUAGGUCGAGUGUGUGUUCGACCCAUGAUGGGUAUAGUUGGAUUGGUGGUAAGACCUAGGCUGGCAGAUAGUGCUAGAGUGUUGUAAGUCCGUGGGUGUAGCCAUAGCAUUCACAAGGUUGGUAGAUAGUGCUAGAGUGUUGUAAGUCUGUGGGUGUAGCCAUAGUAUUCACAAGGUUGGCAGAUAGUGCUAGAGUGUUGUAAGUCUGCGGGUGUAGUCGUAGCAUUCACAAAGUUGGCAGAUAGUGCUAGAGUGUUGUAAGUCUGCGGUUGUAGUCGUAGCAUUCACAAGGCUGGCAGAUAGUGUUGGAGUGUUGUAAGUCUGCGGGUGUAGCCGUAGCAUUCACAAGGCUGGCAGAUAGUGCUGGAGUGUUGUAAUCCUGCGGGUGUAGCUGUAGCAUUCGCAAGGUUGGCAUAUAGUGCUAGAGUGUUGUAAGUCUACGGGUGUAGUUGUGGCAUUCACAAGGUUGGCAGAUAGUGCUAGAGUGUUGUAAGUCUGCGGGUGUAGCCGUAGCAUUCACAAGGUUGGCAGAUAACGCUAGAGUGUUGUAAGAUUGAGGGUGUAGCUGUAGCAUUUACUAGGUUGGUAGAUAGCAAAGGAGUGUUGUUAGACCGCGGAAGGAACAUUAGUACCCACUAUUUCGGGUGCAUCAGUGAGGGCAUGGCAAAUCCACAGAUUGGUUUACGAAUUUUCUCAGAUGAAUUAGAUCUGGUUGAGCUAGUGAUAAGACUGUAGGAACUGUUGGAUAAGGUGUCUAAGUCCAUAACUAUUUCUGGUAUGUACUUGACCCGACCCAGCAUGGGCCAUUUGGGUUUGGAUAGACUAAAUGAGAGAAAUAACACAUAUGGUUUAUUAAUAUAUUAUAAGCUCUAAUAUAUUAAUAAUAUUAUUUAAUUAGUUUGGUCAAGAAUUAAUUAAGUGAUCAAAAGGUAACUAAUUAAAUAUAUGGGUUGAUUAUGUAAAUCAUCCAUACCUUAUAUAGUGGGCUGAGAGGCUCCAUGGAUAAUCAAGUUGGGUUAAAACCAUUGGAUGCUCCAUGGGAGUUACAAACCCAUGGGUCAUAGAAAUGAAGAGUCAUGACACAUUAGGGUUUACAUGGUGUAACCCUAAAUGUGUCAACACUAUAUAAAGCUCAUGUGUUCUCCCAAAAAUCGGUUAAGACAAGAUACAAGAGGGCUAUAGCCGAUUUUAGUGUGUUAUACUUUCUCUCCAAGUUUACUCCAUAGCAUUUGGUGUUGUGUGAAGCAUUUGAGGCAUCACACUUGGGGUGCUAGGCUCACAAGGUUUCAAGGAACAUAAGCAACAACAAAGUAAGUUAUUCUAUCUAUUAUUUAAGUUAAAAUUGUUCCCCAUGUAUGCUAGAUAGGAUCAUAGCCUUGGAAAUCAACUUUGCAUGAUAAUUAGACAAACAUAGAUCCAAGGUUAUUAGGGUUGCAUGUACACUUAGGAAGUGUUAGAAUGCUCAAAACCCAUCAAUGCUAUCAGAGCCUAGGCUUGUUUGUUUGUUAUUUGUGCUAAAAAGUUGAAACAAGUCGAAAAACUUGUUGUCUACCUGAUGAACUCGCCGAGUCCAUGGGGGGACUCGUCGAUUUCAUGCGUAUCUUCAACCUACUCGCCGAGUAGGUUCAUGCACUCGGUGAGUAGAAGCCACAGAAUGUAGUUUUUCGACUUUAGUUGCUGGAAAUGGACUAGAAACAUUACCCUAAACUGUUUUGGUACUUGAAAACUUGUUUUAGAUGGUGUAAUGUCUUUGCUAAUCCAUUUACAACAACUAGUUAUCAAAAUUACAAAGUUUUAAGUGUAANCCAUUUACAACAACAAGUUAUAAAAAAUUACAAGUUUUAAAAUGUAAUCUUUGAUUCAUGAAAGUGUUCAUAUUCAUGUUCUUGAUCUUAUGAUGUUUAGAUGAUCAUAGGAAUUAUUUGUAACCUAUUUGGUAGAUUAAUUCAUGAUCAUAAUGUGUUUUAAUGGAGUCCAUAACUUGUCCUCAAGUUAUGGAAAACCAAAAGUCUCUUGGAUUAAAAACCAUUAAAAGAACACAAGAGUUAGGAAAAAUGAAAAGUCCUCAUUUUAUUACUCUAUUAAACUCAUAAGUUACAAGAAAUGAAAAGUUUUGAAAGUUUACAAAACUUGCCCUCAAGUUUUGGAACAAGUAAAGUUAAGUUAAAACUUUAGUUCCAACCCCUAGAAUUUUAAAAGUUAAAAUUCAACCCUUAUACUUAUAUUAUUAUGAUUUAAUAAUUAUAUAUAUAUGUAUAAGAACAAAGUCGUCUUACCGCUAGUACGCCUCAUUCACGAAGCCGGUCUAUAAGGUGGGUAUAAGGUUGUUGCCUAUAAAAUGGCAACUUAAUGGGUGUCCACUCUCACCCACCGCUUGCUUGACUGGUGGAGGGUCGUUAGCCGAACGGGUAAGACAAGGACUUAUAAAUUCUCAUUAAAAGUAUAAUGAUUAUUAUAAAGUAACUAAAUGUUUUAUAAAUUCCCAAUCUUAGUUACUUUAGGAAAAAUGUGAAUAAGGUGCUAAUCCAUGAAAUUACACUUUGCACCUUGUUUAAGUCGUUGGUGGAGCGUGUGUGGUUUACCGGUACACUAACUUGGACUUAACAAGGAAGGCAAAGGGUGACUUAAGGUUUUUCAUGAGGCCCGAAGGAGCGCGUGUGCUUUACCGGCACAACGAUUAAGUGAAAAACAUUAAGGGUACCAAGUAAUUUGCAUGGUUACUUCACACCUUGUUUUGUGAUCCUCGGUAUCCCAGUCACAAAACAUGAAGGGCACACUCGAGAUUGAAACAUGCCAUUGAAAAUUUCAAUGAAUCUCAAAGAAUAUAGGAAUUUAUAAAAGCCAAAUAAAACCUAAUAAUUUAUAUUUCGUUUUGAUGGUGGAAAUUGAUGAAUCGUCAUUCACUUACCUUUCAAAUAUGUUAUAACUUGGAUUACGGCAUCCCUUUUCUAGGUUAUAAUAUAUUGUGAUUGGAUCAUAGCCUUAAUAUUACAUUUGGGUGUUUUAUUAAGGACUAUCCCUAUAUCUAAACCUUUUUCCUUCUUUUCAGAUGUCUUCCAACAAUUCUACUCCUGGCUCAAACCCUACUGGCUCCUUCUCUCUCAUGAACCUUUGUGGGAGAGUCAUCUUUGAUGGAUCCAACUUUACUGAUUGGAUCAGAAACAUCAGGAUGGUCAUUCGUUACGAGAACAAGGAAUAUGUUUUUGACAAGGAGCUCAAGGUGCCUGAGCCAACUGCUACUCCUGAGGAGCUUGCUGAAUAUGAGGUUCAUGAAAGAGAUGCUACCAAAGUGGCAUGCAUCAUGAUGGCCACCAUGACAGCCGAGCUCCAAAAGUCCUAUGAGGACUACUAUCCUUUUGAGAUGCACCAGGAUUUGAUGGACCGCUACCAUCAGAGUGCUCGUCAAGAGCGAUAUGAAAUCAUCUCCUCUAUGAUCACAACCCGAAUGAAAGAUGGUGAACCCAUCACAAGCCACAUGCAGAAAAUGCAAAGGUAUGUGGAUCGAUUGAUGAAGUUGAAUGUGAACUUCCCUGAGGAGUUAGCAAUAGAUAUUAUUUUGCACUCCUUACCUUCGUGUUAUGAUCAAUUCCGCAUGACAUACCACAUGAAUAAGGAGGAAGUUACACUUAGCAAACUUCAGGGACUCCUAAAGACCGCAGAAUCAGGUCUUAAAGGUAAGUCGGUUGUGACCACUCCUGCUACUACUCCAAACUCAGCACCUGUCCUGGCAAUCGGGAAAGGUAGAGGGAAGAAGAGAAAGAACCCUUCGAAGGGUACCAAGGGUAAGACCCUUGAUGGCUCCUCUUCUAGCGGAACCAAGAAAGGUUUCGUUACACCUUCUUCUGAUCCCAAAGAGGCUGAAUGCUUCUACUGCCACGAAAAGGCGCACUGGAAGCGUAACUGCCCAAAGUACCAGCAAGAUUUGAAGGAUGGGAAAGUUAAACCCAACCAUGCAGGUAUUUACACUAUCUCAUCUAAUAAUUCACUCUAUUCUAACUCUUGGGUCCUUGAUACCGGUUGCGGUAUUCAUAUUUGUUCUGAAAUGCAGGGACUAAGAAGAAGUGAGAAUGUGGAGCAUGGAAAGAUAAACUUAAUCAUGGGGAAUAGGAAAGUUUCACCUGUCACCAAGAUUGGAGUUUAUACUUUGUUGCUUAGUAGUGGAUUUACUUUAGAUUUGAAUAAAUGUUGUUAUUCGCCAGAAAUGGCAAGAAAUGUUAUUUCCUUUCAUGCUUUGUAUAAACAAGGUUUUACCUUUUCUUUUGAUAAUGAAACUGGUGGAAUAAAUGCUUUCUUUAAUAAUGUGUUUUAUUUUAAAGCAUUACCUUGUGAUGGUGUGUAUGAAGCUGUGUCUGUUGUAGAUAACUUAGGAAAUAAUGUAUUGUGUAUUGAUUCUUCUAAUGAUAAUAACUUGGAUAAAGCAUCAUUAUGGCAUUGUCGUCUUGGACAUAUAAGCAAGAAACGCAUAGGCCAACUCCAAAAGGAUGGAGUCUUGGAGUCAUUUGACCUAAAGUCAGAUGAUAGUUGCGAAUCAUGCUUACUUGGAAAAAUGACAAAGUCACCCUUCACAGGUUCUUGUGAGAGGGGUGAAGGUUUGUUGGAUCUUGUACACACGGAUGUGUGUGGACCAUUCAAACAUGCCACAAGGGAUGCUAAUCGUUAUUAUGUGACUUUUACGGAUGAUUAUAGUAGAUAUGGAUAUGUCUACUUAAUCAAGCAUAAGUCAGAGACUUUUGAAAGGUUUAAGGAAUUUAAACAGGAAGUCGAGAAUCAAUUGGGCAGGAACAUUAAGAUGCUUCGAUCCGAUCGUGGUGGUGAGUAUCUUAGUACAGAGUUCCUCGACUAUCUAAGGGAACGUGGGAUUGUCUCACAAUUGACACCUCCCAGGACACCACAGUUGAAUGGUGUAGCUGAGAGGCGAAAUCGAACCUUGAUGGACAUGGUUCGUUCCAUGAUGAGUCGAGCUACGCUACCAAUCUCAUUUUGGGGGUAUGCCUUAGAGACUGCCACCCAUAUCCUUAAUAUGGUCCCUACAAAGAAGGUUGCCAAAACACCUCACGAGAUGUGGACUGGAAAAGUUCCUAGUCUAGCCCACAUCAAGGUUUGGGGUUGCGCGGCUUUCUUGAGACGCAAGACUCAUGACAAGCUCGAACCUCGAAGCGAGAAGUGUAUUUUAAUUGGCUACCCACAAAAAUCCUUUGGUUACCUCUUCUACAGACCUAGUGAGAAUGUGGUCUUUGUAGCAAGGAGGGCUGUCUUUCGCGAGAGAGAGAGAGAGGGAGUUCAUAACCUAAGGAGAUAGUGGGAGGCAAAUUGACCUUGAAGAACUUCAAGAGUCAAGUGGUGAAGGAACCUCAAACCCUAGCAGUCAACUUGAGGAGGAACCUCCUGUUGAUCCAAUUAUACCUCCAGUUGUACCUCUGAGGCGUUCCACAAGGGUUAGGAAUGUACCUGAGCAUUACUAUGGUUUCCAUAUUACUGCGGAAGGUGAGACACUUAUUAGUGAUGAGACANGAUGACCCUAAGCUAUACGGAAGCCAUGGUAGGCCCUGAGUCUGCUAAAUGGAAAGAGGCAAUGGAUAGCGAGAUACAAUCCAUGUAUGAGAAUCAAGUCUGGGACUUGGUUGACAAUGUGCCAGGUCGUAUGACAAUUGGGUGCAAAUGGAUCUUCAAGAAGAUGACCAGCAUGGAUGGUAAUGGACACACUUAUAAGGCUAGACUGGUAGCAAAGGGCUUCUCUCAAACUCCUGGAGUGGAUUAUGAUGAGACCUUUUCACCAGUAGCCAAGAUUAAGUCUAUUAGGGUAUUGUUAGCCAUAGCUGCAUUUCAUGACUAUGAAAUAUGGCAAAUGGAUGUCAAAACCNNNNNNNNNNNNNNNNNNNNNNCGCUUUCCUUGAAAGUUGGCUGAGGAGGUUUACAUGAAUCAGCCAGAGGGUUUUCUCAGCAUAUAGUACCCUAAUAGAGUGUGUAAGCUUGAAAAAUCCAUCUAUGGAUUAAAGCAAGCACCUCGCGGAUGGAAUCUUUGCUUUGAUGAGAAGGUCAAGGAAUUAGGCUUUUCUAGGAGUGAAGAUGAAUCUUGUGUAUAUGUCAAGGCUAGUGGGAGUAUAGUUAGCUUUUUGGUACUGUAUGUGGAUGAAAUACUACUCAUAGGAAAUGACAUCCCAACUCUGAAAGAAGUUAAGUCCUGGCUUGGGACGUGUUUUGCUAUGAAGGACCUAAGAGAAGCUGCCUAUAUCCUAGGGAUAGGGAUCUUGAGAAAUCGGAGUAAAAGACUAAUUUGACUUAGUCAGAGUACAUACUUGGACAAGGUGUUGAAGAGAUUCAGCAUGCAAGAUUCCAAGAAAGGAGAGUUACCCAUCCAGAGUAACACUAGACUGAGUAAGACUCAGAGCCCGAGUACUGAGGAUGAGAUAGCAGAAAUGAGUCGGAUACCUUACGAUUCGACAGUAGGCUCGAUCAUGUAUGCUAUGACUUGUACUCGUCCUGAUGUAGCCUUUGCUUUAAGCAUGGUUAGCAGGUAUCAGGGGAAUCCUGGUAAGGCUCACUGGACAGCGGUAAAGAACAUUCUCAAGUACCUGCGGAGGACUAAGGACUGGGUCCUUACCCUCGGUGGGAGUGAUGACUUGAGAGUUGUGGGGUAUAGUGAUGCUAGCUUCCAGACUGAUAGGGAUAAUUUCCGCUCUCAGUCGGGUUGGGUCUUUACCCUAAACGGAGGAGCAAUUUCUUGGAAGAGUUCCAAGCAAGAGACAGUGGCUGAUUCUACNGCGGCAAAAGAGGCUAUGUGGCUAAAGAACUUCAUUGGAGACCUUGGAGUUGUACCAGCUAUAUCGAAGCCUAUAGAGAUUUUUUGUGAUAGUGAAAGUGCAGUUGCCUUAGCAAAGGAACCAAGGGAUCAUGGAAGAUCCAGACACAUUGACAGAAAAUAUCAUUUCAUCAGACAUCGUAUUGAAGAAGGACUCCUCGUGGCAAAGAGGGUAUCAUCGGAUGAGAACCCGGCAGAUCCCCUCACGAAGGGACUGGGUAGGGUUAAGCAUCUCCAGCAUGCUAGGAGCAUAGGGCUGAAGGAUGAUAUUAGUUUUAGUAGUUAGAUAAUUUUGAAAUUUGUAAAAUGUAAUUGACAUUUGAUGAUGAAUAAAAGUUGUGUUUAUUUAUGAGUAAAGUGUUACUAUCUUUUGUCAAUCGUUUACUAUUAUUUCUUUUGCAUGUUUUGACUUCCAGAAUAUUUAUGUUGUUUUACAUAUUAUUCAAAUUAUCCACAGUCAGUCAUAUGUUGGAAGUAGAUAUGAAGUAAGACUGUCAUGAGUUGGUUGUAGAGGUCUAAGAUGUUGGACAUGGCCUCAACACUCAUGAGUGCUCAUAAGUUCUGAGUAUUGGAUUCAACCCACGCUCGCUGGUAUCACUUCAUGGAAUUUAUCUCGAGUGAUCGCGAGACGGUAAUAUCAUAUAAGUCUUCAAACCUAGAGAUAUGACUUGUUAACUAUGAGUUAGUUAUGCAUUGAACGUGCGAAACCGCAUUGGUAACUCGAUGUUAUAAAACGUGCGUUUGUGUGUAAUUUAACAAGUAGUAGAACAAGCAUAUGAGUCGAAGUUUAUCUGUUCCUUCUUGGAUUAGAAGCUGAUAUCUGGGCCCCUCGAUGAUUUUGUUUUGACCUAUGUACCGGGCCCGGUCAGAACUAAGUUGAUGUGUUCAAUUAAGUUCUAUGUCAAACAAAUCGGAAAUCGGGAAACAAACUGCUGGACAAUAAGUAAGACAUUGUUCCAUGUAUUUGUCCGGCUGAUAUCUAGAACAGAGGAUUAUAUGAUCCCUUAUCUGAAAUGGCGUACCAUCAUCUUCUCAGUUCCGAGAAACCUUGAAAAGAGCUACGAUUGCCGAUCGGUUCCUGAAGUCAUACUUGCAGUAAUAGUUAUUAGACUUAUCCAAGUGGGAGACUGUUGGAUAAGGUGUCUAAGUCCAUAACUAUUUCUGGUAUGUACUUGACCCGACCCGGCAUGGUCCAUUUGGGUUGCAUGGCACCAUGCAAUUGGAUAGACUAAAUGAGAGAAAUAACACAUAUGGUUUAUUAAUAUAUUAUAAGCUAUAAUAUAUUAAUAAUAUUAUUUAAUUAGUUUGGUCAACAUUUAAUUUAAAAUUAAUUAAGUGAUCAAAAGAUAACUAAUUAAAUAUAUGGGUUGAUUAUGUAAAUCAUCCAUAACUUAUAUAGUGGGCUAAGAGGCUCCAUGGAUAAUCAAGUUGGGUUAAACCCAUUGGAUGCUCCAUGGAGGCUCCAUGGGAGUUACAAACCCAUGGGUCAUGGAAAUGAAGAGUCAUGACACAUUAGGGUUUACAUGGUGUAACCCUAGAUGUGUCAACACUAUAUAAAGCUCACGUGUUCUCCCAAAAAUCGGUUAAGACAAGAUACAAGAGGGCUAGAGCCGAUUUUAGUGUGUUAUACUUUCUCUCCAAGUUUACUCCAUAGAAUUUGGUGUUGUGUGAAGAAUUUGAGGCAUCACACUUGGGGUGCUAGGCUCACAAGGUUUCAAGGAACAUAAGCAACAACAAGGUAAGUUAUUCUAUCUAUUAUUUAAGUUAAAAUUGUUCCCCAUGUAUGCUAGAUAGGAUCAUAGCCUUGGAAAUCAACUUUGCAUGAUAAUUAGACAAACAUAGAUCCAAGGUUAUUAGGGUUGCAUGCACACUUAGGAAGUGUUAGAAUGCUCAAAACCCAUCAGGAACACCACUGAAGUCAUGGGAUAAAGAAAGCGAUUGACCAUUUAAGUUCGUUUAUGAUAUAAGGCUACCCUUAGUCAUGUAACAAUCAUUUUUAGCCUUGGACUUGGUGACAUUAGGAUCCGACGUAUGAACCCGAUCGGUUGGAUAAGGAGGUCGUUAGAGCCAUAGUGGCAAGAUAACUAAUGACAACUAUUGGUAGACGAGGAUUUCGUUCGAAAGUCAUGUAGGAGUCUUUUGGCUCUGCAACCAGGCCGGAACCUGGUAUUUCAGAUGAAUGACAGACGAAUUGAGACCAGGGCGGUCUUGGUGGAUUUUGGAGAGCAGUCAGGAGGCAACAUACUAUUUUAAGCAAUUUAGUGUUUCAGGCAGUUUCAGUGUCUCGGACAGUAUUAAUGUUUUAGGUUUGCAAGUAUGGACGGAGUAACUGAUUGAUUGGGAAGCUAUAAGUCACUCACAGAGGGAUUAAAUAAUCUCAGGGUAGUUGAUAGGACUCUGUUGCGCAACUCUCGUAUGAGUCUAACCGUUGCAGGGAUGGAUCUUAUACUCGAAGGAUUAUCAGAGCCUUCGGUUAAGUAUAAGUGCUCUGCAAGGAUAUCUGGUUUGUGAUUUGGUUUUCUAGUGGGAACCUCGAGUUAUCAGAAGUUGGGUAGUUAGUAGGGAAAUAAGUGGACUUGAUUCAACAAUAAUGAUUCAAUAUGGGCAGUCUGACAAGGAGUCAAACCAUCUCGAGACUUUGGAUUUUAGAUUGAGUAAAUGUGAUCAUGAUGAAAGGAAUUCGUUCAUUUUCGGGUUUUAGAACCCUGCAAGGGUUGGUUUUUGUUGCCUUGGAAAGGUUGGGGUAUACUUGUGGUUGUGGUAGUGUUGCUCAGGUUGUUUGGCGUGUCAAUAGUGGUAAUGAAUGAUUUCAAGGACGAAAUCGAAUUUAAGAGAGGGGGAGUUGUAACACCUCGUUCCGAAGACAAACCCUAAAAUCCGAGAAUGUAUUUAAGCAUUAUUUUAUUCCGAUAUAUAUAUUUUAAAUAAAAAAGUCUGGUGAAAAAGUGUGUAAUUGGCAUUAUAAUUGGUUUUAGAGGUCUAAAGAGUGCUUUUAGGGUUCGGGGUGUAAAGAAUAUUUGAGCAUAUGGCUAAAGAAUAAUCAAUUGGGCUCGUUUUGAAGUUUUUAGACUCAAGUUGUAAUAACUUUUAGAAGUUGGGGGUUGUUUGGUAACAAUUGAGCUUAAUUUGGAAAAGACUUUUUGGUGAGGGACUAAACUUAGAAUAAUGGCUAAAAAUUUGAAAGAAGGCACGAGAUUAAAACUCGACACUCCUUCCCUCCCGUGAGCUCGAAGAAACCCUAAACCUACUACUUACUAUUCAGCCACAACCCUCACUUCAACCACCUUCGGCGCCACUAUCCCCUUUUGUUGUUGUCACUACCGUGCGUCGCAGCUGCCAUCUCCUUCAGUGAGAGCUAGUCGACGACAUAGGGCCCGGGUGGGCCUGUUGCCAUCUUCCCGCCACCUUUCUUCUCCUUCUUUCUUUAUGUCACUGCUGCUAUUCGCAAGUCGAAGUUGCGACUUGUUCUUCUCCGUUCUUCGGUACUACGUCUCAGCCACGACCGCCGCCGCCGCAGCUCCUAGCGGCGGUCUUUUUGUGCUCCGGUUGCUGCCUGCCACCUGAAGUGGCUAUGGUGGGUGCAUGCUUCGCAAUGAGCUUGUGUUUGUGUGGGUUUCUGCUUCACCAUGAAGUGUAUAUGGAUGCUCAUUUGGCCAAAAAAACCCGAAAAACACCACGGAUGCCACCACUAUUUUCUUUUCUACCACCUAAGCCACAGUGUAUGGGUGGUUGUGUGUGUGUGUGUGUUUAGUGUAACUUGUGUGAGAUUGUGUGUUAUGUUAUAUGAACAAUGUAUGGCCAGAAAAUUCGAAGAAACCCACCACCACCACCACCGUUAGGUGGUGGUUGCCGCCUUUUGCCGCUACCAGCUGCCAUGUUGGGUGGCGGUGUGCAUUGUGUGUGAUUGGAUUUCUAUUUUAGAUUCUUGGACAUAUUUAGUCUAAAAUUAUAACCACCACCAUGAGGUGGUGGCCGCCGUUGUGAGCCGUCAUUGACCACCACUACCCGAGGUGGUAGUGGGUGGUUCCCAACCUAAUGAAACCCUAGUUGACCUAAUGAAUCCCUAAUUGAUCUAAAAGCCUAACCAUUUUACUAAUUAACACACGAUUGUGUUGAAACCCCUAAUUAGGGUUUAGAAAACCCUAAUUUUGGAUAUGUUAGUUUUGGAGUGUCGGGACCCGCAUUUUGGACCAUUGGAACUGAAUUACGAACUACAACCAACCACACCGCAUGAUCAACCUAGUAGAAUGAUGGACUUAAUGGGUUAAGUGUUUUAAUUAACCCUAAUCAUCAUUUUAUGUGAAAACCCUAAUUGUGUUGGGUUUUGAGUUGGGCCUAAAUGUUUGGAUUCUUGAUGGGCCAACUAAUAACAAGUAUACAGACUAUGGAAUUUGGAUGGGCUUUAGGGUAAGGCUCAUAUGAAGGGUUUGGGCCCAAUUUGGAAAUUUGGGCCAUAUGUCGGGCUUUGGUUCAUUGUUUGACUUUUGAGCUUUUAGAGUGCGAGUUUGGGCCUUAGGCUUGAAUCAAGCUAGGUUUGGGGUAAAGUAGUCUUUUUACCCCAAGCAUGGACUUGUGGUUAUGUAUUGGAACCCAAUUACUAAUUGGACGUUGUUUUGAUGUUGACAGUUCGGGAAUCUGUCAUCCAGCUGCUAGAGUUUUAUCCACAGGACUUCAACAAUGUAAGGUGAGUUACCUUCCUGUAUGAGAAGGUCAAAGGCACCAAUAUGGAUCCACUAGUAGUUGUUUAUAGUAAAGAUGAUUGUCUUUGUGAUAAUUUUUCUGGUAUUCCACUAUCUGCUAUGAUUUAUGUGAUUAUUGCUAUGCUAUUAUGUGGUAGUGGUAGGGAUGAAAUAGUCCCCGUAACCGAUUGAAAUAAACCGGAGGGUAGGUUAGGCACCCAUAUAUGCUUAAUAGGGUAGGUCGAGCACCCAAAUAUGCUUGACAGGGUAGGUCGGGCACCCAGAUAUGUCUGACAGUAUGUUUAUGCUAUGUUAUUAUGUGGUAGCGGUAGGGGUGAAAUAGUCCCCAUAACUGGUUGAAAUAAACUGGAGGGUAGGUCAGGCACCCAGAUAUGCCUGGAAGGGUAGGUUGAGCACUCAUAUAUUCUUGACAGGGUAGGUUGGGUACCUAGAUAUGCCUGACAGGGUAGGCCGGACACCCAUAUAUGCCUAACAAUAUGUUAUUAUGUGGUAUGAUGGGGGAACUCACUAAGUUUCAUGCUUACGGUUUUCAGUUUUGGUUUCAGGUACUUCUUCUUUAAAAUGAAAGGAGCCGACAUGAUCGCAACGCAUCACACUAUGCAUUCCGCAUUAUGAGAUUUUUGAGAGUUGUACUUUAAUAUUACAUUUCUAUGACAUGUUUUGGGUUAUUUGAAAUACUAGUUUUUAUUAUGAAAUGAGUUGACACUAACGAUGUUUCAUACUAAUGGUUUUUAUAAUUACUUAAUUAAAAAUGAAAUUUUUGGCUCUAAAUUUUCGGAUGUUACAAUAUGCAGCUGCAAUAAGUAUAGGAAUUGUCGAACAAAUCAAACAACAACAUAACCAAAAUUGAGGAAAGGGAAUGGAUCCAGUUUUUAAUUACCUGAUGCGUGUGUAUGCGAUAACAGGGUCUGGGUCCGACUGGAAGCACGAUUGAUUGGAUGCAGAUGCAACGAUCGAAAGUGUUGGGAAGGUGCGAUCGUGACGCAAUGUUUGGAGGUAUCGAUAGGAGAGGCUUGAUCGUUAUUUGUGGGGAAAACGCUAUGAUUGCUAAUCUGUAUAUUAUGUAUUGGAAAUUAGAAGGAAGAGUAUUAUUGUCCAUUCAUAAUGUAUUUUAAUUAUAAUGAUUUAUUAUUAUGAAAAACAAUUAUAAAUCAAUAAAAAAAUAACAAAAAAUAGAUUUGGGUAUAUAUUAUAUUAAAAAACAUUAGGAAGGGCAAAUACGAUAUUUAGAGUUUAAGCCGGACAAAUACGAUAUUUAGCUGUUUAGGAAGGGUGUAUACGAAAUUCUUCCUUUUAAUUAAAUUUAAUUCAAAAAUAUAAUGAAAAGACAAUGUAACGUCUGCAGAUUCGGGCUAGUCAAUUUAGAGACAAUAAGCAUCAAAAAUGAGUUUUUAAUGGAAGAUUAUUUAGAAUGAUUAUUCUUUUUCAAGUGGUAGUAUAUGUUACAAAGGUUCCGUAUAUAUAAAGAACGCUGGAAUCCGAGAUAAAGAAUAAGUUAUGACCCGUCGAAAUUUUUCUGCAAAAUCGACACGACGCUGGGAGACGUAAAUAGUGAAUUUAUGAUGGAAGACUUUUUAGCCUUAGAAAUCUAAAAAAAAGUUGCAGUAUACGUUAAACAGAGAACAUAUAAAAAAGAACGCCCAAAUAUAACUUCAUAUGAGGAAGUUAUGAAAUUUCUAAUAUUUGGCAUAGCAGUGCACAACCCGAAACUCGAAUUUCAGAUCGAGCGGUUUUUGGCCUACGCGAUCUAAAUGGGAGUUGAAGAUCUCAUUAAUAGGAAGUCAACGAUAAAAAGACAGAUGGAAACGGAGUUUGUAUGAAAAAGUUACGAAUUUUCCGCGGUCAUUUAACAGUAUAAUCUCCUCCUACUGUUAAAUUUAAGAUCAGUCGAGAAUUAGCCAACGGACUCAAAAUGAAAGUUGUAGAUCUUAUUUUUACCUACGCGUCGAUAUAAAGAAUGUCAAAAACAUAGCUCGUAUGCGAAAGUUACGGAUUUUAGAAGUUGGAAGUGUGUUGUGCGAAAAUGGGUGACGUGGCAUGAUCUUGGCCAUUGUUUUUUCCCCAAGUCUUGCCACCAGAUGGUGACAAGUGGCACCAAGUUCAACUAUAUUUCACCCUAUAAAUAGAACCUAUUUCACCCUCAUUUUCUUCACAUAUUUCCCAUUCUUUCUUCUCUCUACACUCUCUCUAAACCUCCCAAAACUCCCCUAGCGCUAGAAGAAAGCCCCAGAGCUCUCGACGGCUCCGAGAAGAAGAGCUUUCGGCUCGGAAGUUUUGCCCCUGCAGAGCCUGACUUCUAGCCAAACCCCCUCGUAGGUAAGAUACGCCUACGAUAUUUUAAAUAUAGUUUUUAUUUAAAUAUAGUAAUGUCAUUAGGACCUUAUAAUAAAUAUUUAGGCUAUUAUUAUGAGUUAUAUAAGUGUCGUUAUAAUAUCUUUUUAACCACUCGCGGUAUGGAAAAUCUAGUUUGGAGGGCCGCUUGGAUUUCUGGAUUUCAGAAGUGCUAUAUGCCAAAAUGAUCUUGCCCUCUAGUGUUCCAUGUUUGGCCUUUGUCUGUACAUAGUGGGUGAAAAGUAUUGUGUUAACGUUUAUAUAAUAGUAAUAAUAGUUAGAUUAUUAAUUAGCCUCGUCUAGCAUUAGACUAAACUCUAGUGGUAAUGAUACUAAGUUUUGUCAAAGGAAAAUUGCGUUAAGAGUAACGAAGUGCUGUCCGAGUGCCGAGUUACCACAUUUUCAAGUGAGUGCAUGGUCCCUUUCAUCUUACACAUAGAUAUGAAAUAUUUAAUAUAAAUUACGUGCUAUGAGUGCAUAGUCACUUUCAUCUUACACAUAGAUAUGAAGUAUUUUAUAUAAAUUACGUGUUAUGUGUGUAUAUUAUCUAAAUACUUUCUUUCUAUCUUGGAUGAAUGAUUUUAUACAUGUUUUAAAUGAUUCAAACUGUAUAUUUAUUUUAUAUCUACAAAUAUGUUGGGAUAAAACAUGGGUAGAUGAAAUAGUUGUUGUGUGAUGAAAUAAAAUGAUGAGAGACAGGUGAAGAUAGGAAGGUGAUGAUAAUUAGAUGAUGAUAGAUAGGUGAUGAUGAAUCAGUGAUGUAGGAUGAAAGAUAUCAUAACCUUGUCCGUCAAUGUGGAGAUGUAGUCAUCUACCAGAGUAUAGAUGGCGACCACGAACUAUUCUAGACAAUCCCGUGGAAACACCAAUAGGCUCAUAACCUGUAGGUGAUGAAUUACAAGUUCUGGCGAUGUUGUAACUACGUAUUCAUGUGAUGAUACUCUAACCCUUACUAUGAAUUACGAGUUCAGACGAUGUUGUAACUACGUAUUCAUGCGAUGAUACCCCAACCUUUACUAGGUGCAUAUCGAAGGGGUAAUCCCCGAAUCAUUACUCUUUAUGUGAUGUAGGCAAUGAUCCUCAGGAACGAACAUAUAAGGAAAUGUGAUGUAAAGAGAUGAGAGGUAAAUAAGAUAUAUGAGAUGAUAAUUCUUUAGGGAAUAUUGAAUGAAGAAAAUGGGGAUGUCAAUCGGGUUAAUUGUUUGACAUGUAUUAUAUAAAGAAACAAAUUAACUAUAUUAUUGCGGGUUGAAAACCCUAUGUACUCACCAUGUUUUCCAACCUGACUCACUCAGUUUAUUUAUAUCACAGAUGUUGAUAUGAAGUCACUUUACACUGAGAGAUUAAGGAGAUAUAAAUCACUAGUGAUAAUGAAUGUAAGUUCAGUUUAUCCUUAUGUUUUUGUAUUGACGCUGACAUCCCAAAUGUUUUAAAAUGAAUAAAAAUAUUUUUCUUCGGAAAUGCUUUGAUAACGUAUUUAUCAUGUUUUACUGGGAACAAAUUUCGCAACAUUUUUUAUUAAAAGAGUACUAUGUUUUUUAUAAAGCAUAAACAAAAUCGGUCUUUUCUGGCCGUGAAAAUGAGAAUGUCACAGUUGGUAUCAGAACAUUAGUUUAAGUGAACUAGAAAUAUGGAUUUAUUUCUAGACUUAAACUUAGAAUGCUAUGCAAUGAUUGUGAGGAGUGUGUCUAAUAAAAUUUAGAUAAUACACCUGCAUAGACACAAACACUAGCUUAUUUAGGGAAAAUACCUAACAUGUUUUUAUGUGCUAAAUGAUUUAUGAUAUGCAUUAUAUGAUCGGAUCUAUGGUCUGUUGCCGACCGGAUCUGAAAACUUUAUGUGUUCAGACUUCUAAACGUUUAAUUACGGUAUUAGAACUGACAUGUAACUUUUCGGAGCAAUAAGGAGAUUUACACGUUGAUCGUAAAUAAAAUCUUUCCUAUCUUAUUUCUCUUCGUUUCGCACCGAACGUCUGAUUUGGUGUAUAGAACGAAAUGACAAGAACCCGAAGUGGAAAUGCGAAUGGAAAUAGAAAUCAAUCGCCUCAACCACCAUUGAUUGAACAAAUACCCGUUGUAGUAGCCACUCCUGAGCCAAUCACAAUGAUUGGAGUAUAAACCAUGAUUCGGGUUAUGCUGGCUGAACAAAGAGAAGAGACGAGGCAAAUGUUGCACGCAAAUAGGGAUGAAUCUAUGAUGCCCAUUGUACAGCCUGAGUUGAUUGCUGAACAAUCGGAGGAAAGAAAUUAUAGCCGCACUAUGAGUCAAGUUGGAAUCCAAUGGGCAAUGAUGAAUGGCCUGGAGAGAAGAAAUAACAAGGAUGGACGGAUGUAUAAAAACUAGUGUAUACAAACCACGGUUGUGACCAGACCACAAGAUUCACCGUGUCCGUAUACCUCAUGGUCUAGUACAACUCCCAGUAACAAACAUUCUUGAUGUAUCAAGUGAUAUACAUUACAUCACCAACAUGCGCCACUAUAUUACUAAAUAAAGUAAGUUUUUUUCUUAAAAUACUUGAAAUAAUAAUUUUAUAUUUUCGUUGAUUAACAUAUUAAAAUAAAUAUUCACAUUUUUUUAAACAGAAGGUAAGAUAUUUCAUUAAUUAAAUCAGAUUGGGGUCCAAUCACAUGCUAAAGCAGCCCACCCUAUCACACUAGUUUACAUAUUCAUUGGUCCAAUUUUCACUUUAAAAAGAUGGACCCACAAGUAAAUAACCAUAAUACCCCUAUAACCAUAUAGUCCGAGGUUAAAAAAGGUAAAAUCACACAAUUCAGGGGCAUUUUGGACCUCCUUCCUUUGUCUUCCAGUUGUUGUAGCAAGGGCAAACUUGUUUAUUCCCAUAAUACCCCGGUGGCACACAAAGGCACUUUGCGCAACAUUUCUGACAGAAAAACAUGCAUGGCUUGUGGUACUGUGUCCUGCUGCAUCUCCUUAUGCACUGUCCGGGGCAUUCUGGUCAAUAUAUGCAAUAAAGUUAGUAAAUUACGAUACUACCCUUUGACCAAACAAUCAAUCAGUCAACAGUAAUAAAGCUGAAAAGUUGCAGCAUUCAAAACUUAAUCUCUUGAUCAUGGAUCAUGGUGUGAAUAUGAAUUACAAGUAUAAACGAUGAUGAACAGUGAAUGUAAAAGCAGUUGAAUCUUACGAGAGCUUUUCAAGCUUCCAGGACCGAAGCCAUGGUGAUGUCCCCCUUUCUUCGAAACCUACAAACGGAAACAAUCAAACAAAUCGUAUCAUAUUCCAUGUAGUUUUAUCAACUUUAUAAACUCAGAUCGCGUUCGAAGAACCUAAAUCAAACGAUUUCAAGCACAAUGAGUGUGUAUAAUCUCAUUUAAUCACAAAUAAGUUCAUAAACACAGAUUAUGUUCGAAGAACAGCGUUUUAUUGCAGAAACUCGGAUCUAACACUUUACAACAUAAUGCAUUGUGUAUAAUUACGCUAACGAAGGAGCAAUUAGUUGGAUAAACUUACAGUAGCUUGAAGCGUCGAGAUGGCGAGCAGAGUCAAGAGCAGGAUCGCGAAGAACUUCGCCAUGGUUGUCGAUGAGGGGAAGGAGGGAAUGAGAAGCGGGAAAGGGUUUGUUGCUUGUUGGGGAAAGUGUGGGGUGCACAGUGUAUAUAUAGAAUAAUUGGAUUUUUUUUCGAGUUAAGAAAAAAUAUUAAAAAUUGAAAAUUCCAAAUAAAAUUAAAUGAAAUUUGCUUAUAGAUAUUUCAAAUGGAAAUAAAAUUAAAUGAAAUUUGCUUAUAGAUUAAAAUAUGAAUUAUAAUUAUAGUUUGAAUUUAUAACUAAAUUGUAUUCAUGAGAUUAAAUGAUUAAAAUAAUGGAAGGUUAGAAUCAACAAUAACAAACAAUAACAUGAUUGAAAUUAAAUAAAAAAAAAUUAAUUAAUUUUUAUAUUGAAACCAAGGGUAAACUAUACAUUUUGAUCAAUGGGUCGUUGUCCAAAAAACGUAAAAUUCUUCUAUCCAUCAUUUACGGAUUCCUAAGGUGCAGACGUAAAGCAAGGAAUGACAAAGUUUUCAACAAUGUGAAGAUUUAUUCAAUGAUUUUGGCGGAUAAUAUCGUCACUUUGGUUUUUAAUUGGGUGAAAUUUAUGGAUAAUUUUGGUAAUUGUAAUUGUAAUUGAGGAAUUUGGUGUUGUAACCCAUUUGACAUUUUUUAAUUGUUUUUUUGCCCUGCCUUUUUUCUUUUAGGAAGUGGUUAAUAUAUUUUUGAUGUUUCCAAAAAAAUAACCUAAAAUGAACGACUUAGAUUAAACUAGUGUGAUGGUCCGUGCGUGACGCCAGAUUCAUUAAUUUCAUAUUUUCAACAUAAUUUUUCCAAAUUUUCCAAUGUUCUCUUACAUUUGACUAUUUUUGUUAUUAAAUGGUACAUUUUUGAAAUUUUGUAAAACAUGGGGACAUUGUCUGUAACUUUGCUUUUGUGCACCGAUUAUUUCUAUAAUAUCAUGAAAAGCAGGAAACAUAUUAUUAUUUUGUGAAAUCCAAUGACCAUUUUCUAUAAAUUUGCUAAUGGAUAAGAAUCAUUUUCUACAAAUGUAUCCAAUAUAUGAACUAUUUCUAUAAAUUUGCUAUUAGGCGGAGACUAUUUAUGUAAAAAAAUGUAUGGGUAUGUAUCUUUUUGUAAACUGGAUAAUGAUCAUUUUCUAUAAAUUUAUCCAACAUAUGAACUAUUUCUAUAAAUUUGUUAUUAGGCAGAGACUAUUUAUGUUAAAAAGAUGUAUGGAUAUGUAUGUUUUUGUAAACUAUAAGGACCAUUUUUAUAAUUUAUUUUAUUUUUAUAAUAUUCUAUUAAAACAUGACUAAUUUGUAAGUUAUAGGGUCUAAUUAUGUACAAAAAUAUUUUUAUUUGGGAAUGUUAUUGGUGAAUAUCCUAACAAAUGUAAUAAUAUAUAAAAUAGGCAAAAUUACAUAAAUGGACAACCAAAGGUUUCAAUCAUUAUUUUUUUUUGACGUAAAUGAUCCUUGUGGUUUGCAAAAGUUUGAUGGUCUUUUUUACUCAUAUUGUCCAUUUUUAGUUGUUAGGGCGUAUCAUAUCCCUAACAUGCGAGAGUAAUUUUAUCAUUUCACAUAUAGCAGAGACUAAAUUUGUGAUAUUUGGUAAACCACAUGGAUCAUUUUUGUAAUUUAUUUUAAAAAGAAAAGAAAUGGUAGGAAAUGAAGGGUCAUUGUGGUUUGAAAAACUUGCUUGUAACAUUCGGUUUUGAAAGUGUUCGAUUGUGUCUUCGAAGGCCAAGGAUAUAAGCAUAAAUUGUCGUUUCGGCCUUUUAUGGGUCUCGGGUCUUAUGUAGAAGGUUGUAGAGCUUGAUGUAGAGUUGGGAGCGUAGGGUUUCUCACCACCUUUUUAUGGAUAUGAAGUUCGUAGGAAACAUACUUAGAAUGAAGAAGUUAUAGUACUUUGAGGGUAUUGGCAUUAUUGGUCCUUAGUGGAGAAAAGUGGCAAUGAAGGUGACCAGCACAAGAGUACGCCCAACGUAGAGGGGAUGAGGAGUCGCAGGUGUUGGAGACGUACGCCCAGCGUAUGCUCAGAGUCUCUAAACCCUAAUUUUUAGGGUGUGCCACUAUAUAAAGAACAUUAUACCCUCAAGGGUCAGCCUCCUUCUCACCCUUAGACAAUUUUGACGAAACCCUAGUCCUCUUUGAGUGUUCUUGGAGCUUGGAAGGCUUUGUGAGAGCAUUUUGGUGUUUAGGAUCCACUUUUCAAGGAAGCAAAGGUCAAGGCAAGGUGUUGGUGCAAAAGAGAAAGUUCAGAUUUGGGAUUGUUGCCUCUCUACAGAUCUUUUUAAGGUAUAAAGUCAUGAGCUUGGUGAUUAUCUUCUUAUAUCUCUUAGAUUUAGUUUUAGGACCAUUUUGGUCCAAAGGUUGAAGCUUUGAGGUCCGAUCUGAAUUCUAGGACUUGGAGUUGCUACUCUCAGUUCUAAAUGAGUCCAUAAGGCAGAAAGUUGUCAUCUUGGAGCUCUUUAUGGGUUCAUGCAUGAGUUAAGACCAUUUCCAUGGAAUUAGUUUAUCAUAUUUGGAGUUUGAGCUUAUGUGGGUCAAGCAAAGCCAUCAAGUAAGCAACUUUAUGGUUUUAGACGUUGAAGAGGACUUGGAUCUGUAAUUGUAGCUUCUGGAGUAGAGUAUUAAGCACUUAAUGGAAAAGUGGUUUGAUAGAGGAGUACGUUGGGCGUGCAUGCAGGUACUGUCACACCCCAAAACCAAGAACAGCGGAAACGUUCUGGGGCGGAGGACGUCAUGUACAGUAUCACAACAAUGUAAAGUAGUAAACAAGCAACAACAUCAUCCAUUGCAUUAAUAAUAUAAUUAUUAUACAAGUGUGCUCUGUCAAAUUUUGAUAAACACUAAAGCAUAAAUGAAAAUGAAAGAUGAGUCUUGAACAAGCUCCAUCUUCAUUUCUCCUUGCAUCGGUACCUGUCUAUGAUGACCUGAGGAUACAAGUAAUUUUGAAAGCGAGUAUCAGCUUUAAAGCUGGUGAGAUCAUAAGUAUUUAGUGUCUUAAUUUGUAUGUAAGAAUUUGUAAGUAAAUGAAUUGUAGGUAUUGAAAAUGUAUAUGAACUGUAAGUAUGAAAAUGUUUGUAAAACUACUGUAAACGUUUGAAAAACUCUAGAAAUCCCUAUGAUUCCUACUAUUAUAUAAGGGUGUCUUCUACCAAGACCUAACUGUUCUCAAUGCAGUCUUCUACCAAGACUUAACUGUUCUAAAUGUUCGUGUCAUGUAAAAGUGUGUAAUUUUCCCAAGUGUAACUAUUAUUAAUAAAAUAUAGUUUUUACAUUUAUAGUUUAAGUGAAAAGAUCACUAAAUAUAUGUACAGGGA
rnacentral:lncRNA from 1 species